rnacentral:lncRNA from 1 species
AUUAUUCCAGUUAGACAUAUUAGCAUAGUUUCCAUUAAACAUGUGUUUUUCACUUUGACUUUGUUCAAGUCUAACUUCAUGAGUGAGUAAUAAAGCAUAAGCAUCAUCAUAAUCCAAUUUGCUUACUGUGAUAAAAGUAGCUAAAUCCAAAUAGCCAGCUCCUAGACCAUUGAGAAUUUGCUAUUAUGAUAUUAAACUCUCUUUUAUCGUUAAUUAAUUAAGAGAAUGUUUGAAUUAGAGAAUCUAAUAUUAAAAAAAAUUAAAUUUCUAAGUUUUUAUUUGCUUUAUUUAUUAUUUUACUUUCAAAUAUUCAUUUUCUUUAAUUUAUUUAUAAUUAUAACAAUUUGUUGAUCAUUAAUUUAUUUUAAAUUUACAAUAAUUUAAAAAAAUUUAAAAAUAAUUAAGCUCAAGCCUGGUCUAGGCCCUGCCUUCAUGCUUAUCUUCAAGUCCAUGCCCAAGCCCUUUUUUUCCAUCCCUAGACGUGAUUUAAUAAAGAAUGACUUGGGUACUUAGAAAAUAUUUUUUUAAUACAACAUUCAAAUAGCAAGUCUUUAAUAAAGCACUAAAUGCGUGAUUUUAUAGAAAAUGACAUAGGUACUUAGAAAACACUUCUAAGUGAAAUGUCCAAAGGGUAAAUAUUCAACAAAGCGUCAAAGGUGUAAUUCUACCCAAAAAUAAAAACUGACCUAGGUACAUAGAAAAUAUGUUUAAAUAAAAUGCCUAAAAGGUGAGUAUUCGAUAAAGCACUAGAGGCAUAAUUCUACAAAAAAAAAUUACUUAAACUCAUUCUUUAUAAAGAAUAACCUAAGGACUUAAAAAAUACGUCUAAAUGAAAUGUCCAAAGACAAUAAUUGACAAAAUAACUAAGGGUGUGAUUCUAUAAAAAUGGCUUAGGCAUAUAGUAAAUACUUUUAAUAAAGUGUCUAAGAGCAACUAUCUACUAAAUGAUUGAAUGAACGGGUUAAAAAAAGGGUCCAAAGUAUAAUUUAAAGUACAAAUAGCUCCACUCUUAAUUGAAAAUUGAUUAUAAGAAAAUAGUUAUUUUUUAGCAUGUUAAAUAUUUAAAUUAUAAUUAUGAUGUCAUCAACUAUAAACAGUAGUUAGCAUUUUAGUGGACGGUUGAUAUAAAUUGUAAAUUUAAGGUAAAAAAUUGAAUAAAUUCAAUUUGUUGUAACAUUUCUUUUAUAAGAAGAUAAACUUAAGGUGGGUGACUAAUAAUUUAUAUUUAUCAAAUAUCAAGAUUUAAAAAUUAAAUAAAGCUAAAUAGUCCCAAGCAUAUUGUAAAUUGGAUUGCUAAGUUGAAUAAAUAGAAUAUAUAACCCAAGCAUUGUUUUUUCAAAUAAAGAUUCCGGCAGUGGCAAGUAUGGGAACCUAUUUUGGAAAGUCAUCAAACGGCUCAAGCCCACCUCUGAAUCUUGAUAUUUUGUAAGAUUAAAGUGCAUCUAUCUCUAUCUUUGUUCGUGACUCAAUUUUUUUUUGCCGAAAAUGAAAUCUAAAACUCAUCUAAUUUGUCUUCCAAUUUCCGCACCCAAAUUCUCCCAUCAAUAACUUCCAGCAGACAAUGCCGUGCAAACUUGUUGCUAAAGCAUCGCUGUGGCGCCGCUCGUAGAAGCCGCCUGAAGCAGCGCCGCAGUGCUAAUGGUUGGGUCUCAUUUCAAGGACUUAGAAGAUGCAUUUGCAGUCCAACUUUGUUUGUCAUUGCAGGCUGUGUUUUUGAGAUAACAAUUACUCUACUUAAAUUAGUGGAAUUACAAUAUUAAUUGUAAAAUUUAUAUAUACUUGUAGUUAAUAUUGUAAAUUUUAUUUGAUCAAGUUUCUUGAUACUUUGUUGGUGUAUCAUGUUUUGGACUCCUGCUUCAACAAAUUAUGAAGCAGGAUGUUGCUUGCGAAAAUUCUAAUAAUUAUCCUCAAGGGCCAUCUAUAUAAUAUAAGGAAAGAUCCUUUAAAAUUGGGCAAUUGCAAGCAUGAAUGUCUUCAUCUUACACCUCAAUUCAUUAAGAUUCAACAUGGCACUUCACCUGAACACACAAACGUUUAAUUUCAUAAGUCCCAUAUCAACAAAUUAUCUAGAGUACGUAUUACAAGCUUUUGACGUCAAAUAAACCUAAACCAAAAGCUGGAUUCCUUGCAAAUUCAUCCAACGGAUUUCCGCACUUUUGUUGAUGUGUGAGAACCUUUAUUAAAAAAAAACAAUAUAUAUAUAUAUAUAUCUGCUUUUGAUCCACGAUCUUAAAGUGCGGGAAAAAUCGGAGAAAACUUUAAAAUUGUGGGGUUUUAAAGGCUUACAACUUGAAGUGCUUAAACCGUACGGUUUAUACGUUUUCCUAGAUGUUCCCACACUUUAUAUAUAUUUGAACAAAAUUGUGUUAAAUUAUAAUCAAUCCAAAGGUCAAGAAUAAUGUUGAUGUGGAAAUUUUCUUUAAAAUAAAUAAACAACGGAUUCCACUUUUUUUUCUAAAAAAUAAUAACAAUAAUGAUAGAAUCAGGAAUAGUUUUGUAAAAAUUAACACGUACAAACUAAUUAGUUGAAAAUUGAUAAUAAUUAUUAUUUUUCAAUUAUUUGUACCUAUAAUGGUUUUAUAUAUUCAAAUUUCUUAUGUCACAUUAGUUUAUAUAUACUUGUUUGUACAAGAUAGUUGUAUUUUUAUCAUUACUCUAAUAAUAGAGUUCAAUAAUAAUAGUCACAAACGAUUUUGUACAAACUAGUGUGUACAAGCAUAUGUGGCAUGAAGAAUUGGUUGAAGAGUAAUAACAAUUAUUUUGUUAAUUAUAUAGACUCAUGAUGAGUUUAUAAAACUAAUAUUCUUAUGUCACAUUAGUUUGUAAUCUCGCUCCCCUUUGGGUUUCCUCCCACAAGUCUCUUACUUCAUCCCAUUUUACACUACAUCAAGUCAGCAACCCUUCUCCUAUACUUUGAUAAAAAUGUAUGGUAAUUUAAUUGUAAACGCGGUAAUGAAAUAAUUUUUAACCACGCUGCUCAAUUGAUUUCUCUUAAGAAACUUCUGCUUUGAAAUUGUCAAGUUCAAUCCUUUAGAAUUUUAAAAUUAUUUAAAUUCGCAAGUAAAAGUAAUUGCGCAGCAAAUUGUGUAUUUUACUCUCAAUUCAUCUUCACAAGUCCAAUUGCCAACUUCUCUAUCAACUUGUUAAAUUAAAUAAUGCCUCAUGAAAUACAAAUCAAUUUUAAGAAUGUGUUUUUUUUUUUUUAAAUUUCUCUCUCUCUCUCUCUCUCUCUCUCUCUUCUUCAAUUCAGAGGAUCCCUGGAGAUUCUGCACAAGAGAAGGAAAGAAGAUGAGAGUAUAAUAAAGCGAACAAAAAGGAGAGAAAAUAGGAGUAUUAUUAAUGAGUGUGGAAUCAAUUGAAAAGAAAAAAGAAAAAAAGAAACAAUUAAUCGAUGCAUAUUAAUUAUAAGAGAGGAAAUAGGAGAUAAGAGAAUGAAAAAUAAUUAAUGAUAUACUGUGGGUCUCUGUAAUAAUUUAGUUUUGCUAAUUGCUACUAAUAAUAAUAACAAAAAAAAUCUUAUCCAACGAUUUUGUUAGUGUUAAACGAUUAAGAUUUUAUGUAUGUCCUAUCCCAUACGUCGUAUAUUACUGUUUACGGAUGAACAUUUAUUAUCUCCUUCACGGGUGAAGCAAGCAACAUGAUGUGAGUUCCGAGGCACUUGGUCCUCAAAGGGCUGCAGGUAGGUCUUGUGAUCUUAUCUGUAGCCGAGGGAAUAUUAUUAAUCCGUGCCAAAAUGAUGAUAUCGGAGACAUAAUAAUGUGUACCAAGCAUAUAUAUAUAUAACAUUUCAUAUCUUGCAUAUAUGUGCUCCUAUUUGUUAAUAAUUAAUCAAUGUAUUUAAAAAAAAAAACAAUAAUGCUAUGCCGAUCAUCAUCAUGAUAAUACAUAAUUAUAAAUUGUUGUCACCUCACGCAUGCUUGUAGAGAUAACACGUAACUAUGUAUUUUAAAUUAGAGACAAUCGUGUUAAUUAAUCAUGGUGCUGUUCGGUGGCUGUGGGCGCUAGCUGAAGAAUAAUACAUUUUUAAUGAUCAUAUGGCUUCAACUAGCACUAAUCAUAAUUGUACGAUUAUAUAAAUAAAUAUUAAAUUUGUAUUUAUUGUUAUAAUCUGAUGGUCAUCAACAUUUUUGUUCUACAGUAGAAUAGCUCUACCAUAGCCACUGCCUUAUUACAUGUAUGUUACUUUGAAAACAUAAUAUUAUUGUAUCAGUAAAUUAAAUUGCCAAUAAAUAGAUGAGAAGUUACAAGGGCCUUGUUUGGGGGUGCGUGUGGGUGUGUUAUAAGCGCGCAACGUCUAAUGGCAGCGGAGAGGGUGAUUCAAUAUCAUUUCCUCUUUUUUUUUUCUCUGUAAUUAAUAAUUUACAAAGUUAGUUACUGCUAAUUAGGAUUAGACUUGUGUUUAUCUAAUCUGCUUUCUCUUGCUAUAUGGUCUCUGCUAAAACUAAUAAGUGCUUAACUUCUGAUUGAAUUUAAUCAAUUAGGCGUGUCAUUUUCUUUCGGCAUUAAUCGUCAUAAGGUAGCUAGCACUAAGAGCGCCCAUUCCCGUUCUACUGGUUACUAGCAACGCUAAAUAAUGCUAUAUACGAAUAAAUAAGGUUUUUGAAAAACCUUGAAGCAUAUUAUUCUUUAAUUAUUCACGGGUUACUAUGUAUGUAUGGAUGUAAAUUACUGUAAUUAGUUGAAACAUACACAUAACAAAUUAUGUGACUUCAUCAGGACUUUUUUAAUUUAAGUAAUGCUUUUCAGUGGACAAGGAAUCAGCAUUUUUGAGUGGAAAUGAAUUUAAUUUUGUUAUCCAGCAAUUGCGGUGAGGUGAGCAUGCGUAUUCAUACCAAUGGUGUUGUUAAGAAGGCAAUACAUGCCGAGAGCGCCGAGUUUUCUUUUGCUUUUUGUCGGCGAGCUAUUGAACUUGCAUUUCAUUUUCAUUUUUAUGAUCGCGUGACUGUCGAUUGCCAUUCCAGCUUCUAAAGUCUAAACUGACUUAAAGAGUCGUAUAGUUUUCGAACGACAUGUCUUUUUUUUUGGAUAAUUUUUAGGAACUUCCCCGAUGCUUGACAUAUUUGCACUUAAAUUGUAAGUUUUUUAAUAUUAUCACAUGUCUUCCAUGUGGUUAGUAUAAAUAUAUGUACAACAUCAACAUUAGUAUAAACUUGUAAAAGCUCAUUCAAAGUUCAAAAAAAAAAAAAUUUGAAAAACUAAACAUUUGAAAAACUAAACAAAAAUUGUAUGGAACUUGUAAAAGCUCAUUCAAAGUUCAAAAAAAAAAAAAUUUGAAAAACUAAACAAAAAUUGUAUGGAUAUAACCCAUUGAAACACUCUAUUAACCAUUCCAAUUCAUUACCCAUCAUGAAAUAAUUGCAAUUUCUCUUCCAUGAAACCAACGUUGGCAAUUUGUUUUUUACUUUUAAUUAGCUAAACGCCAUUAGCAAAUAACUGAAGCUCUAGAAAAGUUGUUGUUGUUGUAAUCAUAACAAGACAUCACCAAUUUUAAUUGAGCUAGGAAUUAGACAAGUUUUUGUGGUGGCCGUACAAUGAGUAUCGACGGCAUCCGACAUCAAAUGUGACUGGUAUUAGGACUCGAAAGAACUUGGACGUGUAAUUUAGCUUUGGAAGCUGAGGGUUUGGAGUUCAUAAGGAACUUUGAAAAUCCAAAGGCGUAUCCAAUUAAGAAACAAUUAAAGGGCGUUGGAAGAUUGGAUCAUGUUGAUGAUGAUGAAGAAAUACAAAAAUAGUGCUCUUCAAAAGAGGGUUCAAAGGGGUGAAAAAAGCGCUACCAAACACACAAAUAUUGUUAAUUCUUCUGGUUCAUCAUCUCCCAUUCUCCCUCAUCUAGUAGAUCAUUGAGAUUUCUUUUAUAAUUAUUGCCUCUUCCUACUUCGGCCUUUAUUUAUUUAUGUUUAUUGUAUAAUUGUUGAUUGUGCAUUAUUUAAUAAUGCACUAUACUACAUUGUGCAGAAUACAACUUAGAACAUAGGUUCUGCUCUUUCACUGCCAAACACACAAAUGGCCAAUGAGAUUUGGCUAAAAGUAGCCAACUUUACCUAGUAAAUUCACACAUGAAAAUGAAUUGCUUUGCUUGUUCUCUUACUUCUCUUGGCUUCUUUCGUUUUAAUCUUUUAAAGUCAUCCUUAUUUACAAUUAUUUUCACCAAGAUAAGGAUUUUCCUACAUAGAUUCAUAAUAGUUUUUAAUUUCUAAUUUUUGUUGUUAAUCUUUUUUUUUUGUUAUUAUUAUUAAGCAAUGUAAAUUGUUUUAGUCUUUCUGUUACACUCAUGUGAUGUUUGGCGCCAAAUAUUGGGUAAUAAAUUGUAGAUAUUUAUAGCAUUUUUGGCAUUGGGUGUAUUCUGGACAUUUCAUCAGUCCAUCAAUGGUCGAUGGAUGAAAUUACCAACGGCAGGGGAGCUAUGUAAUAAUACGGACAAACUCACAAUCUAAGUAUAAAUACAUCAAAACUCAAGGAAGGUCCCUGAAAAAUUACCAUUAUUAUUAUUAUUAUUAUCAGUAUUUCUAAUAAAAAUUGCGUUACAUGUACAUUAUUCUUAAAUUCGUGGAGCAUCUACGGAGUCAGAAGGUUAUUAACAUGAAUAUGCACUAAUUUAAUUAAAGCAAAAGAUUAUCGUUUGAUCGCAGGUUAAUACCAAAUCUGAUUCGGGGUUUCUUAUCAAACAAAACAAGAAUCAAUCCCUCAAAAGAGCAGAAAAUCAAAAGGUGUGUCUUCAUUCUUCAACAAACAAAUAAAAAGUGUUCAGGCAGAUCUCAAGACUUUCAAAAAAUAAGGCCCGCCGGACCCCCAUAUCAUAUGUACUCUCGCAUCCAUUUUAGGAUGCUAACCACUAGUACCUUAUCACACACACUUCACACACUCGCCAUCUCCACCUGUCGCCCGUGUGAUAAUUUAAGUAUAAAAUAAUUACACCCUCUCUCUCUCUCCUCUCCGCUUCUUCCUCGUCGCCUUCGUUCCCCCUUUACCUUUUCUUCUUUCUACGCAUUUCCGCGUGAUUUCCCUCAAUUUACUUUCAUUUCACCAAACCCUAAUUUUCAAAGAUGUCCAAAGUACCCCUAGAUGUUGUUACCGGUACUCUGUAUCAAUUACCGGUGAAAACUCUGUUGCGCUACCGCUGUCUAUCAAGACCGCUAUGUUCAAUAAUCGACGAUCCAGAUUUCAUCAAGCUUCAAUUGAACAACUCAAUUGCAACCAAAUCCCACCUCCGUUUGAUUCUCAAAGGUUUGCAUCUUUAUUCCGUUGAGCUUGAUUCACUCGAUAAAGCUGUCCCUUUUAACCACUACCCAGAAAGCAUUUGGACUGGUACUGAAGUUUUUGGUUCAUGCAACGGCUUGCUUGCUUUAUCUAAUUCUGAUCAAGAUAUCGCUCUGUUUAAUCCCGCUACUAGACAGCUGUUUAAGUUACCCGUUGAAUAUAUUGAUUUGCCCGACAAAUCUUGUAUUCGCGGUUUCGUCUUUUAUGGUUUUGGUCAUGAUCUUGUUAGUGAUGAUUAUAAAGUUGUGAGGAUGGUUCAGUUUAAGAAAGAUGAAGACGAUAAUCUUGGUUGCUUCGUCGAGUAUGAAGUCAAGGUUUUUAGUUUAAAAAAUAGAUCUUGGACGAGGGUUAAGAAAUUGCCCAACUAUCUUCGCUUUAUGUUUCAAUUUUACUUCCAUCUUUUGCAUAGAAGAGGCUAUGGUGUGUAUGUCAAUGGGGUUAUACAUUGGGUGUCUCCUCGUAGGCCAGAGUUUGGAAUUGGUAAUUUGAUUGUGGCUUUUGAUCUUGGUCUUGAAGAGUUUCGUCUAUUGCCACAGCCCAAUUAUGGCGCUCGUGAGAAAGAUUUUGUGUUGGACGUGGGUGCGCUGGAAGGACAUAUGUGUUUGAUGUGCAAUUAUGAUUUAGUGAAAGUCGAUGUGUGGAUGAUGAAAGAAUAUGGGUUGAAGGAAUCCUGGAGUAAGAUGUUUUCAAUUGAUCGGUGUAGAUCUAUAAGUUCUUUUAGGUUUUUGCGACCUUUAAUUUGUUCAAAUGAGGAUGGUGGUGAUAAAGUUCUCUUGGAAGUGAAUGGCGAGAAGCUUGUAUGGUAUGAUUGGAAAAGGAAAAAACUGAAGACUGUGAAGAUAGAUGGUGGUCCAGAUUCGUUUGUGGCUUGCAUAUGUGUAGAAAGCCUUAUUCCCCUUGAUAAUGGUAGUCAUGGAAUUAUUCUGAAGAAGCUGCAGGAGCAAAAGGAAAAGAAGACACAAUGUAGGAAGAAGAGGUAAUAAAACAUAUUCACUGUCACUCUUCUGUUCAAGCUAUUUUCUUAAUUUUAAGUAUCGGUUUCCUUAAUUUCUCUGGUUAUGCAGAGCUUUAGUUUAUAUAAAUUUUAUUUUGAGUGGGGGACUACUGGCUUAUUGAUUAUUUAUCUUGUUUGACAUUCUCUCUUCUGUGUCCCCCGCAGGGAUGAUUUCCUGUCAAAAGGAUUUAAACUGGUUUUAUAAUCAAUUAACCAAAGACGCAGAAUACGAACAAAGUGAGAAGGGAGGUCAGUUCAUAAACUGUGUCAUAAUCUUUAAUUUGAUGCAUUCUUAUUAAUGUGCAAGGGGUGUUUCUCAAUUUACCUGAAUCUAAGAGGUGUUCUAUGCCUAAAUGUUGGCAUAUCAAAUUAGAAAGUGUUCUGAUUGAACAACUGCUGCUUAUUCCUUCUUUUUAUAUCACUGAAACAAUUUAUCUGGUUGUUGCUAUUAAAACUUUUUCAGGAUGACAUGUGUGUCAAGCAUAUGGCAAUAACACAAAGUUCAAUGGAAAUGGUAUAGAAGAAUGUUUUUAACGCAUAUCAUACUUGUGUUAGAAGAACUGCACUGGGUUUUCUUUGCUUUUACAGGGCCUAACUCUGUUUUUAUUUUAAAUUUGUCUAAAGUGAAACUUUGACUUGUAUAAGUAUUGCAAGAACAGACAAUAUAUAUAAUGACUUUGGAAGGUUGUACCACUUACAUGAAUGGCUCAAACAAAUUUAUUCCAUGCAGGAUGGAUUUGUUGUUCACCAGUUUAUGUGAAUUAGAAUAGAAUAGUUUUAAAGAUAGUUUCUCUUCCAUGAUUCUGAGUUCAGCAUUCGAUUGGUUUUUGAGGAGCUAACUUGAAAUCAGUUUGUCAGUGAUUCUUAAAUUGAAAUGCUUUGAGAAAUAAUGUGAGCGUUGUUCGCAAAAGCAUAUAGAUUGACUGCUUGGUGAAACAUACCAUGAAGAUGCUUUCUGUGUGACUCAAAUUUGCAGCAAUUAUUCCAAAAUAAAAUCUGGCUUUUGAUUGAUUGAUUGAUAUCCAGGUAGAUAUCAAGAACAUUAUGUUGUUUUGUUUAUCUUUUCGGCCUCAUUUUCGUUUUAGAAGCGAAAUGAAACUGAAAUUUUGGUUAAUAUUUCUUUAUUCAAGGAUGCUGGAUGCUGGAGCAGAAUCAUAUCAGUAUCAUUGGGCUGGUAAUGGUACUAAAAGUAAGGGAUAUAUUUACAUGUUGCUGUGAUAAAAAAAAGGAUAUCAUGUAAAUAAUGUUAAGGCCUCAUGUAACAGAAUAUGAUGUGACGAUGAUUUUCUUUCUUUUAGUUACUACAGGAAGGUUCCAAUAUCCUUAUCAACGGAAAAGGUUGAGGAAAAAAAAAAAAAAAAAAAGGAAAGGAACAAGGUCAGAACUUGGCAAUUUCUCCUAAGAGAAAUCCAAAUUUCCAAUAUCUAGCAGAUGUGGACUUCGAAAAUCCCGCAUUUGGAAGUCUCAACUCAUGAAGCUGCCUAAAUUUUUUUAAAUAAUAAAAAUAGACAGUGUCCCGAAGUAGACCUUCCCGUCCUCUCCUGUCUAUCCGUACGGAUAGGCUCAGAUCCGAGCCCCAGGGAAUCGGCCUGGGUUCUUUUUGUUUCAAAAGUUUCAAGUCAAGCCAUUGCCUAUUGGACGAGUAGAUCCGAAAAAAACUGCAGGCAUAGACCCGUGAAAAAAACUGCUGGCAUAGACUCGUGACCCUAAAUCGGCAGUAAAAUUUAAUCUCAAAUUAGCUGUACAUUAUCUGGUUGCCUACUUUUCCAAAUAUCUGCGCCCACCAAAAACAAAUCACACUCGUAUCACAGGAUCACCAUCAUGGAAAAUUAACAAGGAAGUCCAGCGCGUCACUAGACUAAACUCUGCAUAUUUUUUUUCCCCACCUUCAUAAGGGAAACAGGCAAGCACAAGCAGCAGACCAAAAAACCAAACCAAAAAUGUCCGGAGAGUUUUGAUCGAGGGAUGAUUAUUUCUACAAAGCAUGGGUCCAUUUUGAGUGAAGACACAUCAAAAGACAGAAGUUGAUUCUGUCAGAAUCUGGGUAACAAUUUUUAAAAUGAUCGGAAAGUAAAGUAAAAUUCUGUCAAGAGUUGGAAAACGACCUUUUAUUUCAAUGAAAUGAUGUAUGUUUUAUUCUAGCAUAAAGAUUACAAUGCCAAUGGAGUUUUCCAACUUGCCCAUUUAUAUAGCAUCUAUUUUAACAAAAGAUUAGUUCGAGGAAUGGGUGAUUUUGUGUUGCUCAAUUUGGCUCGCCAGGAAUAAUAUGUUUCAUAGUAAUACUGUCAGUGAGCCUCAAGAAGUUGUCGUUUGGAGUGGGCACUCUGCAAAGUAAAACUAGCGGGAGUACUAAGCCUACUAAUCCAAGCCUGUGCUGGCAAAAUCCUCCUCAAUCAUGGCAUAAAGUGAAUGUUGAUGCCAAUGCCAGUUUUAAGGAUGAUUAUGCUGGCAUUGGAGUAUUAAUCUGCAAUUCUUAGGGUCAAGUUGUAGCAGUUUCUCUUUGCAAGGAGAUUUUUUCUGAAGAUGCAGAGUUUGCGGAAGCUGCUGUUGUGCAAAAAGGAGUUCGAUUUGUGAAGGACAUUGGGCUGGCUCCAGCUAUAAUUGAGUUAGAUUUUCUCAAUAUAGUUAAAUCUCAUUAGUAACAAAAUAGCAAGCAGGUGUGAAGUGGGUGGUUAAUUUAUAAAGUUUAAGAAGUCCUGUCUUCUUCUAAAAGCUCAUUUAAAGUGAUUUUUGCUCCAUUUCUUGCAAUGAGCCUGCACAUCAUCUAGCUAGAUUGGCUCUAUGUAAUUCUAUCGAGAAGGAUUGGAUAGAGGAAACUUCAAGUGAGAUCUAUGCUUAUGUAUAUGAGGAUAAAUAUACGCACAGUUUUAGUCAAUGAAGUUACAGUUUCAAAAAAAGAAAAAAUGAAAUGAUGAAUGUUAGAACAUUUUUUUUUUUCCUUACAACAAUAUUAUUGGAAUAAUUAAAAGGCUAAAAUUUGGCGGAUGAUAUGACAUUGUAUAUAUUCUUUCAAAAUCAAGUAUUUUUUUCAUAAAUUCUUUCUUUUAAAGUAAAUAUUGUUCGCGAUUCCCAAGCAACCUAAUUUUUACAAAUGAUCACUUUAUUAAAAUUAAAGUCCAUAUAAGAUUAAAAGUGUUUUCACUUUUAACAGGCAUUUAAUGUAAAGUGAAUCUAUAUAUUAUAGAAACACAAACAGAAAUAGUUUGGAAACUGUAGACUACUGUUACUAAACGAAUUAAAAAAAAAAAAUUAUCACUCCCAUAUCUUUAAACAGUACCGAUAUUCUUAUAACAGUUAGCACCACAGUUAGCACAAAACGGUGCGUUUUGUGCUCAUUCUAAAUUCUCACGGUGGUGAGCAUCCCACACGACACACACGCAUCUCCCACAACACACGCUCUGUAAGCCCACAUUCCAAAUCUCACCUCACUCACAGCACCACAAAUCUCACCACCAGCUGAUUCUCCCUCACCACGCUCCAUUCUCACCGCGGGUCUCUCUCUCUCUCUUUCUUCAUUGACUUGUGACUUCACGCUCUCUUCCCCAAAAUCCACAGCCGCCGUGGGUCUCUCCAUAGCUGCCUUUGUAGAGUCAUCGUGUUGGCUCUCUCUCUUCCUCGUCGAAUGCGUCUCACUCCUUUACGACACCUUCCUCUCUAGUCUCUCUUAGAAAUUGACUUGUGGCUUGACUCUCUCUCUACCCCCCAAAUCCUACCAGACAAGAGCCAAUCUGCGUGAUUUUUUUUUUCCAUAAGUUUUAUAAGCAGAAAUCUUAAUAGCCAAACUUGGAAAUUGUUCAGUGGAGUUCUUUAGUGAUGUAAUCUCUACUUGGGAAAAACCUAAUAAAAUAAAUAUUAAAGACUUUCAGGAACAAAGAAUUACAGAUUUGUUCUUCCGAUCCUUCUUCUGUAAUGCCAUACUCGUCUCCUAGAGUUAUUUUUUUUGUUAUUGUGAUUUUGGCUGAGAUGAACACUUUUUUAUAUAAAAAUAUUAAUGGUCAUACUUUCAUUAGUACUUUGCUGUAGCUCAGGCAUUACUUUGCUCAAAGAAGAUUAAGGGUCCGUAAACAUUCCAUCAAUAACCUAAAGCUAUUACUAACUGCAAUGGUGGUUGAUAAGAUAAUUGCACAGAGCAAUAGGUCAAGAAUCAUACUGUAACAAAGAAAAGAUAAGGAAAAGCUUUGUCUUCAAGAGUGAAGGUGAUAGCUUUUAUUUGCCUCAAGAAAACAAAUGAUUUAGUAGUAAAUAUUGUGAAAUUUUGUGUGUAUCAAUCAACACAAUAAUAAGAACCAAAAACUUAGAGAUCAAAAUCCAUCAUGAAAAUCAGGCAGAAUGCUCAGCAAAAGCAAGGACACCAAACUGAGAUUUCUUCUUCAGCUCAUGUGGGACUGGACCAAAUAUUCAUUUUCCUUUUGGUCAAGCUGCAACUGCAAUCAACGGGAUGAAGCCGUGAUGGAUGCAAUCGACGGGUAGAGACAAAGACAGAUCCAACAACCAAGUGUGGAGAAAGAGAGGCCAAGAAUCAGGGAGAGUGUGGGAGCUGUGUGCGCGCGUGCAAACCACAAUAACAUUUUUUAUAGUUAGCACAAAGCGCACCGUUUUGUGCUAACUGUAGUACUAACUGUUGUAAGAAUCUCAUUUUCCAUCUUUAAAUUGUCCUGUCAGAAAAAAACUAUUAUGGUACUUUUAAGUUGUAGCAAUUUUGUACUCUAAAUUUAGAAUACAUAUUACUGAUUUCUUAUAUAAAUUAGCUCCGGAUAAAAAAUUAACAUAAUUAUAGGAGGCUUAUAGCAAAUCUCAUGUGAUGUGAACGCGCACACAGAAGCAGGGCUGCGGGCUGUAAACUUUUUUUUGUUUCAUUUGGUUAUAAAAAUUGGAAUAAAAUAAUUAUAAUAAUAGCGUAAGAUGCCAGUGUUCGGUGGCGACGGCUGUUGUGUUGUGAGGGUGGGUGUAUGUGUGAGUCUCGCAGCUCAAAAUUCUCAUCAAUUUCGCUCGCAAUCACUUUUCGUGUUCAUCAAGAACCACCUUUAUCUUCUUUUUCACUCGCAAUCACUCUUCGUGUUCAUCAAGAACAAACAAAUCAUAAUACAAUACCUCUAUUUUUUUUUUUCCUGAAAUUUACUAUAUAAACAAAGACUGACACAGACUCACUGACUGAGCCGAAAAAAAAAUGAAAACUGCUUUACUGCUUAUUAGCUGCUAGGGUUCUUGUUUUUCUAAUUUCUUUUUUUUUGGAGUUUUCAAUUUAAUAGUUAUCUUCUCCUUCAGCUGCUGCCGCGGCAUUUAACGAUCACAUGCUCUUACCCCCACCGUAAGCUGCGGGGGCCCCACUCUUCAGUGCCUCCACUUGAAUCGUUUGAUCACUCUUACCUCUCCGUUCACUCGCGUCCGAAGCGUGAGUUGGACGAUUUUGCCCCUAACUUAGACGGCGACGACGACGACGACGACGACGACGACGGCGCAGAAGCAUCCGUCAUUGUUUCUGUAAGAAUGCGGAAAGACGAACCUGACGCCGUCCACCACCAGCAGUCGUCAGACUUGAUGACAAAAAACGACGCCGUGCUCUCAGAUAUUACUCCUCCUGCCGCUGCCGCUGCGGCUGCUCCUCCUCCUCCUCCUCGGCCAAGACUCCAGUUUUUUAUACGCAUGAUGUCUGAGGGGAAGACGAUGGUAAUCCAAGCCGACUCGAACGACACCGUCAAGUCAAUCCAUGAAAGAAUCCAAGCGAUGACGGGGAUACCGUUGAUCGAGCAACGGUUAAUUUACCGGGGGAAGCAGUUACAGUGGGAACAGUCCUUAGCUGAGUGUUGCAUCCAAAACGACGCCGGCCUGCAACUGGUUGGCCGCAUGCGAAGCACGGGACAUCCUCAAGCCUGGCAAGUCAUUGACGACAUGGUUUCCCUUAUUUGCCGCUUAUGCAAAGGUGAAACGCUACCUCAUUCUUUAAAACACAUCAAAUCUAGAAUGACUGAGUUUUUUACCAUGACUCCUAAAGAUGAAGUUGAAUCUGAAUCUGCACUUGAUCACAUCCAAAUUCUCAUGUCAUCAUCCGCUCCCGCUGCUUUGGUAAUGCUCUACAUUUCUCCUCUCCAUGGUAACAAAGAUUGCGCUGAUAGUUCAAUUAGACAUUUUUUGAACUCCACUAAAAACGCUUUACCUAAGCACUUGCAUGCUCAAUGCGCCCCCAUCGUCUUAGAGUUUUGUAAACUGCUUAGGAAGUUUACCCCUGAGGAUACUUUAUAUUUAGCUUGUCGGAGUACUUUGGGUUCCUUGCUGGAGAAUUACGGUGGGUCUGGCAUUUUGCCAGGAGGCUCCAAAUAUGAUGAGAUUAGGGGUUUGGAUGUGAUACGGGAGAUAUUUCCUUUUGUUCGUGAGUUGGCUGCUAGGAUAUCUAGGGAUUUGAAUUCCAGUAUGGAGAUGGUGCUGAGCGUGGGGCCAUUGGUCAGCGAUGUUCGUGAUUUUACCGCGUUCUUGCACCCUCUGCGCAGGGCGAUUUUGGGUCAAGUGGGGUUUUCCAUUCCGAUUACAAUGCCUUUGCCGCAGCAGGAACAUGAUCGGUUGCAUGGGGAUCAGCUGGAUUCUAUUUAUGGAAUGUUCUGUGAUUUGUUGAUAAAAAUGGGUAAAUGCCUCGUUAGAGUGCAGGAACGCGUGAUUGCGAGAGCAAAUGGGGAAGGUGAAAUUAAUUAUUCUGGAUGGUCGCAGUAUCUGACGAUUUUGAGAGAAUUACAUGCCACAUCUAAAAUCUUUCAGGGCGCUGAAGAAGAGUUCUGGAAACUUCUGAGGAAUAGAAUAUCGCCAUUGGGUGAUCUGAUUCUUAGAUAUGCAAGGAGAAGUGAUGAUAAUAGGUGGCUUCUUGAGCAUAAGGACGUGACUACUUUUGAUUCCAGGAAGUAUCUGGUCAUGAUGAUGUUUCCCGAUGUAAAGGAAGACUAUGAGGAGCUGCAUGAGAUGCUUAUUGAUAGGUCUCAGUUGUUGGCAGAAUCAUUUGAGUAAAUAGCACGUGCGGAACCAGAGGCACUGCGUGGUGGUUUAUUUAUGGAAUUCAAAAAUGAGGAAGCUACUGGUCCCGGUGUUUUAAGGGAAUGGUUUUUCUUGGUAUGCCAAGCUUUAUUUAAUCCACAAAAUGCUCUUUUUGUGCCAUGCCCUAAUGACCGUAGAAGGUUCUAUCCUAAUCAUGGUAAGUUUCCGCUGGCUUUUGAUGCAUGCAUUUUUUAACUGGGUUCCAUUAAUGUUGUCUGUUUGCCCUUUUCCGGACUUAUAGUUACCCUAUUCUGCAUUGUAACGUGUAUGGAUAUUUGAAUAUUAUAUGCACAUUGAAUCUGGACUAUUAUUUAUUUGGCAAAUAGUUUUAAACUCUAAUAGAUACGACAACAUAAUAAAUGACAUGGUUGAAGACAUGUUGAUAUACUAGGUAGGAUGGUUUGGGUCAGUAUGCGUGCAUAUGUUGGGUAGUUUUACACAGCGCUCCUGCUGUGAUUUUACAUAUAUAGCUCUUUGGCUGAUAUUUCAUCCUAGUUACUCAUAGUGCCCUAUGUUCUAGAAAUUGCACUUAACUCUGACUUUAAGAUUCUUAUAAGUUGCCCUUUUUUUAAGAGGCUUAUAAGUUGCCCCUUACUGUUAAUUGGCCAUUUGUGAGGCAGCAGAAACUGAUGACAUCAUAAUCAAAUACCCCUCUGAAAUAUUAUUGUUAUUGUUAUUAUUAUUUUUUAACAGCUCUGUGCUGCCACGUGGCCGCUAAUAGAAUUUUUCAACCUUUAUCUGUGUGCAGAAUUCUUUUUCUUUUUCUUUCUAAGGUUUUGAUAAAUAUCUCAUCAUUUAGAAUGACAUGUCACCGCAUCACUGAAGCAACCUCAUUGCCCCCAUUAUCUUAAUUGGACCUUAAAUCAUGGAACUCUUUGAUCAUGUUCAUAACUAGUUAUCUCUCUCUUCAUAUCAAUCAGCAUCAACUAAGUUAGCCAUGGCCACCAAUUUUAAUUAAGUAUUAAUCGUGCUGUGGGUUACAAGAUUAGAGAGGAUAAGAGUAAAAAAUAUUGGUAUUUUUCUAUUUUCUUCUUCUUCUUCUUUAUCUUCUUUUUUGGGAGUGAAAUAAGUUGGGGGUAGGGAAGAAGGGCGAAGGUGGUGGAAGGGGGGCUUGUUAAUGGAGAUCUGACAGUGGGUAAUGGUGGAAGGGGCACGGUGGGUAAUCGCUGUUGUGAUUAAUAGGCUUGACCGAACUAAUUGUUACGAUUAAUGUAGACUCUAAUUAUAGAUGUUGUGGUAAAGAUGGAUGGUGAACAAAAAUUAUGGGGGCAGCACAGAUUAGAAUAGAGGUGAGGAGGGAAGGGUGAUCAGGGUUUUGAAGAGUGAGGGUAAAUUUGAAUCUCUGUAUCAGCUACUAGAAACUUUAGAAUGUGUUGUUAACAGAGGGUACGUCUCAUUAGAUCAAACCUCGAGGCUAGUAGUGUUAUAUUAAGUCAAUCCAACAUGUUUUGUGUAUAUAGUCAAUUGAAGAAAUCAGAAUUAUUACUAAAUUGGUUCUCUAUAGUUGGCAUGGCUACAGAUUAACAUCUCUGUACAUGUGCAUGUAAAAGAAAAUGUUUAUGGCCGAUGAUGCAGUACUUUUUACUUAUUUCACUUGGUGAUGGGUGGUAGUCAUGUUUUAGUAAGGGUGUAGAAAGUCAUAUAUUGGUGUCUUGAAGGGUUUUUGUAAUAAAAAUUCAAUCCAAUGUGUUUGAUGUAAAUUGUUGACUCGUGAGGCAGAAUUACUACUGAUAUUAGUAUCCCUUAUUUGGUUAGAGAUAUGAUAGGAAAAUGAGAAGGCUUCGACGAGGAUGUUUGUGAUGACACUGGUGAAAACUCUGUUGUCUUGAUUUGUUAAAAAAAUUAUGGUCUUUAUUUUUUACCAAGUCUUUGCUGGUGCUCUAGUUGUAGUAAUCCAUAGAAGCUAGGAAAUCGGAGGAAGUAUGACCAUGAUUAAAUAUUAAUUUGAAUGUCAUGAUCAUAAUAAGUUUGAGCUUUCAAAUGCAUGACCAUGAAUAAAUCCAACAAACUAACUUUUCGAGGAUUAUAAAAAUGAAACAUUAUUUAAGCUAAUAUUUUUCACAUUUGAUGAAUAUGUCUGUAAGUUCUUUGAGCUUGAUCUCAAUUGAAUGAUUUUUUUAUUUUCAAUAACUAAUGAGUUUCAAAAGUGAUUUUUCUAUAUUAUCCUUACCACAUUAUUGGUUAUCAUUAAAAUCAAGAUUUGUAAAACUGACUACGUAAACAAAAAAAGAUUGUUAAAAUGGUAAAACUUAAAAGAGAGUGGAAAGGAGGGACUCCCAAUCAUUGCUUUCUAGUGGAUUACUGUCACUACCCGCAUUAAUGACAUUAAAUCUUGGAUUCACGGUAACCAAAUCUUCCUAGAUACUCUUCAUUUCACUGCAUAUAUCCCAGAUUUUCAAUUAAAUAUACACCAAAAGCCACCUGUACAUUUCUCAUUAGUAUUGUACAGCCCAAAACUCUAAUUGCCUGUAUAUAUGUAUAUAGUUUCCGAUGAGAAAUGGCUUGCAGCAAAAUUAAAGAAACACCGAAAUGGGUAGCCUGUCGAGUGCUAUAACCGCCAAUCUUUCAACUUUCCCUCAUGUCUCAGCUAAUUUACCUACCGAUAUAAUCACCGAUAUCUUCACUAGACUCCCCGUCAAGUCUCUUAUUCGAUUCAAAUGUGUGUCAAAAUCCAUGUAUGCACUUGUUCACAAUAAAAUAUUCAUUAAGAAACAUGUCAACAGAGCAAUUCAUCAGUCCGACCCAAAACUCAUCCUGAAGAAUGAAUUCAAGCUUUUUGGUGUCGAGAUAAUCAAUGAUAAAAAAUUAAUCAGAGCUCGAAAACUCCAAGUACCCUUCGCCUUGUCUCUCGAAAAAGUUGAGAUUUCAGGUUCUUGCAAUGGCCUGCUUUGCAUCUCCGAUCAAAGCUGCAAUGAAGAUAUAUUUCUUUUCAAUCCCUCAACAAAAAAGUACAAAAAGCUUCCAGUGCCAGAAUUUGAUGUUCCCACAAUCGAAACUACAUGUUUCACUUCAUUGGGGUUUGGUUACCAUCAAGCAGAUGAUGAUUACAAGGUGAUAAGAUCCAUAUACCUUUAUGACAAGCCUUUUGUUGACAUCGACUCCUAUGAAUGCGAAGCUAGGGUUUAUUCUCUGGCUAGCGAUAAAUGGAAGAAGAUUAAUGGAGGCAUCCCAUAUCAUAUCAGCUCUCGAGCUGCGGUGUGCUUCAAUGAAUGUCUUAUAUGGAAAGCGUCGCGAGGGCUCGGAAGAGGGAUGACUGUUCUCGUUGUUGCUUUUGACAUGAACAGAGAAGAGUUCAAGGAGAUUCACCGCCCGGAAUACAAGGAUUCUCAUGACAAGUGUCAGAUUGAAGUGGGUGUGUUUCGCGGAGAAUUUGCCAUGUUUCAUAUGUGGAGAGAGGAUAGAGUUGAGAUUUGGACGAUGAAGGAUUUUGGCGCGAGGGAGUCUUGGACGAGGAUGUUUGUGAUCGGACGUCGAGCUUUGAUUAAUUUUGAUAAUUAUGCUUUUGUGCACUUGAAGCCUGUCUGUGAGAUGAUGAAUUUGAGUAAUGGCAAUGGCAAGAAUUUUCUACUCAUUGAGAAGGGGGAUGGUGAGUUGAUUUUGUAUGAUUUUGAGAAUGAGAUUGCUACGGAUUUCAAAAUCCAAAGAGCCCCAAGAUGGUUUUCUGUUACCACCUUUGUUGAAAGCUUGGUUUCACCGUAAUAAUAUUCUCCCGUCGUUGCUACUUAGUAAGUAAUAUUGCUAGUAAAUUUAAGUUUUUGAAUUAAAUUUUUACAGUUGUUUGUUUCUGUUGAUAAUAAUAAACAAAGCACAAAUAACGAUGAUGAUACAUAUAUAUAUAUAUAUUGGCUUUAUAUACCGUUAUAUCUUCGUGAGUGACGCCGCUCUAAUUUCGCCAUCAAUGAUUCACUGUAGUGCUGCUUAAAUACCACUCUCAGAAAAUCACAACUGAAAUGAAAAGCCGCCAUCUUCUGCUUCAUCUUCUCCUUGUGUUUUAAAUUCUUAGGUUGCGGGCCUAAGUUCCUAGGGCCCCAGAUAAGGGCCGAGCUAAUCACAUACCGGCCCAUUUGUCUCCUCUAUCCAAAAAUUGACAGUUUUGUUUGUUGUUUUGAGUACUUACAUGGAAUGGAAUGGAAUGUCAAUGAAGGAUAGUCACUCACCGAAAACCAACUGGACGGAUAAGCAAGCAUUAAUAUAAAUCGCAUAUCUGAAAAAUCCAAUUAAUUAAUCUAAUCGAUCCGUGGUGUAAACAACCGAUUAAAAGUUUUAAUCGUAAUUUUCUCCCACCUUUAUUAAUUACUACUAUGUAUAUGUACAAAAGUCGGCGGAUAUUUACGGAAAAUGAACCGAAAUAUUCGCACGCGGCACGCGUCACGAGCGUGGUUGGAUUUGGAUUUUCCCAUACAUAAAAAUUAAAAGCAAUGCAUAUAAUAUAGGGGUCGUCAAUCAUCCAUCGACAAUUUCAUUCAUUGUCAGUUGACUGACUCAGCUGUAUAAAUUACGGGGCCGAAAUCAUCAAUCAAGAUUUUAUCAACAUCGAUCGAUGAUCGUAUAAAUAUAUAGCCAUCAUCAUGACUCAAUUUGGGAACGAGAAUAGUAAGUUUCCAAAUAGAAAUUGGCCAAUUGUUUGUGAGUUGUGAGUUGACUUGCAAAGCUGUCGAUCUCAUGUCACACGAUAAUCAUUUUCACACUAUCGGAUAACAUCCAAAAUAAUUCGAUUGCUACAAAAAAUAAAAAAGAAUUUACAAAUAUAAAUUCCUUUAGGACUCAUUCCGAGACCAUAUAUAAAGUACUCCAUAGAAGAUGAAAGAUAUUGACAUUAGUUUCCUCAUGGUUUGAACAUUUCAACUAUGAACAUAUUAUAUUUUACUUCAAAACCGUAACAGAUUACAGUUUUUUUUUUUUUUCCGUUUGCGUGUAGAGAGAAAAAAUAAAAAUAAAUUAAGAGUCACACUAGACUUAUAGCCUUAAAAAUAUAAAAUUCAUUCAAAAAAAAGGUAGUAAUUUAUUCUAAAAUAAUAAAAUCAAUAGAAGUUAAGCGCUCAUCCUUUAAUUAAGAAAACUUAAGGAGCAGGUUUAGAAUGUUUGUUUGUUUAAUUGAAAUCGAUUGAUGAUCCGGCUAAUAAAGAAGGAAUCUCCCAUAAAAUCUUUUCCCCAUAAAAGCGAUUUCAAACACGUGGUUAAAAUGCAUGGCGUGGGAGUGUCACGAGAAUCUCAUGUGAUGUGAGCGCGCACACACAGAAGCAGGGCUGAGGGCUGUAAACUUUUUAUUUUUUUAUUUUUUUUGGGUUUAAUUUAGUUAUAAAAAUUGGAAUAAAAUAAUUAUAAUAGCGUAAGAUGCCAGUGUUCGGUGGUGACGGCUGUGGUGUUGUGAAGGGGUAUGUGUAAGUCUCACAGCUAAAAAUUCUCAUCAAUUUCACUCCCAAUCGCUCUUCGUGUUCAUCAAGAACAAACAAAUCAUAAUACCAUCUAUUUUCUUUUUCCUUUUUUUUUCCCUCAAAUUUACUAUAUAAACAAAGACUGAUACAGACUCACUGACCGAGCCAAAAAAAAGAAAAAAUAAAAAUGAAAACUGCUUUACUACUUAUUAGCUGCUAGGGUUCUUGUUUUUCUAAUUUCUAUUUUUGGAGUUUUCAAUUUAAUAGUUAUCUUCUCCUUCAGCUGCUGCCUCGGCAUUUAACGAUCACAUGCUCUUACCCCCACCGUAAGCGGCGGGGGCCCCACUCUUCAAUGUCUCCUGUUGAAUCGUUUGAUCACUCUCACUUCUCCGUUCACUCGCGUCCGAAACGUAAGUUGGACGAUUUUGCCCCUAACUUAGACGGCGACGAUGACGACGGCGCAGAAACAUCCGACCUUGUUUCUGUAAGAAUGCGGAAAGACGAACCUGACGCCGUCCACCACCAGCAGUCGUCAGACUUGAUGACAAAAAACGACGCCGUUCUCUCAGAAAUUACUCCUCCUGCCGCUGCCGCUCCUCCUCCUCCUCCUCGGCCAAGGCUCCAGUUUUUUAUACGCAUGAUGUCUGAGGGGAAGACGAUGGUCAUCCAAGCCGACUCGAACGACACCGUCAAAUCAAUCCAUGAAAGAAUCCAAGCGAUGACGGGGAUACCGUUGAUCGAGCAACGGUUAAUUUACCGGGGGAAGCAGUUACAGUGGGAACAGUCCUUAGCUGAGUGUUGCAUCCAAAACGACGCCGGCCUGCAACUGGUUGGCCGCAUGCGAAGCACGGGACAUCCUCAAGCCUGGCAAGUCAUUGACGACAUGGUUUCCCUUAUUUGCCGCUUAUGCAAAGGUGAAACGCUACCUCAUUCUUUAAAACACAUCAAAUCUAGAAUGACUGAGUUUUUUACCAUGACUCCUAAAGAUGAAGUUGAAUCUGAAUCUGCACUUGAUCACAUCCAAAUUCUCAUGUCAUCAUCCGCUCCCGCUGCUUUGGUAAUGCUCUACAUUUCUCCUCUCCAUGGUAACAAAGAUUGCGCUGAUAGUUCAAUUAGACAUUUUUUGAACUCCACUAAAAACGCUUUACCUAAGCACUUGCAUGCUCAAUGCGCCCCCAUCGUCUUAGAGUUUUGUAAACUGCUUAGGAAGUUUACCCCUGAGGAUACUUUAUAUUUAGCUUGUCGGAGUACUUUGGGUUCCUUGCUGGAGAAUUACGGUGGGUCUGGCAUUUUGCCAGGAGGCUCCAAAUAUGAUGAGAUUAGGGGUUUGGAUGUGAUACGGGAGAUAUUUCCUUUUGUUCGUGAGUUGGCUGCUAGGAUAUCUAGGGAUUUGAAUUCCAGUAUGGAGAUGGUGCUGAGCGUGGGGCCAUUGGUCAGCGAUGUUCGUGAUUUUACCGCGUUCUUGCACCCUCUGCGCAGGGCGAUUUUGGGUCAAGUGGGGUUUUCCAUUCCGAUUACAAUGCCUUUGCCACAGCAGGAACAUGAUCGGUUGCAUGGGGAUCAGCUGGAUUCUAUUUAUGGAAUGUUCUGUGAUUUGUUGAUAAAAAUGGAUAAAUGCCUCGUUAGAGUGCAGGAACGCGUGAUUGCGAGAGCAAAUGGGGAAGGUGAAAUUAAUUAUUCUGGAUGGUCGCAAUAUCUGACGAUUUUGAGAGAAUUACAUGCCACAUCUAAACUCUUUCAGGGCGCUGAAGAAGAGUUCUGGAAACUUCUGAGGAAUAGAAUAUCGCCAUUGGGUGAUCUGAUUCUUAGAUAUGCAAGGAGAAGUGAUGAUAAUAGGUGGCUUCUUGAGCAUAAGGACGUGACUACUUUUGAUUCCAGGAAGUUUCUGGCCAUGAUGAUGUUUCCCGAUGUAAAGGAAGACUAUGAGGAGCUGCAUGAGAUGCUUAUUGAUAGGUCUCAGUUGUUGGCAGAAUCAUUUGAGUACAUAGCACGUGCGGAACCAGAGGCACUGCGUGGUGGUUUAUUUAUGGAAUUCAAAAAUGAGGAAGCUACUGGUCCAGGUGUUUUAAGGGAAUGGUUUUUCUUGGUAUGCCAAGCUUUAUUUAAUCCACAAAACGCUCUUUUUGUGCCAUGCCCUAAUGACCGUAGAAGGUUCUAUCCUAAUCAUGGUAAGUUUCCGCUGGCUUUUGAUGCAUGCAUUUUUUAACUGGGGUCCAUUAAUGUUGUCUGUUUGCCCUUUUCCGGACUUAUAGUUACCCUAUUCUGCAUUGCAACGUGUAUGGAUAUUUGAAUAUUAUAUGCACAUUGAAUUUGGACUAUUAUUUAUUUGGCAAAUAGUUUUAAACUCUAAUAAGAUACGACAACAUAAUAAAUGACAUGGUUGAAGACAUGUUGAUAUACUAGGUAGGAUGGUUUGGGUCAGUAUGCGUGCAUAUGUUGGGUAGUUUUACACAGCGCUCCUGCUGUGAUUUUACAUAUAUAACCCUUUGGCUGAUACUUCAUCCUAGUUACUCAUAGUGCCCUAUGUUCUAGAAAUUGCACUUAACUCUGACUUUAAGAUUCUUAUAAGUUGCCCUUUUUUUAAGAGGCUUAUAAGUUGCCCCUUACUGUUAAUUGGCCAUUUGUGAGGCAGCAGAAACUGAUGACAUCAUAAUCAAAUACCCCUCUGAAAUAUUAUUGUUAUUGUUAUUAUUAUUUUUUAACAGCUCUGUGCUGCCACGUGGCUGCUAAUAGACUUUUUCAACCUUUAUCUGUGUGCAGAAUUCCUUUUCUUUUCCUUUCUAAGGUUUUGAUAAAUAUCUCAUCAUUUAGAAUGACAUGUCACCGCAUCACCGAAGCAACCUCAUUGCCCCCAUUAUCUUAACUGGACGUUAAAUCAUGGAACUCUUUGAUCAUGUUCAUAACUAGUUAUCUCUCUCUUCCUAUCAACUAAGUUAACCAUGGCCACCAAUUUUAAUUAAGUAUUAAUCGUGCUGUGAGUUACAAGAUUAGAGAGGAUAAGAGUAAAAAAUAUUGGUAUUUUUCUAUUUUCUUCUUCUUCUUCUUUAUCUUCUUUUUUGGGAGUGAAAUAAGUUGGGGGGAAGGAAGAAGGGCGAAGGUGGUGGAAGGGGGGCUUGUUAAUGGAGAUCUGACAGUGGGUAAUGGUGGAAGGGGCACGGUGGGUAAUCGCUGUUGUGAUUAAUAGGCUUGACCGAACUAAUUGUUACGAUUAAUGUAGACUCUAAUUAUAGAUGUUGUGGUAAAGAUGGAUGGUGAACAAAAAUUAUGGGGGCAGCACAGAUUAGAAUAGAGGUGAGGAGGGAAGGGUGAACAGGGUUUUGAAGAGUGAGGGUAAAUUUGAAUCUCUGUAUCAGCUACUAGAAACUUUAGAAUGUGUUGUUAACAGGGGGUACGUCUCAUUAGAUCAAACCUUGAGGCUGGUAGUGUUAUAUUAAGUCAAUCCAACAUGUUUUGUGUAUAUAGUCAAUUGAAGAAAUCAGAAUUAUUACUAAAUUCGUUCUCUAUAUUUGGCAUGGCUACAGAUUAACAUCUCUGUACAUGUGCAUGUAAAAGAAAGUGUUUAUGGCCGAUGAUGCAGUAAUUUUUACUUAUUUCACUUGGUGAUGGGUGGUAGUCAUGUUUUAGUAAGGGUGUAGAAAGUCAUCUAUUGGUGUCUUGAAGGGUUUUUGUAAUAAAAAUUCAAUCCAAUGUGUUUGAUGUAAAUUGUUGACUCGUGAGGCAGAAUUACUACUGAUAUUAGUAUCCCUUAUUUGGUUAGAGAUAUGAUAGGAAAAUGAGAAGGCUUCGACGAGGAUGUUUGUGAUGACACUGGUGAAAACUCUGUUGUCUUGAUUUGUUAAAAAAAUUAUGUUCUUUAUUUUUUACCAAGUCUUUGCUGGUGCUAUAGUUGUAGUAAUCCAUAGAAGCUAGGAAAUGGGAGGAAGUAUAAUGUCCAGUUAAUUAUAUUGUCAAAUCUGAAUUCUCUAGCAUGGUCAACUGUAAAAGGGCACCUGGAGCCUUCUACAGGACCUAUCUCUCUCUCUUCUUCUUCUUCUCUCAUUUAAAAUUUUUAGGAGCCUUGAUACUAAAUUUGCAAGCGUACUGCUUUCUGCUAUGGGCAGAGAAUCAUGCAUAGGAACCUUAGCGUUGUGAUCUCUUGGUGAACUAAAAGACUUUGAUGCUUAUCAUAGCACAUCUUGGACUAGCUUGAGCUUUAAUCUUCUGAUUAAGAAGUAUGCGCAUGAGAUAUGAAACCCUUUGUACAAAAGUCCUCCGAUUAAGAAGUAUACUCAGCAAAGAAAGCUAUCGUACAUUUUUUCUUUGAUGAUCUGGGGAAGGUCUGGUUCCAAGGAAGAGUGUAAGAUUAACAAAUGAUAUUGGAAUGGAUAAUUCAAGAAUAGAAAAUGGGGAAACUCUGAAGUAUACUUUAUUUGCUUCUCUUUAGCAUAUUUUAAUCGUUUUAAUUUCUUUGUACCAUGAAUUGCUUAACCUUGCAUUUCAUUUUAAUGACUGUGAUUUGCUCAAAAAAACUAACGUGCUAGCAACAAAUAAGAGUGAAAUAAAAGGUGUAAAUCCUUUGUCAAGUGCUAUUUUUUGUUAUUUUCCAGCACCAUCAUUGUCUCUGAACAUACUUGCCUUUUCAUGGACAGCCAGUGCCAUUACGAAUUUCAUAAUUAACAUUUUUUGGUCUAAUUUUUAUUUUAUAGACUGUUUGCAUAAUGUAUAUAUGGCUUACAUCAUGUGACUGAAGGAAUUUUUUCCCCCCACCCUCAACUAGAUUUGUUGCUCAUGCAUUUUCUUGUAUGUUCAGCAUCUAAGGUACAUCCCUUGCACCUUGACUAUUUCUGCUUCUCUGGUCGGGUCAUCGCUUUAGCUUUGAUGCAUAGAGUGCAAGUCGGUGUGGUCUUUGAUCGUGUGUUUUACUUGCAAUUGGCUGGAAAGUAUAUUUCACUGGAAGAUAUCAGGGAUGCAGAUCCAAGCUUGUAUAGUAGCUGCAAGCAGAUCUUGGAGAUGGAUGCUGAGUUCAUUGAUUCAGAUGGCUUGGGACUGACAUUUGUUAGAGAAGUGGAGGAGUUAGGAUCCAGAAAAACUGUGGAGCUUUGCCCGGGUGGCAGAAGUAUGGCUGUGAAUAGCAAGAACAGGGAGGACUAUGUUAGUCUUCUUAUCCGGCAUCGAUUUGUGACUUCUAUCUCUGAGCAGACAUCUCGAUUUGCGAAAGGUUUUGCUGACAUUCUUUGUAACCCAAGGCUCCAGAAGCAGUUUUUCCUGAGUUUAGAGCUUGAAGAUCUUGAUCGAAUGCUGUUUGGAAGUGAGCAAGCCAUAUGUGUUGAAGAUUGGAAGGCACAUACUGAAUACAAUGGCUACAAAGAAAAUGAUGCUCAGAUAAUCUGGUUUUGGAAGGUAUGUGCUUGUUCUAUUGCUUUCUCCAUAAAUUACUAAUUCUUUUGUGCCUUCUUCACCUAUUCACCCCCUUCCUUGCUCAAUUUUCCCAUCAUAUAUAUAUAUAUAUAUAUACACCUGCAAAAAGCAUUUUGCGAUGUAGAUUGUGUACCAUAUACUGCAAGUUAGUUGAAUCUUCUUUGUCUGUAUAAAUCGCUACUAUCAGUUUUUUUUGCCCUCUUCUGAAGUUAAUUCUUGAAAUUUUUAUUGUUUACCUUUCUCCCCUAUUAUGUGCACAGGCUGAGUGGUAAAUGGAAUCUUCUUCUGCAUGUUACAGAUCUGGGUUGCUGGUUAUACCUUCUAAAUUCUAAUAAUUUUGUACCUUCUAAACGGGUGUCAGAGAAAUUCUAGACUUCAUUUGCGGAUUUGUCAUUUUACCAUGUACAUCAUAGAGGCAUUUACACAUAAAAUUAUAUUCUAUAUGUGUAGUUGAUGUGGGCUACAAGCACUAGGAUAAUAGACUUGACAUCGAUUCUAUCACAUUAGCUUCAUCUUCAUCGUGUUUGCGAGUGUGAAAUUAAUUUACUUUAAUUUAAGAUGCUUAAAAAGUAUAGAUGUGACAUUUUGGGUCAAGGAACAUCCUGCAGUAUCCGUUGUUUGCCUCUUUCCCUUGUAGAGGUGGGUAGGUGCAUUGGCAUGCACACUAGAGGAUUGCCAAUCCAUUAGUGUGAUUGACAUGUAUUGAGGAUUGAGCUGUACUACACAGAAAGCUCAGUUGAUUAUUCUGAUCAACUAGUCACAAUGAAAAAUGAGAAUUCAAGGAUGGCUAUAGUGACAAUCCACCAAGCAUUUUUCCCUUCUUGUGUCAUCAUGACUUGAAUGACAAGAAAGGAAAAAGAAGAAAAGCCAAAAAAUAUUACCCAUCUUUGCUGUAUUUGAUCUUUGAAUUUUCAGCAAAUUGAGAAACAGCGAUUGUUAUUAAUAUGUUAUGAAAGUAUGAUCUUUUCUGGUUUAAAAUAUGUUCAGAUUGUUGGAGAAAUGCCAGCAGAGCAGAGAAAGAUCCUGCUUUUCUUUUGGACCUCAGUAAAGCAUCUUCCAGUCGAGGGCUUUGCUGGUUUGGCUUCUCGGCUUCACAUUUACAAGACCGUGGAACCCGCUGAUCGCCUUCCUACAUCGCACACCUGCUUUUACCGGUUGUGUUUUCCGUCUUAUCCAUCCAUGGCCGUCAUGGGGGAUCGGCUUCGCAUCAUCACACAAGAACAUGUGGGCUGCAGCUUUGGAACUUGGUGAGAUACUUUGUCUGCCCUGGCGUCACAAGCGUUUCUGACUGCACAUAAAUUUGUAUUCAGUUUGUACAGAGUUAUAGAAUACCGUCUUCCAUUUUAUGAUCAAGACUAUGUUAAGAAGGUCGUCUAGUUAAUUGUCUUUGUGUCGUGAAGUUUAUGGUGUCAUUGCCCUUUUUGUCAACUGUUUAUAAAAUAUAUAUAUAUAGAGAGAGAGAGAGGUAUAGCUUAGCUUAUAAAUAAAGGUUGUAGUAGCAAGCAGGCCAGGCAAGGCAAGGCAAGGCAAGGCAAGGAGGAAGAAAAUUUAUCUUCUUCCAUAAACUUACUUACUAGUAAGUAAUAGCUUUCAGUUUUUGUGUCAUGUAAGUACGCCGACUGUAUGCAAUGACAUCAAAAUCCAUACAGAAGUUUCUGCUCCAGAGUCUCUCUUCCUCUCGCAUUCUAGCAUUCAUUGUUAUAUUGUUCAUUGAAUUAUGCUAUGAUUAUGUUACAUUGCAUUACUCUUUUAACUCAAUGUUUUAUCUUCAUUUUCCUCAAUGUUCGAUGAUGAUUCAAAAUCUUGUUAAUGUUUUUUUGUGUUUGUUUGUUUAUCGAAAUUCUUUUUAUCAGUAACUUUUUUCGGAAUAAUAUUUUAUACAGAGAGAUUCGUCGAUGCGCCGAUUGUGAUUUAAGGAACCGAGAAUUGAUAUAAAUUUAGCAUCACUAACCUCGCGAACAUAGAUAUGAAUUUACGAGGAAUGAUUUGUAGAAAGAGAAUACUCAUAAGAUCAUCAUCUUGAGAAAGAAGGAAAAGGAAAAUAAAAGGUUGAUCAUAGCUCAUGUUAACAGCAGCAUAUUCAAAAAUAAAAACAAAGAAAGAUGAAAAUUAUUCAAAUAUUAUUAUUAUUAUUAUUACUCAAAUCCUAGAGAUAAUUAAAUUCACACAUGUAAUGACUAGACUCUCAUCACACCAUCCAUCAAACUCUUAAGCAGCGAAACGACCCUCUUUGGAACCCACAACUGCAACCCCGACGUGACGUAAGCGGAAAGCAUUCCUCAAUAAUCCAUCAAUCAUGCACCUCUUCAGCAUGAAUUGGAUAGUAGCAAGCCGCGUACGUACAGGGUGCGCUGAUGUAUUGUGUGUGGAUCGAAUCGCUUGGCAUAAUCCUAUGCUCCAUAUUCAAACCUCAGAUCACAACCCUUAAUUAAAAACUUAAUAAUAACAAGACUGACUUAGAACAAAAAAUUAUGUAAAAAGUAAAUAAAACUUGGCCGACUUUUGAUAGGGCUCUAUUCCUCAGUCAGUCUUGCCGACUGGAACUCCUGUGGAAGCUGCUUCUUCAGGUGCUUUAGCUGGCUUCUCCUCUUCAGCUGGUUUCUCUUCCUGGACCGGAGCUGCCUCAGCCUCAGCCUUAGGGGCCUCUUCUUUGGUUUCCUCAACGGUAACAGGCUCUUGGUCGGGUUUCACUACUUGUUCUGCUUUCUCUUCCACUGCAGCAUUAGCUGCCUCAUCAACCUUAGCUUCUUCUACAACUUGCUUGGUUUCAACUUCAACUGGGGUCUCAGCGGCUGGUUCCUCAGCAGCUGGUUCCUCAGCAGCUGGAGCCUCAUCUGGGGCCGUUGCUUCUUCCUUUGGUUCUUUGGUUGCGGUCUCAGCUUCGGUGGCAGCUGCCACUGGCGCCUCUUCCGGGGCUGUCUCGUUACUACUCUUGUUGGUCACCUCUUGUGUCUCAUUCUCUGCCAAUGUUGCCGCAGCCGAUUGAACCUGCAAGCCCCACUGAAUUUGUUUAUAUAUGCUCCAAAACACAAACAUAAAGAUAACUUCAUGCUGAGUUCUUUGAUCUUUUAUAUAUAUAUAUAUACAUACAUACACAUAUACACUCACGCACACUCAUACACACGCACAAAAAAAAGAAAAAAAAAAGAUUAUGAUCAAAUAAAUACUUAAUUAGCUAGUUCGGUCAUUAAUGCUAUAUACGAAGGCAUUUUGAUCGAGCACAGGGCGAGGGACAUUAAAAGAUAUAUCUAUCAUUAAAGCUAGGCUAUAUCCAAAUUAAGUUGCAUUUAAAGAUGAACAAUAUACGAUCGCCAGCGAAUCGAUCAAGACAAAAAUGGAAUUUAAGAACAAAGACUAUGAGCAUGCAGAUGAUCAGCUGAUCACUUCAUUAAUUCUCCUUUAUAAUCACCUCAACACUGGCCAUCUGCGAAGCAAAGAAAUUGAUGGAACACGGGAAAAUAUUCAAAGAAAGAAUGAAUGAAUUAUUGAAUGCGCUAAGCUUGUGAGUGUAGUAGUGAGGAGAUCAUGAUCAAAGACGGAGCUAUAUAUAGACAACUGGAUGCAUAGAAUGAAUGAAGAAUCCUGUCAAUUUGAGACUCUCUGUGUCCGUGACACAUAGGUCUACAUUGGCAUUGUCUAGUUGUAAUUGUAUCUUCUCUCUCUCUCUCUCUCUCUCUCUCUCUCUCUCUCUCUCUCUCUCUCUCUCUCUCUCUCUCUCUCUCUCUCUCUCUCUCUCUCUCUCUCUCUCUCUCUCUCUCUCUCUCUCUCUCUCUCUCUCUCUCUCUCUCUCUCUCUCUCUCUCUCUCUCUCUCUCUCUCUCUCUCUCUCUCUCUCUCUCUCUCUCUCUCUCUCUCUCUCUCUCUCUCUCUCUCUCUCUCUCUCUCUCUCUCUCUCUCUCUCUCUCUCUCUCUCUCUCUCUCUCUCUCUCUCUCUCUCUCUCUCUCUCUCUCUCUCUCUCUCUCUCUCUCUCUCUCUCUCUCUCUCUCUCUCUCUCUCUCUCUCUCUCUCUCUCUCUCUCUCUCUCUCUCUCUCUCUCUCUCUCUCUCUCUCUCUCUCUCUCUCUCUCUCUCUCUCUCUCUCUCUCUCUCUCUCUCUCUCUCUCUCUCUCUCUCUCUCUCUCUCUCUCUCUCUUUUAACUAAAUUAUUAUUAUUAUUAUUAUUAUGGUAAAAGAUAAGAUCAUAAAUUACAUUAAUUAUAGCACUGCAUGUAUUAUAUAUAAAAAAUAAUAAUAAUGAAACCUGAGAUGGUAUACGGUGGAGGCCAUUUCUCAUAUCACCAUCAUAUCUUUCUUUUUGAGUGGUUUCCCCUGUGUUCUCUGUAGUAAGGCACGUAAGACGACUCAUCAUCAUGCGUUCAUGUUCUUCUAUUUCUAUUUGAUUUGCCUGCCAUGUGCUUGUGCAAAUCACCUUUGCUUGAUAUUAAUUAAAAAUCCUUGAAGGUUAAUCUUCUUACGGAACAAAUGGCCCUCAAUUAAUUUGAUUUAAUACAAUAUUAUUGGCAUACAUCUUCUUUAUUAUUAUUAUUUAACCUCAAAGAAACCGAUCCAUGUCCCAGCUGUGUGCGUGAGUGGGUUCCCACCCCAAAUUUCUCGUUUAACUCGUUAAAAGAUUUUCUACUAAAUGCUAACUAAACUAGUUGAUCUCAUUGUCACCUUAAUUAUCUUUAUUCUAAAAUCCUUUUCAGUUGUUUAAGAGAUAAUAAUAUAAGGGGCUUCGAUUAUUAACUCUUUUGUUUUUUUUUUUUUUAAAGAGUCAUGCAUCUCAUAUACACAUAAUAAAUAAGAACAGAUUUCUUGGGGAAAAAAAAAAAAAAAACCCCACGUAGGAGGGCAUAUAUUUUGACUAUCUUUGAUUUAUGAUAAAAAAAUAACUAUAAAUAAAGCCUACAAAUUAAAUUAUUGAAUGUAAAAAAGUAUUAUAAUCGAACAAAUGCAAGUUAAUAAUGCAUAAUGUACUUUUUUUUUUAUGGCAUCAAAAAAUAAUUCAAGUUUUAACAAACCAUAAAUACAAGUUGAAAAAAAUUUUGAAAUUGAAAGAACUACGACUUUUACUGUCGUCGUCAAAUCGUUUGCGAAUUUUAAGGUUUUUUUUUUUUUUAAAAAAAAAAACCUUUCACUUUUUCAUUUUAAACAUUUGAUAUUUGAUAGGUAAUGUCGUAAUGAAUGAAAGUGAGGCAAACAAAAGCCAACAACGGUUCUAGGCCGGUGGCAAGUGGGACCCAGAUGUACCAAACUGCGAUCAUCACCAUCCAAAUAACACUCAUCGGGUCCCCCACACAUGAAAAGGUGACAACGUGGCAUUCUUUUCCUCCCUUGAUUCAGUCAGUCCAUCCACAUUUUGUGCCUGCCUUUCUAAAGUAAAGAUGAAGCUUUUGUUGGCCCCACUCAGAUGCUUUCCAGCUAGGAUUCUCGUGACAUUGGACCCACUUGCAGCCGUCCGAUCUGCCACGCCCGAUCGCAGUUAUCGCUCUGAUUAUGUCGUCACUACAAGCCACCGCCUCUCUCCUCCAAAGUAUAUAUUAUAAUAAAUUUAGUGUACCAAAUAAUAGUAAUCCAAUAUAUCAUAAUGAAUUGGCAUCUUUAUGAGAAUGUUUAGGACAAACAAUGUCACGUUUUGAACUAAUUACGUAUCCGAGAAUGGUGUUGGCCACCCACUAUCACAGCAAAGUUAAUAUUGUAAGUAACAAUAUUUUGUUGUGAUACCCAGAUUAACUUCAAAUUUUGGACGUAUUAAAUAAUUACGUCUCGAUAUGCGUGUUUACUAUUUUCUUGAAUUUUAGUCAUUUAUUUGAAAACUUGAUUAAAAUUAAUACACAGGACUGUAUUGAUUAAAGUUUUCAUCAAAUAAUAUGUUUCUUCAUGAAAAAAAACAAAAAAAAAAAAAAGUGUCUGUGGAGCGUUAUUAUUAAUCAAAUCUUUUUUUGUUUUAAAAUUGAAAAAAAGGCAACAUUCUUCUCUUGUCCUAUUACAUUAUGAUAUUCUAUUGCCAUGCUCAUCAACAAUUUGAAAAGGCUUCAACGUCUUUGCUUCUUUAGCAAACUCAUUCCUACACUGACUCUCUCUGUAAAGUGAAAAAGGUUUAAGGGAAAGCAGGGCGGUGCGGCACGAAGGCCCCACCAAAAGUAUGUUGAUGAAUUUGGUUGGUCGAGCUGUCAAUCUCCGCAAAUGGGCAUGUGACGCGUGUAUUCCUUGACACCGUGGACAAACAAAAACCUUAGUUCUCUUAAUUAUAUGGCUUCCCUUAUUAUUUUUUUUAAAUCUUCUUUUAGGCAUUGAAUAUUGAUAGUCAUGGGUCCGUGCGACAUUGCCACCAUGGGUGUUACAGUCAUCUUUCUCUCUAAAGUUCAUUUUGUAAACGAGGAGGGCCACGGCACGGGCAUCACCUGAAUGAAUCACUUUACGCUUUGACGAGGUGGACCCAUCAAUUGUCAAUCUCGCGGGACACACGCAUUCUUAAUUACCCGAAGGGAAGAUGUUUCGGUCCCUCGCUUGCGUGCUCCUUGACAAUCCACCACCAAUUACUUGCUAUCUUGUAAAUCACUUGUCAUGAUCACGGUUACAUUUUAUAUCACUUGUCAUGAUCACGGUUACAUUUUAUUUUAUUUAACUAACGAGUGUAUAGUAUCCUCCACCAUCUAGAUUCUAGAACAAAUCAACCAUUGGAAUAAUAGGCUUAAUUGCCACCAUUCGUGAAGUUUCGAUCAAUGUCUGCUAUGAUUAGCAACAACACAACAUCGUGGCUUUGCUUGAAUCGCCGAGGAGGGGGCCUCCCUUUUGAUUGAUUUAUUUAAUUUAUCAGUUGUGGCAACUAGCUUUUGUUUUGUUAUUACCUUUCUUUUUCAGCUUGAAUUUAAGCAUUGGCAAUCAAUCAAACCCCAAGCUGCUAUUAGUAAUAGUAAUGGAGUGGGGUCUUCAGUAUGAAAUGUCAAUUGAGGCUUGAUGAAUUUCAAACUUAAUUCGCCCACCAUUAGAGGUAGAUUGAAUCUUUAAUGCUUUGAAUCUUUAAACGGAUUUUUAAUGGUGUGGCCAGAGUUAAAAAGAAAAGAGUAACUACUUUAUAUUUUAAGAAAAUUCACCAUCGAAGCAGCACAGGCUUUCAGAUGGUGAUAAUUAACUGCAUACAACUGGCCGAUGAAUGAUGAUAUUUAAACCAUAAAUUACUCCACCAACUCUACAACGCAUGUUUAGUUAGUAAAACCAAAAAUUUCUCAAAUAACGAUGCUUAACUUACAAGAUAAAACUGGGAAUUAAAACAGUGGUUUAUAGAAGAUUUAAAGUCAUGCUGGCUUCAAAGCCGUUCCCAGAGGUCCACCAAAUGGAUGAAAAUCACCAAGGAACCAUUCCCGAUGCUAUAAUUCAACAAAUAACAACAGAUCACCAUUGUUCAACCGACAAGAUCUUUCAAUACUGUUUCAGCACGCUGCUCAAAUUUUGGUAAGGCCCAUUCAUGCUGAAUUAUGUCCAGACUGUCUUUCUCAGCACCCAAGCUCUAGGAAAAAUUUGAAAAAAAAAAAAAAUUCAAAUUCAGGAGAUAUUUCAAGAGACAACUUGCAGAUGAUCCCAUGUAAUAAGUUUCAAACUGUAAAAUAGGUUCUGAAGUUCAGAAUUCCUAUCCUUAUGUCUUCCCUAUGUAAGUUCAGAAUUCCUAUCUUUAUAUGUAAGACAUUCAAGUUUAUCCAUUUACAAACAAGCAGAUCUAUGCCUAAUCACCUCAUGAUUGAUAUCCCUCUGAAAAGAAUGCUGCAUUCACGGCUUUCCCAAAUUAAUUUGCCAAAAAUAAUCCAACUGGCUUUCAGGAGGAACAUAUACUAUAGAUAUGAGCAAAAGUCUCAGUACUAAAUCUACUUCAAAUGAAGGUGUAUACCAAAACCCCAAAGGAUGGAAAACUUUCUGAAGUUGCUAAGAAAAGCUAUCCAUUUUUUCAAAAAGAUGAGCAGGGCUGAGAAAUGGCUACAUCUAAUAGUUGAAUAGGUUGAACCUACCGAAGCAUAUUUAAUAUGACACUGAAGGGCAAACGUUAAAGACGAGCAAAAAUUAAAAGAGAGAGAGAGAGAGAGAUGGAAGAGAAAGCCUCAUUAAGCAUUAGAAAAUGAACAAGGAGCCACUUAUAAUUAUACCUUGCUUGGGUCAAAGCCAAACCCACUCAUUUGCAUCAUACGCUGAGUAUCAUCAGUAGCUGCAUUUAAAGCGUCAUGGAUUAAGGUCAUUAUUUCAAAAGUAACUAAAAGCACUGCUGAACUGGACAAAUUAAUCAAACUCAUGGUGCUUCCAAUACUAACCAUUUUCUUCCCCCAGAAUGAGGCUAAAUAAACCCCUCAGUCCAAACAAAUUGAGGAAGUACCUUAAACAAACAUAAAGGAGAUGUCAAUGAUAGGAGACAAAAAGUCAAACAGCUGCCAAAGAUUAAAAAGCAGAGCAACAAAAGGCAUGGUAAGCAAGCUUCUCAUUAAUAACAUUGGAAAAUUACCAUGAACGACUACUGACAUAGCUUACAUCAACAGUGCUCAAGUCAAUCCCAUUUUGUAACAUUGACCUGAACCUCUGAGUCAGUGGGAAUGGUAUCUUGGCUGUGAAGGUAGUAUAAGCAUGCAUCAGAUAUAUAUUACAAACAAAAAAAGCCAUUUACAAAAUAGUAAGAUCAAUAUAGUCUGGAAAAAAAAAUUGAGAAACAUCAGAAAGAAACAAAAAUACUAAACAGCAAAGACUAAUAUUAUCAAAUAGCCCUUCUCAACAGUUGAAACAAAACAAAGCAAACCAAAGUUAACAACAAACCUGCAACAAACCCAGAGAAGAAAAAGUUGACCCAAGCAAAAGUAAGGGUCUGUCCAGCAGGGAGAAAACAUAAAAGAAAUUGUCAGUUAUCCUAUCCAAGAAACAUCACAAAAAGAACAGCAGUAACUCUUCAGUUUGCAUUACCUGGGGUAUGAUCAUUGAAAGAUUUUUCUUCAUCAUGUCCAUUGCCAUGUUAGGAUCGGAAAACAUUUGCGCUUGCGCAUUUUGUGCCUGACCCUUUGGCACAUGCAACAAUCCAUUUUCCUACCACCACACAAGAAAAGCACAAUACAAACAAACAUAUGUAAAUACGUACGUGUAUGUAUGUGUGUGUGUGUGUGUGUGUGUGUGUGUGUGUGUGUGUGUAUAAAUAUAUAACUUAAAUCACGGGAAAAGUCUGAAUCUUCUUUCCAGUAAGACCUAAAUAUAGAAGCGUAAUACUACACAUUAGAACUCCAUAUGCAAACUGAUGUAGCACUAGUACAUCAUUGCCUCUUGUGUCAUUGAAUUAAAUUGGCUUCAAAAUUUUGACUUCAUUGAUUUUCAUGCCUCAUCAGGCUGUAAGGAAGAUUAUAUGUUAAUUGUUCAUAGAAAGGCUGUGGGUGCUUUAGAUAUUGCAACAAAAGUUCACCACCUAGAAGUUAGAAAUUCAGAAAAGGUUUGAUGAAUUUCAAAAUUUUACCUAAGAGUACGGGGAAUGUGUCCGAAAUUUACCCUGAAACUACAGUAUUUCUAAGAAUCGGCAUAAAAAAUUUAAAAACUUUCCAACGACUAACAGUAACAGAACAUAAAAUCGAAGAGAAAGCAAACCUCGUUACAGAAAUAAACUCUGCGAGCGCGAAAAGACUUUGGAGAGAUAAAAUUAGCGCCAGCACGCAAAUUCCGCGCCCUAACAAUCACUUGUCUGUUCAAACACACAAAAUAUAUAUAUAUAUUAAUGUUUUCCAAAGAAGACAUAUAUCUAUAGAUAACAGAUUAUAAAGCUAUUGAUUUGAUUUGAUUUGAUUAAUGCUUGCCCUUCUUUAACGAUUUUAGGAUCGGGCACUUGAGAGGAGCGCAUAAGCUUAGAGACGAAGUAACGGAGAAUUCCAAUGAGCACCAUCACAACUGACAGCGGUAUCAGCACCCAGUCUCUGAUCGCCGUGUCAAGCACCAGAUCUUCCGCCAUUGAUGCUCUGUACCUGUGCCUGUGCCUGUGGGUGCUCGAUUUCGAUUUUUUUCGUUUUUGUUUAUGUGGUUUUUGAUUUGGGGUGAAGGGAGUUCGGAAGGAGAGUGUUUUGUCUUUUACUUAACACAUAAAUAUAUAAGAAACGCACCGUUUUGUCUGGUCGAUUAUGUAUUUGCCUCUAUUAAAAUCUGUCCUAUAGUCGGAUGGAAGGACAGUCAAAGUCAAAGGAGUUGUUCUUGUAGUCAUAAUUUGGGAUAAACCUAUGGUACCACAGUUGUAUGGUACCACAGCUGGAUCCAAUCAUUGGAUCUAACCCACAGUUGUCACCAGAACUAAAUUCAAUGGUUGGAUCCAGCUGUGGUACCAUACAACUGUGACACCAUAGCUGGACCCCAUAAUUUGUUAUCAUAAUGUACAUUAAACAAAGAGUGAGACUAAUAGCCUUCUUUUCAAACCUCUUUUCUAUCACAACUUAUUUUAAUUUCCUUUUCCAUUUUUUCAGUUUUUUAAUUAAAAAUAAUAAUUUAAUUUCUUCCAAACAACUCUAAUUAUAAAUAUUAUUUUUAUACAUUUUUGAAUUAUUAAAUCAUAUAAAUUUUACUCAAAAGAAAUCAAAUACAUGCAUGAAUUAAGUAGAAUUAAAGUGGACUCAAAUAGCUGUUAUUUAUUUUUUUAAAUUAAAAUAAAUUUAGAAAAUUUUUUAAAUUAAAAUAACUUUAUAAAACUUAUAAUUAGAAAGUUUAGAAAGUUUUGUAAACUAAAGUGGACUCAUAUAGCUAUUAUUUAUUUUUAAAUUAAAAAUAAGUUUUGUAAAUUUCUCAAGAAAAGGUUGUUUGUGAGGAAACAAAAAUUGUAAAAGAUGUUGGUGUAGUUGUAUGGGUGUAAAUAAUUAAAAGAAAAAAAAAUAAUGGUAUAAUUAGAUUUAUUUUGUCCUUUAAUGUAAUUGCAAUAAGAAAGGGGUUUUAUAAGGAUUAUAGAGGGGUGGUGCCAAUAGUUCACUUUAAUGUAAUUAAAGUGGACUCAAAUAGCUAUUAUUUAUUUUUUUUUAAAUUAAAAAUAAGUUUUGUAAAUUUCUCAAAACUACAUUAUAUUUCUCUUUUCAAUUCUUUACACCCAUACAACUACACCAAAGUCUUUUACAAUUUUUGUUUCCUCACAAACAACUUUUUCUUGAGAAAUUUACAAAACUUAUUUUUAAUUUAAAAAAUAAAUAACAGCUAUUUGAGUCCACUUUAAUUUACAAAACUUUCUAAACUUUCUAAUUAUAAGUUUUGUAAACUUAUUUUAAUUUACAAAACUUUCAAAACUUAUUUUUAAUUUAAAAAAAUAAUAGCUAUUUGAGUCCACUUUAAUUCUACUUAAUUCAUACAUGUAUUUUUUUUUUAGUAAAACAUGUAUGAUUUAAUAAUUCAAAAAUUUAUAAAAAUAAUAUUUAUAAUUAGAGUUGUUUGGAAGAAACUGAUUUUUUUCUUUUUGAAUUAUAAAAACUGAAAAAAUGGAAAAAGGAUAUUUUGGAAAUUAAAGUAGGUUUUGAAAGAAAGGGGUUUGAAAAGAAAGUUAUAGGGUGUUAAUAGUCUUACUCUUAAAAAAUUCUUUUAUUAUUAGAUAACAACUUUUUUUAUGUAUAAAUAUAAUGUUAAAUUGUAAAAAAUAAUGUUAUCAAAAUUACUUUUUCAUAAAUAAUAUAUCAAAUGCUUACCUUAUAAAUAUUUAUAACAUAUGAAAGCUAUUGUAAUAUAAAAUACUAUAAAUAUAUAUAUCUAUUUAAACUUUAAUUACAGAUAACACUUUCAAGGUCAUAAUGUAAAAAUAUUAGAUUUAAGAUAUUUUGAGUUUAUAAAGCCAAACAACUUACCGCUUAUACUCAAACGUCAAAAAUUAAAAAAUAAACAUAUUAUUUUGACAUAUGUAUUUAGACCCAUUUAGAGUUAAGUAAAAUUCAAAUCUAUUUAGAUUUCAAAUAAAAAAAGAAAUGCUAUCUUGUUUAUUCUUGGACUUUCUUUAAGUUGAACAUCCAUCAAUUGAUAUGCUUAUCAAAUGUGAUCAAUAUGGCGUGAAAAGCUGAAGCAUUACAACUCAAGUGAUAGUAAUUAUCUUUUAAUGUGCGAUUAGGUUUAUAUAUAUUUUUAAUAAUGCACGAAAUAAAUAAUUACCCAAUUAACUACUAAUAUGUCACCCUUCUAAUGUUAUUCAACUUUAGUGCAUGGCGUGAAGAUGACGAGGAUAAAUUGUGGUUUUAAUCUAAUUUUAUCUAAGGUUUAUUUUCUUGAUAAAUAACGAUAAAACAAUAAUCACAUUUAAAUGAUAUGUAUAGUCUUAGAAUUAUUAAAUGAGCCCCUGCUUAUAUUAAAUAUUAAAAUGAAGACCCAAAUCAUUUUUUAGUAAUAUUACCCAAUAAAUCAUAUAUGAGCCCACACAUCCUCCAAGUAGAUCUAGUUUCUAAUGAAUUUUUUAGAUAAUUAACUUAGAUCUUUUCUCUUACCUUUUACACCCCCUGGAAUGAACCCAGAAAAGUGGCUUAGGUCCAUUGUACUAUUCGUAAAAUACUUUUAUUGACGAGUGAUAUGAUAUAAAGCAUACGGCACGAGAUAUGUUUUUACAUUGUAUUAAUAGCAUGUAACUGUAACAUAAUAUCUUAAUUUUUUGAGUAAUGAUAUAGCCACAAAUUCUUAUAUAAAUUUAUUUUGUAGAAACUAAUGUGACAUUAAUUAAUUGGUUGAAUUAAAUAUCUCUUGACUCACAUGAUUUAUUUAUAUUAUUUUAUAUUUUCAUUCAACCAAUGAAUUAAUACCACAUCAGCUUGUAUAAAAUAAAUUUAUACAAGAGUUUGUGACUGUAUCAUCACUCUAAUUUUUUUUGCAUGCAUGGCUAUCAUAUGAAUUCAAGGAUCCUGUAAUUAUGAUUGUUUGCCCUUAAUAAUAGGAGGAAAGCAUUUUCAACCAGCUCACAUUUUUGCAUUGCAUGAUUUUAUUUUUGGGCCCAAUGACAUGGGCUUUUGCUUGUUCAUUUUUGUGUAUCUACAUUGUGAAAUUAAUUGGGAAGUAUUCAAAGUGCUCUUUAUUUCAUUUAUCAAUUGAUUUGUGAAUUAAAUGUGAUUACAAAUGAUGAUGGAUAUUUAUAGGCAAUGAAGCAAUCAAUUGGUCAUACGUUAGCAAUAUAUUCUUUGAAUCUUAUGGUGUUGUGAGCAUAACACCUUGUAAAUUGAGUGGUGUAAUGCACAACACAUAAAUGUUUUAAGAGAUGUGAUACACACACAAAAGUCAAAUAUAUGCUUUUGUAAUUCACUCCCUAAAGUCAUUAGUGUGAAACACAGAUUACUUACAUUAAGAAAUGGAUAGAGAUAUCUUAUAACAUUUUCUCUUAGUUAUCCACCACUUGAUGAUAAUUGUACUUGACCUUUCUUUGAAAAAAAAAAAACUAUGGGAAGCAAACCCUUAGGUAAAAGAUUGAAAAAAAAAAAACUAUGGGAAGCAAACCCUUAGGUAAAAGAAAUACAAUUCUACAAAUCAUAAAAUGGUGCUAAACGUGUUUCAAAACUGUCUUCUUUAAAUUCUUUACCAAUAAAAUCAAUGGGAUCAAAACUUGGUCAACUGAAAAAGAAUACAAUGCAAAUGUGUUCAGAUUAUUCACGAAAGUUCUUAUCACAAAAUACUAUGCUCCCCUAAUUAGUGCUCUUAAUGGGUGUUUAAUGCUUCUUGUGAUGGUAACAUGUAUCAAAUUUGAAGUUAGUUCAAGUGGCAUGUCGAUACCGUAUAUUAUCUCCUCAUAUGUUGAUGUAGGAAAAAGUUUUUGUAAAGUACAAGUAGCCACCGUGAGGUUUUGAUAAUAUCUCAGAAUCUUAUCACAUUUUAAUUUUAUAUCAACUAGUCAUUUUUUUGUUAACUCCAUUAGCCACCACUAUAUAAUUUAAAAUAAAAAACUAUUUGACCUAUCGGGGCUCCCAUAGUAUUGUUUUACCUUCGUAAAAUGAAUUUAGGGGCAAACGAGUCUUAUUUUAGAUUCAUUAACAAUAGUUAACAGAAAGGUCAUUGGUUAAUAUAAAUCUAAAAUUUGAGAUACUUUUGAGAUAUUAUCAAAAACUUAUGGUAACUACUUAUAUUUUCAAUAAUCUUGAUGUGGUUGUCAGAUAAUUUCCCUUACUUGAAUCAAGGGGUGGAGAGACAUGUCUCAUAACAUUUAUCUAUAUAUUAAAAUUUGAUCAAUUAUUGUUAUAUUAAGUGAGAAAAUCCAUAAGAUGUGGCAUGAUUAGGUUUGAAAGAUUUGUUGCCAGAUUUCUAUCUAACAUGGCAGUGGGAGUUGCUCCACCGCAGAACACUGAUGAUGACUGUCAGAUCAUAUCAAUAAAUGUAGAUUUAAUACUUAUUUUUAUAAUCGUACGGUUAUCAACAAUACUCUAGGAUAGAGGAGUUACAACGCAGCCGGACCAUCUAAUACGGAGCCCGUAAUCGAUAUUUCUCGUAAAUGAAACAAGCUACCCAUCCUAAUAUUAUAUUAUAUACCAUCGUGUGUCGCAUGUAUGCAAUGCAAUUAUGCAAGAUAGGUUUUGUAACUUAUCAAGAAAGAUCCUUAACCUGCAGUUUAAUUCACGGCCUUAUAUCGUAUCAUAUGCACGUAACUGCGCUUCAUUAAUUAUAAAAUAAUAAUAAUAAUAAUAUUCUUUUCUUGCAUGGCAGUUGCCUCCUCGCUUCUUUUCAUUGAUUUAUUUUAGUAAAUGAAACAUAUGUUUGAGUUCUGAUUGAUGAGUUUGAACUGCUCAUUUUUCAUUCUUAAUUUAUAUAUUUCAAUCUAGCAAAUGAGUUUAAUCUCUUCCCCUUCCACCAUAAAUUACCUUUUUCUCGGCUCUCAAUCAAAGACGAAUUUGAAGAACAAAAUAACUGUUAAAAAGAAAAUUCCAAAAGCUACUUCUGUUUUAAACAAUUCUUCUGCGCCAUAUUUACUUAACCCUCUGAUUCAAUUUCCAACAAGCUCUCCCUCACCCUCAAGGCACAGAGGCUUGUCUUUCGUGCCAUUUGAUGCCAAGAACUCAUCAUCAGGAUCAGGAGAGGAUGAUCACCGAGCAGCUUUAGAAACAGUUCUGAAGCUUUACUCUGCAAUCAAAAGCCAAAGUUUACGUGAGUUAUCGGAUAUAAUAGGUGACGAAUGCCGAUGUGUCUGCAAUUUCUUCUCAUUCUUCCAACCCCUCCAAGGGAAAAAGGUACUGUAUGCUUAAUUAACAAGAUUCCGGGGAAAAUUAAUUAAUUGAGACCGCUAAAAAUGUACGUGAUGACAAUCGUAAUUUGCAGCAAGUGCUGGAUUUUUUCACUUAUCUUAUCAGAAGCUUGGGAAAUAAUAUCGAGUUUGUAGUGAAACCAACUGUACAUGAUGGAAUGAACGUCGGCGUUUCAUGGAGACUAGGUUUGCUUUUAGUACCCAUAUUAUUCGGAAACUAUAAGGUAAUAAUUAAUUACUAAUAUUUCUCUCUGUAAAUGUAUUUAUUUAUCUGCAGAAUGGAACAAGAAACAUGUGCCAUUGGGAAAGGGCUUCAGUUUCCACAUUUGCCAAGUCUACCAAGGAAAGGUGUUCAUAAAGUGAGCACGCAUACCUCUUAAUCGUUAAUGAUUACCUGUAUCUCUUUUCAGAAGGCAUUUACUAAAAAUAUGCUUUAUAAUUAAUUGUUGAUAUUCAGGAAUGUGGAGAUGUUCAUGGAACCACUCCUCCAUAUCGGACCCUUUAGACUGGUCAGCUAUUUGAAGCUUUUGCACAAGUUUUAGUUUGUGUAAUGUCAUAUGUAUGUAUGUAUGUAUAGCUUCUUGUUUUGAAAUUGACAGUACCUUUUCCUUUCUUUGCUCGUCAUUUGGCCAGAAGAUUAUGGGAUACGCGAUGGCCAUUGUGGACAAGCUGAGCUCAAAGAGUAUUACAAAAAAGACUCUAUAUACAUCAUUGUUCGUUUUAUUUUUCAUGACUCUGGUUUUAUUGUUUUCAAAGCCUGGAUUCUAUUAAGAAUUUGACUUAAUUUAUCAUUAAUUAUUCAAACAACUAGGUAGGCUGCUAUCCGGGUCCCUACUUACAAAAUGUACUCUCUCGACCAGCUCACAAUUAAUUAAAAAAAAAAAAAAAGCAACUCGUGGAAAUGAAACUGUUAAAGCAGACAAAUAAUAGAAGUCAUUUACAUCAUUACUUGCAACUGAAGAAACUUUCUAGUUUGAUCGAGAUUAGGAAAAAGACCGCGCAACCUACUCACCAAACAUCUUCAGCAGUUUUAAUCAAAAUCAAUCCCUCCUCACAAGACAAGUCGAUAUUUACCAAAUGGAAUGAUAUUUUAGCCUCUGACAGUUCUAAGGCACUGAUCAAUGAUAUUUACCAAAUGAACCUGUCUCACUCAGUGAACAAAGUACCGGGAUUUAUAAUCAAGAGUCUCAACCAAGCGUCAGUACGCUUGAAAUUGCUCCUAAACAUAGUAGGGAUUUAUCAUUCCAUUUUCAUUCAGUCUACCUUCAGCAGUUAGCUUGGAAAAGAGAAAACAACAGUAAAAUUAGCAUCGAAAACUAAACCUAGGGCAAUGACAUAACUACAACAUAUCCUUGCCACUGGCCCAUGGUGUACAUUCUUGUUCUAAUCCACAAAUAGACAAGUAGUUACAGCAUCGGUUAUCUAGCCGUGUCAAUGCACAUAAAACAAAAAAGAACAAGGUCUUCACUAUUGGUUCUACCAUCAGAAGUGAUCACAUCACAAGGUCCCCUGUACCUGCAAAAAUAGAAUGGAGUUAUCAUAUCAUUUUUCAAGUAAACAUCAGACCACAAGUGAAUUAAAUAGACAAACAGACAAGACAGGAGGCUCGAAUGCAUACUGAUGGAAGAACAGUUUGUAGUUCAAUUCACAUCAGAAAAUGUGUUCAAUAUGACCUCAGAAAUGGAUAAUCAAACAACAUUAAGGAAUGCAAUUUCAGCUAAGACCCAGGUUUGACCUUUUUUUGUAUCUCACAAGCCCACAGAUGCUUGAUAUAACAGAUACAUAUGCAUUAAGUGGGUAUGUAAGCAUGUAAAAGUAAAUAUUUAAGAAGUUUAUACUAACCAGUCAAAACUCAGACAUCACGACUGCCUUAAAAAGUGAUUGCGUGCAAGCAUCUCCUGUAUCCCCAAUGCAGAGAUGCUUUCGCAUCCAAGAAGCUCGCGAAGCUUUGCAUCACAUAAUAUUACCAUGGAGUUUAGAGGAUCCUGCUAGCACAAUCAACACCACACAAAGUUAAUGCCAAAGACCUUUUCUCACUUGAUCUGGAAUUGUUUCAAAUGGCUAAUCUACUAAAACACUGACAAUUGAAGACUGCAAAAUUGGAGAAGAGGAAAAAGAAGAAACAAACAAAACAAACUACCAUGAUAUACAUUAAACAGAGUUAUACAACCUACAAUCAUGACUAAUAAUCCAGCAUUAAACAUUAAGUUUGCGUAAAAGAGCCAGCUAGCUCCAAGUUUCAAGGGACAAGUGGAAAAAUGAGAUUUGUUGAAGGAAACAGAACAGACAAACAAAUUAGAGAAAGAAAUGAACACACAGAUACACACCAGAGUUUAGACUAAUGAAUUUCAGCUGCCUAAAUUAUAUAAAUAAAUAAAUUCAAAUAAAAAAAUUAAAAUAAGCUAGUGCACCAGCAACCCACCUCCAAAUGGUUAACUUUUAUGUACUCCCAGACACGUUUUGUUGCUUCUGCUUGAAGCAUCUCCCUUCCUCCAGUGCCCAAAAACUUGGCCAGUGCUUCAGAUAUGAUUACAGAAGAUGGACCAGAUUCCAUACCUUCGGUUGUGGACUCGGCAUCUGGCUUGAAUCGUUUAGAAGAUUCCUCUGUGGAUAUUUACAAUGAGGAAAUGACUUAAUACAAAUAGUUAUAAAAGAAAAUUAGUCACUUUAUACUACAUUACAUACUUGUAGGUUCAAGUGGAAUAAUAUGUUUAGCUAGUAGCUUGUUCAUCUUGAACAUGUCGGUGCAGUCUGUCUCAAAAACCACACGCAGGGCAUCAUCACAAAUUAUCUUUCUCUUGUUACUUGGAUCUUGGAGGUUGUUCUUCCUUAUGUAUGCCCAUAACUGCUUCACAAUCUGAAUCAAACAACAAAGAGGCUUCAGAAAUCUAGAGAUAUAAAUGUAUUUCAGAACAUCAACAACAUAACUGAGUGUUGUAAUCAUAUUAAUUGAUCUAGGAAUGACAACCUCAGUCCUUGGCAUAGCUGGUUGACCAACGACAGCCUGAAGUUCAGGUGAAACACCACAAACUUUGUUCAAACCCCCAGGGCCGCCUCUUCUUUUGGCUCCAACAGGAGGACUGCAAUAAAUAACACACAUAAAUGCAUCAGACCGUUUGUCAAGCUCAUACACUCUAACUGCAAUAUGACAAAGCAUUUGCAGAGCAGUAGAUUCAACGGUCAAGCAGAGUGAAGAAGCAUAGAAUCUACUGCACCACUAAGUACAGAUAUAAACAAAGAAUACAUAAAAAGUACACAAAAUAUGAACAAAAACAAGAGCUUCAGCAUAGCAUACAGUAUAUGAUGGGUACAACUUUUCCUCAUCAAGGGAUUCAAAACAACAGUGAAAGUGAAAGAGACAAUCACGUGAAAAUUUCUAACAACGAUGUUCAAAGAAAUGAAACCCCCAAAAUUUCUUCUUUUCCCAGACCCCAGUCUUAAUUAAGUUAAAAUACCUUAAUCACUGCAACCCAAAAAAAAAAUAAUAAUAAUAACAAUAAUAAGUAAUUGUGCGCUCUGAUGACGUGACACAUUCAGUAUUAAGACUACCAUAACUUUCCCAAAAAUUCCUGCUUAGCGAAUGAUUUUUCUUUCCUAUCAGAAGAAAAAAAAAAUUGAUUUUCUUCACUUGAAAUUUCUAUAGAACCCUAAUUUCUGAAAACAAAUAAAUAAAUAGAAAUAACGGUAACUAUAAAUUACUACUAAACACAAAAUUGACACAACGAAAAUCCUUAAACACUAUAAAUUACUACUAAACACAAAAUUGACACGACGAAAAUCCUUAAACACGGAAAUCUCAGUAACCAAAAAUUUUGAAAAUGACAAAAAAAGAAAAAACUCAUACUUUUCUUUAGCUACUUCAGCCGAAAUUUGAGGGAAGGCCUCAGCUUUACUGACGUUCGAAUGCGGCUGAGGAGGAGGAGCCGCAGCCUGCGACGGUUGGGGCUGGCUGAAGUUGAGUUCUUGAGGAAACUGAGGAAGAUGGGGGUGAGGGUGGUGGAGGGCAAAAUGGGGAGGAAAUUGUUGUGGCGGUAGAGAAAAUUGCGGAUGAUGUUGGAGGGUAAAAUGGUCUUUUGGAGGAAGUUGUUGCGGUUGCGGCUGCGGUUGCGGUUGGGUGUUUGUUGCAACUUGUUGAGGCGUAGGGUGCGAGCGGAGGAGAAGGCUGAUCUGGUCUCGGAUGAAACCGGCCUUGUGAGACAAAUCUAGCCCAAGCUUUGCCUCCAGCUGCUUUACGACACCGUUUAACGAAGUGCUAGCGUUCCGGUCGGAUUGUCGGAGCAGGGUCUCGACACCUUUAGCUAUCUCCUGGUCCGAUACCAUUGUCAGUGAAUAGUGCUUUUGCUUUUGUUCACUCCUACUAACAUAUGAAAAAAAAAUUUUAAAAAAAAUUAACUGAAAAAACUAACACACAAUUACAAACCAACAAAUACACUAACGUUUCUCUUCUCUCUCACUUUCUCUCUCACUUUCUCUCUCACCCCUCUGCUACUCUCUGUCUUUCUUUUUCUCUCUUUCUCUCUCUUUAUGUUUCUUUAAAUGUCCUAAAUAUCCCUCACUUUUGUGUAUUUUAAAUUUUGAUCUCAAGGACAAUUUUACCCCUUGGGUAUAAUCGGAUGCAGGAUAGUAUCAUUCAAGUCCCUCAAUUUUCAGCAAGAUUACCAAAAAAGGGUGGAGAUCGCAAUCAUAAAGAUUCUAUUGCAAUAAAUUAAUAAUUUCACAAUAAUAUCUAUAUUUUAUGCUCUAAUGGAUUAAUUCAGGAUAUUGUUAUUAUAGCUAAGUAAACAAAAUAUUUUUUAAAAUUUUAUUGUGGUUCAACUUAUAUUUUUAAUUUAUGAUAAACAUAUUUACAUACGCAGAAUAUCUCUAAAGGUUUUAUUUACUUUUAUGCUUCAAAUAUCUAUUUACUUGUUUAUAUGACAAAUAAAAUAAUGAUAAAACAAAAUUACUUCAAAAAAAUUAUUCAAAUGUUUGAAGAAUUUCUUAGUGAUGCUUUAAGACAUAAAGAGCGUAUUUAUGCUAUAAAUAAUUUUUUAAAAAAAGAAAUAUAAAAUAAGACUCAAAUUUCUCACAUAAAGUAUGAAAAUAUGUAUAUUUAACUAAUAAUUUUGAUGGUUCUAUGUGUAUUUUAUUAAAUCAUAGAUUUAUUAAUCAACUCUUGAUAGAAAUCUAAUUGGAGGGACCUAUACGAAAAAAUUACAUUGUGUUUCCUUAGUUCUAGUUUAUUAUUAAAUCAUACAUUUUAUUAAUUAACUUUUGAAAGGAAUUGAUAAUAAUAAAAAAGAAAACUCCUGAAAAGGAAUCUGAUUGGAGGGACCUAUAUGAAAAAAUUACAUUAUGUUUCCUCAGUUAUAGUUUAUUUAGAGUUUGGGGACUUUAAAAUUAUUAUACCAAUUGCAUUCGAUUGAACCCGGUUUCCUUUCCGGUUAGCUUUAGUGGGAUGACAAUGGUAUCCUUACAAUAGGUGAGCUGAUUUUGAGAUUGGUGAGAGAUGAGUAGGGUAAAAGUGUAAAUUAAUGGGGUUAAAGGAGCGGAUAGGGAUGGGAAGGAUAAAGUUUACCAUCCAGAAAGAGAUAAAGAAAUAAACUGAAAUGAAACCGUCUCGUCUUUAGUUAGCAACUUGAAGUAAAGUUGUUGAGAGUAAAUUACGAUGCUAGGCUGUCGCUGGAUCUUCGUUUUGUGUAAUUUUGCAUGUUAGGAGAAGGAAAAAGAGAAAAAAAGAAGAAGAGUAGAUAAAAAGGAAAAACCGGGGUAUAAUAGUCAACAAAAAAGGGUACCUUGAUUUUGACUUUGAACCGUUGGAUGAGAACUAGUGGGGUGGGUCAACAACUGUAGAACGUUGUUGGCGACUGCCCAUCUGAGGGGCCCAUUAUUCAACGGCCGAUAACCUUUUGCUCGUCCGCGCAGCAUUUAUUUGGCCUUCCCCAAUAUCCAUCAACCCAUCGGCCCGAUGCUUUAUGCGUUGGGCUGCAUUGCACCGACCCAGAUCCAUGAAACCAAAGACCAUCAGGGGUCUAUAGUUAUUUAUAUUUAAUACAAAUAUUAAAACAAAACACUUGCUCAUUAAUAAUUUUGUACCAUUGUUUUACAGCCCUUUGUUAGGCUUUGUACCUUUGAUAUGUAUUUAAAUGUUGAUAUCAUUCCCAAUUUUUAUUGAUAUCAUGAACUAAAUUGGUUUGUUAUAUAAAACUUUCCUGACAGUUGUUAAGAUAAGGAGAGGGUACAAGGCAACGAAGGAAUAACCAUGUCCCAGUCUCAUCAUCGUCAGGUUGUCAACACAAACCCUCUCAAUUCCUCGUACUCGACUCGACCUCAAUCUCAUCGUUUACACUUCUCGAACGCCCUAAUGGGGAGCCGAACUCAAAGCUGGACUUCUCUGCUGCUAAAGCUCAAGUGCAAUGCCAAGUUUUCUUGUCUUUUCUCUGACAAUCGCAGAGAGGUACCCAUAUUUCUCUUUUUUUUUUUUUUUUUUNNNNNNNNNNNNNNNNNNNNNNNNNNNNNNNNNNNNNNNNNNNNNNNNNNNNNNNNNNNNNNNNNNNNNNNNNNNNNNNNNNNNNNNNNNNNNNNNNNNNNNNNNNNNNNNNNNNNNNNNNNNNNNNNNNNNNNNNNNNNNNNNNNNNNNNNNNNNNNNNNNNNNNNNNNNNNNNNNNNNNNCAGGUUAAUAAAAAUUAUUGGUAUCAGUGAUUUUCUGCUGCAAUUAGUUGCUUCACUGAAAAUGUUGUUGCGAUUGAUUAAAAACACAAGUUCUCCUUCCAGCUGAGCUGAGCUGAUUGUUGCUAGGAAAUUUUAUUGGGUUAAUGUAAAAAGAUGAUUUUGCGAUGAUUAUGUUCUGGAUUGGGGUUUUGGAUAAUGAGGUUUCAGUUAUUCUUCUGGUUAAGAGCGGCGAACCAUUUUGCCCUGCUGAGUUUUGGGAAUAUUUUACUUGGUCAAAUUGGCAGAAGACUAAAAUUAGGCAGGCAUCUUAGUAAAUUUUGGACCUCCUUUGGGCUUUGAAUAUUAGUUGCGUUAGUGUAGUGCUUAAUGGUAGUAUUUGAAUAGUUUAGGACAGUAUUUUUGUUCUAUAACUAGACAAUCAAAUCAGGCAAUGCCUAGAAUUGUACUUAUGGUCAACAAAUAGUAUGUAGCCUGAGCAGCUGAGCCCUGAGCAGUUUCUGUAUUUUGGACUCAUAAAUUCAAUUGUAAAAACUUUAAAAUUUCAAAAAUCUAGAGAGGGAGAACCAAGUUUUUUUUUUUGGGAACCAUUGCUUGGUAGGAGACAUUCAAAUCAAGUGUAGGUUCCUAGAAAUUAUUUGAUCAUUCUGAAAUUUUUAUGGAGGAUUAUAUGCUUUGCCAUCUUGUGCUGUCAGUUUUUAGACUGGACAUCAGACUGCUAUGCCUUAUAAUAAGUUUGAUAUGAGAGAUCCACAUUUACUGUCCCAUGGCUCCAAGCUUUAAACCUUAUAUCAGAGUACUAUUCAAAUAACAUGUUUGAUAGGAGGCAUUGCAAAUGUAGGCUAUACAGAUGGGUGGCUUUAUAGGUUCUUUUUGAGUUAUUUUAAUUUAUCCAUUUUCAAUGAGUAAUAUUUGAAGGAUGUUUUGGCUAUUAAACCAAAAGAGAAGACACUUUUUUGUAUUUUACUUACCUGUUCAGUAUGCUUGAAGCCCAUAAAUCUCGUAGGGGCAUGAUGGAAUUUAACUCCAAUUGAAUCCAUUUGGGCAUACAACUUCUCGAAGUCUGAUUCCCAUGAAUUUCAGAAUUUGAAAAUAUAAAUUUCUUUUUCAUAUAGUUUAAAGGUGUAUUUUCUCCACAGUAGAUGUACCGUAUCCAUAUUCAUUGUUGCAGGAACAAGCAAGGAAGGCAUUAGAGAGUGCUCUUGGCGGAAAGAAAAAUGAAUUUGAAAAGUGGGACAAAGAGAUUAAGAGAAGAGAGGAGGCUGGUGGUGGCGGUGAUGCUGGGGGUGGAGGCUGGUUUGGAUGGGGAGGACGGUUUGGUUGGUCCAACGGUGACCAUUUUUGGCAAGAAACACAGCAAACAAGUCUUGCCGUUCUAGGUAUUAUUAUCAUGGUAAGCAGUUUUCUUAAAAGUGUGUUGUGUAUGAUUAGAGUCUGUCAUCACUCUCUUACAAGUUUAUUUUUUGCAUUACAGUAUCUUAUUGUUGCAAAAGGUGAAGUGAUGCUAGCUGUUUUUUUCAACCCACUGUUGUAUGCUCUGCGAGGGAUGAGAAAUGCGUUCACUCUCAUAACAUCAAGGUUCCUGCAAAAGGCAUCUCCAAGUGGUCCAAAGAACGAAGUCUACAGCCUUCUUUCAGCUAAAGAGAGAGUUUUGAGAAAAUGGGGAAGUGAUUGAUUUUUUGGUUUCAGGUCUUGAUCCAUUUGGUUCUAGGCAAAACACUUGAUACUAUGUUUUGUGAACUUAAUGAGCAGGGGUAGAAAAAGAAAGGCCAAGGAGUAGAAUCUGUUUCUGAUUGCUGUUGUUGGCAUUGCUUUUGUAUGAUAAUUGGGCUCAUAUUAUUUUUGAGAUCCUAACCCUUGACUAGUUCACUCACGUGAAUUUGGAGUUUAGAAUUUUCUUACUUCUAAUCAAGUCGAUGUCCAUGGAUAGAACAUGAAUAUGAAGUGUUUUUCUCUCUUUACAUAUACUAAGCUUGAACUUAUCUUACUCUUGCAUUGUUUCAAAAUUGAGGGGGGUAACAUGGUACUAAUGGCUGAUGAUGUACUUUUGAGACUUUCCUCAUUAUUUCUUCUAUGGCAUAUCCUCUAAAUAGAAGUGUUUCAUGCACAAGUUGAAGAAAACUUUGGUGAAGAUAACAAAGGUGAUAGACUGUUUUUUUGCUAAGAAGUUCUAUUCUUUUAACUGCCUUCCACAAGCAGUUGCACUUUUACCUUACACUGUAAGCUUGGCUAGAAAUCUACUGCUUGCUAACACAUACAUUGGUAUGUUAAUUUUCAUAGUACUGCUUGUUUGAAGAAAUCUGCUUGUACUAUUACCAGCCUUUUUAUCAAAUUAUACAGAAGUUGGUAAAUGACAUAAAGACUCCAUUAAUUUAUACGCCUUUGUUGGCCGUGUAGCCCAUAAUGUUUGCCAGAGUUGAUUUUGCAGUUCUAGUCACCAGUGAGCCUCUAUCGAUAGCUGCAUGUUGUUUGAACAUAGAAUGGAGGGCCAUGCUAGUUAUGUGCAUGUUUCACCAUCAUCAUAGCUGUCUUUCUAAUGUUUAAUGUCUAGACUUAGCCCCCUACCAGCCUGUUGAUGUUUACUCCUCUGCUUAAUUUGUAACGGGAACUCAUGCAACAGGCUGGAACCCUUUUGUGACUUAUUUGUUUUUCCCUUCAAUUUUGAGGAGAUUUAAAAUUUUUCAGUGGUUAAGUAACCAUAAUUUGCUCUCCCUGUCUGGAUAUUGGACAAUAAUUAUCUCUGGCGUGUGAAGGACCUGUUAAUUGGGAUUGGAUUGGGGUUGUUGCAACGAGUUAAGAAACAAUGAUCUGAGAUGGCAACCAUUAUUAGGAUUCAUUAUCUGGGAGGUAGAGAUAAAUAAAUUUGACACAACUAAACUCCUUGAUCAAGAAAGUUAAAAAGAGAAGAAAAUGCAGACAUUUCUCAUUUAGUUGCACCUAAUAGUGUUGGUUCAAAGUCAUCUCACGCCUAAAAUGGGGUAUUGUAAGCUACUGCUGAGUGAAUUAACAGCUUCUCUUAUGUUUGGCUUGACAUUUUCCUUUUCUUCAUUUCCAAGCUGUUAAUUUCAAAGUUCUUCGUAAAAAUAAUGGAGCUAAAGAAAAGAAAACAAAAUUGGAGAGAGAUUCUAUGGUUUGCGGAACCAUUAUUAAUUUGUUAACGCAUAAAAAAGUCUGGGAAACCAUUUUUAAUUUAAUUUGUGUCAUGUAUCAUGAAUCAUAAUUAAUUAAACUUAAUCAUUCUAGCGGGUCCUUUUCAUUUACCUCCCUCAAUGGCUCCAUCCCGUCAAUUAUGACAACCUCAUGAGCUCUCCUCUCUAUGCUGCAUUGUCGUUCAACUACAAUCAUAAUCACACAAAAUAUCUAUAUAUACAAUUAAGCAUCCCAAGAUAAAAAAAAAAAAAAAUGAUUGCGUUACUGCAUAUCAGAGUUUUCCAAACAGAGACUGUUCGGGUGAUUUUAGAAAGGAUUAAUUUUAGAUUACUCCUCCGUAAAUUGAUUAUCUUUAAAUUACUUUCUUUAUUUUUUGAAAACAUUAAUUUACAUUUUUUUUUGUUAAGAAGACAUUUUCCAUCCAUUUUUUUAACUUUCUUUUAAAAAUAAAUGAAGAUAAUUUAAAAAAUUUUUUAAAAUAAAAGAUAAUUAAUUCACAAUAGUAUAAUAUAAAAUUUAUCCUUUCAAAAAUUUAAAAUCAAAGAAAAGAGUUUCAAAAUAUUAAUUUUUAAUACACCUGUAGAUCAUGUAAUGCUCAGCUAAGAUAAUUUUAAGGAGUAACAAAAAUGUUGUAUGGACGGAUCCUUUGCUGGCUGAAGUGAAAAAUGUAUUCACAUAUUUGAUAUUUAAUGAAACCCUCACUUUCCUUCUCGUGAGAAAGAAGAGUUUACAACUAAAGCAGGGAAAGUACAAGGUUAGUCAGUUACUCAGUUGAUGUUACGCUAUACAUAAUAACGGGCUUGACUAGCUUACAGAAUCUGUAAGCUACAGACUGCAGCAUCAGCCGUUGGAUGUGGUUGGAUGUGGAGUGAGAAACUAAACAAUAGAAGAUCGGAUGGUGGGUUGACGGGAGAUGUUUGUUACAGAAUCUGUACCAUAGACAGGUCCCAUAAUAACAUGUCAGCCAAGAAUUGACGGGAGAUGUUUGUUAUAGAAGAUCGGAUGGUGGGUUGACGGGAGAUGUUUGUUACAGAAUCUGUACCAUAGACAGGUCCCAUAUAACAUGUCAGCCAAGAAGGGGAGAAAAAAAAAAAAAAAAAAGCAAAUCUUUAAUUUCCAAUAUCCAAUCAUAAGAAAAGAGUACAAAGACAUCUUUCAUCGACUCAAUCCUGGGCUAGCCUCUCUCUCUGUGUAACCCCCUGUGAAUCAUUCUCUUCUAUGCUAUUGUGUUUGAAAAAUAAACUAAUUAGUGGUAUAUCGAAUUUGGUUGUAACUUGUACGCACAAAAAUGAGCCCUCCUCGAAUCAUGGUCUUCGUGGAAGCUAGUGCAUGAGGGAGUGACCUUCACGAUCUCUCCACUUGUGUCUCUUUUAUUAUUUUUCAAUGUUGUUGUUGAUUCAGAAUUUCGGAUCACCACAUGACCGUUUCUUUCUCUCUUUGUAACUUUCCUUAACGAACCCAUCUCACUCUUUUCUUUUUUUCUCUUUUUCUUGGUGUCUUUGCCUGUUUGAAGAAUUAUCCUUUUCUGGGUCGUCUUACUUUUGCUCUUUCUUUACCCGUUUUAUAUAAUUCUUUUUCUUUUUCUUUUUCUUUUCCUCUCUUAGUUUUAUAGAUACCCUUUAAGAGAGAUUCUUGCCGGUGGGUUUCGGCUUCUUUGUCUUGUUGUACUUUAGCUUUUGGUCAUUUUCUUGAGUGAUCUAGUUGAGUGAGUGUAAUUGUUUCUUGGUGUUUUUGGCUACUGUUAAUGGACUGUUGAUGUCUUUAGCGGUAGGUGUUGAUUCAAGUUCCAAAAAUAUGGGUUUGGAUGACAAAGACAAAAGCAACAAGAGUGAAGUUUCAGGGGAGACAAUGCCAAAAACACCACCAAAUGAAGAGAACGUUGAUGAACAAAGUGGAGGUAUGUCUAGACAGAUGAGUGAGAAUUCGAUUUCUGUAACUGAGGAUGAAGAAGACGAUGAAGACAGAAAGAUCGAGUUGGGUCCUCAGUACACUCUUAAAGAACAAUUUGAGAAGGAUAAGGUUUGUUUCUUCUCCUGCUUCGCUGUGUUUUUUGCUUGCUUUCUUUUUCUUCUAUUCAUCUGAAAUCGUUUUUCUUUCUUUUUGUGGUUGUUUUGAGGAUUCAGGAUGAUGAAAGCCUGAGGAGAUGGAAGGAACAGCUUCUUGGAAGUGUGGAUUUUGAAUCUGUUGGAGGUAAAAGUUGUGAAUUUUGUAGAUUUUCUUCUCAUGUUCUUUGGUUGGAUUCUGAGGUACUGAGGACAGAACAACAAUUUUAAUCUUUUUGUAUCUUUAUUUACCUCAACACCAUCAAAAUGUUUCAUUUUGAUUUAUGUUUCUGGGGCAAAAAACAUUUAGAUUUUGCUGCGUUUUCUUUAAGGUUUUUGUUAUUUGAUACAUCAGAUACUCUGAGAUGGCAAAAGUCAGUUUUUAUUAAAAUUUAUCUCCUGUUUGGUGGUUUAUAUUCGAGGGGUCCUUCUUGUUUGUGUCAACUAGAGAUGAGAAUCAUUUGAGUUCUUUCAUCUGAUAACCAAUAUUCAUAUGCUUGUUAAUGGGAUAAAUUUCAUCUGUGUCUCUCACAUUUUUUUUCUACCCAUCAUUGUGGUAUCAUGUAGAAUCUCUAGAACCAGAGGUGAAGAUCCUGAGCCUCGCAAUCAAAACCCCCGGCAGACCUGAUAUUGUUCUUUCAGUUCCAGAGAAUGGAAGGCCAAAGGGUUCGUGGUUUACCUUAAAAGAAGGGAGCCGUUACAGCCUGCAGUUCAGUUUUCAGGUGAGGAACAAUAUUGUGUCCGGCCUCAAAUACACUAAUACGGUUUGGAAAACUGGUCUCAAAGGUAAUCUCUCUGUGCUUAUCCUCUCACAAGUUUGAGAAAGAAUUAGGCCUUCCAUCUUUAUAACACACAUGAGUCCCUUUAACAGUGGACAGCACAAAGAUGAUGCUUGGAACCUUCAGUCCUCAGGCAGAACCUUAUACUCAGGAGCUGCCUGAAGAUACCACUCCAUCUGGCUUUUUCGCUAGAGGUUCUUAUUCAGCUAAAAGUAAGGUAAGUUCAGCCUGUUCUGCAUUUUGUAGCCUUUGUUUCCCUGUAACUAUAUUAAUUAUUUUGAGACCCAGACAUAUAAUUUAAAGAAUUAUGUAGUAGGUUGACCCAUUGUGCUUUCAUCCACAAUAUUCACCACUUAGAAUUUCAUUGAGGCAUACCAUCUUUUCUGGAGCUUUUACUACAUCAUUUGCUGCCUAACAAGGCACAGAAAAUUUCCAUUUGCUAAAAGCUUUCUGUAUUGCAUUUGCUUCACCACUCAUUUGGGCUUGUAAAUGACCAGUUGCUUUCUCAGGUAUGGAAAAAGGAAACAAAUUAUUGGAAUAACUCUUUUUAUCUGUCAUUAUUAAUUAUGUUACCAAAUUAUGCCGGGCCCUAGAAUGCUCGCUUUUGAACAUUGAGUGAUGAUGUGUUCUCUCCCUCCUUAUCUGCAUGAACUAUUUUUCCAUGAAUGGAUCCACUCAAUUACUUGUCAGGCCUCAUAUCAUGUUUAUCAUAAUUCAUAAAUCAUAAAUUACAAUAAAAUUUGAGGACUGCAUGAUGUCUGGAUUUACAACAUUGUACGUGCUUUUACUGUCUUAAACAUUCUGUAUUUGAAAUUUUGCUCCAAAUGAUUUCCUCCAUUGUCUGUUUUCUCUGUUUUCAGUUUGUUGAUGAUGACAACAAGUGCUACUUGGAGAUCAACUAUACAUUUGACAUCGGUAAAGAGUGGCUGCAGACUGAAGUGUGAAUCAUCAUCCAGCAUGUUUCGUUUCCUGGCCCCCAAAAGUCAAUUUGUUUUCAAGUUGAAAUCUGCUUUAGCUGUUAACACAUUUCAUUUCUAUUUUCUUAUUUAUUUUAGUCCUGUCUGAGAUGUUCAGCAUCUACACAAGGAAGAGGGGAUUUGAAAAAAGUAAAAAAUAAAAUAAAAUAAAAUGGAGCGAGUUAUUCAUUUGGUAGGUCUCAACCAAUGAAGGUUGAACUUGGCUGUUUGAGCACACAGACACAAGUCACUUUGUGUAUUCUUUUGCUUUUCAGCAUAUUCAUAUUGAUUGUUGGUGAAGGCAUCAUCAAAUUGGUGUUGUGUGAAGCUUUAAAUUUUGUAGUUUUGAGGUUUGUUAAUAAAAUUGAGAAAAGUUGGAACCUGAAAAGCAGUGCAGUGUUAGAAUGUUCCAAGUUGUUUCCCGUUUACUCCGCUCGCUGCAACUUCUACCACCUUUAAUAUUAGCCAAAGCCUGUCUCUUUUUAACUUUUCUUUUUCUGAAUGAUGGAGUUUGUUUCUUAGUUUCUUGUAUUCUUUGGCUGUGGUUUCAUUUUGUAUCUUGAAUCUUUAUAAAACAGACUUAAAAAUAACCAACCGCUUUUAUAUUGAUGUAAAACGUAAUUCUCAAGAUGCUGCUUUUGUGGAUGAAUUAAGCAUGUUAAUUGUUAUAUCUCUAAUUAAGAAACAAGCUUAAACACUUUCUGAACCCUUAUUAUACAGUAAUAUUCUUGUCAACGGUUUUAUUUUAAACAAAAACUAAAGCAAGAAAACGUAGUUUUCUAACUACUUGUUUUUAAUCAAAUCCCAUUUAAAUGGAAACAAAAUGGAAUAAUUUAAAAUAUUAUUGAUGAAUCUAAGUCUCUAAAAUAACUUUAUUUUUUUUAUAGUAGGUUAUUAAAUUGUAAUCCUAUUCAAAUAUCCCAAUAAUAUUCAAUUUUAAUUAAACUAAAAUGACAAAACGACUCCAAUAGAAAGUGUUAAUCAAGAAAAAUCCUAAUAAAAUACAUAAAUCAAAACUAAAUUGAGAAUUUUUAAUAGCAGUUAUAAUAUUCAUUAUCCAAUAAAUGAAUGACACAUAAUCGUUAAAACUCAAGUUGAGACUCAACUAUUAAAAUCUCAAUCAUUAUUCUUCAUUUUCUCCCGUAUACUUCCUCCGUCACUAAUCGUCGAAUUAUAGUAUUAAUUAUUUUCCAAUGCCAAUGAACGAGGGUUAUACUACGUUACACCAUAUUUAAUUUACAGUAAUCCUUGAAUUGUCACCCAAAAUUUAAAGCAUGUGAAAUAAUUAAUUUAUCGUGAGUGACAACUAAUGCAUUUACUAUAGGUUACAUUAUAUGUAACACGGUCUUUUCCCUAUGCAAUGAACCAUGUUUUGAUUAAAAUAAUUUCCAAAUUUUUUUCUGCAUGCGGGUAAAUGAAAUACGAUCCGGACUCCGGAUGUGGAUCAGAAUGGUUAUUUUCAGCCCAAAUUAAUUUAACAAUCCAAAACUUUUGGUUCCAGUUUGCCCAUUCUUAUUGGAGAACGGACAAGAAGGAAGAGCUCUUCAGCACGUAAAAAAGAAAUUAAAAUUAAAAUUAAAUCGUUAUUAAAUAAAAAACUGCGUCUCUAAUUUUGGUGUUGGGAGUGGGUGACGAUGACGAUGAUGAAGACAUGAAGAUGAGGAUGACUUGGCUGAUGGACAUGGUCGAGGGAAGUGAAGCAGGCUAGUUGAAGUGCAGAGGGAUUGUACGUAAUUUGGGAGUACAUGUUUAUUUUAGGUUCUGUUGCAUUCUUUGUUUAAGAAAAUACGCAUGUACUGUGCGAGUGCAUGUUGAUUUUUUUUUCAAAUGUUUGAGAAUGCACGCCGUACUAUCUAUUGGGUCAGCAAUCCUGGAAUGUCUACACUGCAGGUUUUGGAUUUUGAUUUUGAGAAGCUGUGCUCAGUUUCUCUUUCUCUUUCAAAUUAACUUGAAUGUGUAUGCGUGUUUGGUUUGUGGCACGUAUUACCAAGUAAGAGGACAGAAAUCUUAUAGCUUUGGAAGCAGGAAACCAUGCCCACACCACAUAGUUCUUCGAUCAGAGAAAGUUUUUUGAUGAUGUUUGGCAUAUCAUGUUGUAAUUAUCCCAUGUCAUUGCCUUUGUUUGCAACUCCACGGUGUUUUAAUUAUGUGCUUUGGACUCUACAUCAUAUCCUUGUGCUCCGGAUCGAUUAACUUUUUUCGGAGAUUCGGCGUAAUCAGUUGAAAAAGUUCUACUUACACUACAAUAUUAACAUCGUGCCUGCAUCAUGUACCUGAGUAUCGGGUUUCAUGUCAAGUUUUCGACUCAUACCCCUGCAGGUCUGCCAAGGAGCACGUAGAACAGCUUGACAGAAAGAAACUAUGGUCAAGUUUUCGACUCAUACCCCUGAAAUUAAUGGACCCAUAUUUGUUCUUGCUUUUACAUUGAUACUGCUGCAAAUAUAUCGAUUUCAUCAGCCUCUCUGGCAUGCAGUUAGACACUAAUUUUGGUCACUGUCUCGUGCUAAUCACACUCUUAUCGUGGAAAAUCUUCAGGCGGGUCUGAUUAACGUCAAGAAGACUGAUUUUGUGAAUGUCACAAUCCGAUCCCUAAUGAGAGUUACUGCACUACGGAAUUUCUUCCACUGUAAUCUCCACUUGUUCAACGGUAUAAUCAUAUUGAGGUCAUGGUUUUUUGAAGUAUGUGAGGCCUUCAUGAAUUUCUUCCAUCUAGGGAUCAGCCCACUUGCAUUCAUGUCAUGCUGCAUGAAGAUGCUAGAAAUUCGAAGAAAUACACUACUAGGUAUAUGAGUGCUUUCGGGUUUGUUUUUGGUUUGUCAUAAUGUUCUCGCUUGUUUUCAUCAUCUAAUUAAUGCUAGAAAUUCGAAGAAAAACAUAAGUAGUGUGUUUGAUGUCGGGAACUGGAAAUUGUGAAGGAGACGCCUAAAAGUGCAGAAAGAGAGCUGAAGAAAGUACAGAUAGGGAAAGUGAUCAAUGAUAAAAUUAGCACAAGAAUGCCAUCCCUACUGAUGCUUGUUCUAGAUUUGCCUUUUCAGAGAUGUGAUGGAGAAAAACAUUAUACCCCAGGUAAAGGAUACACUGCAGGCUAAUGUCCCAAGUUGCCGGUCCUCCUCGAGGUGCACCCCCUUAUGGUCUGCCCAAGCGGCCGGCAACUGGGGGCCCCGUACUCUCUUGCUCUUGGCCUUGGGGGUACCAAUUUUAGAAACCACUAGAGUAUUUUUAAGUACUUAAAAUCAGAUUGAAUGCAUGUUUGCUAUGGAUUCAUUUAAUCGUAGAAAGUAUUUGUUUAGCUUCAAUGUUUUUUUAAAUUUUUUGUGUUGUUUAUUUUACUCUACUGGUAAAAUAAUCUUUGAAAUAGUUAAAUUAUCUAAAAUAUAUGUUUUUUAUUUCACUAUUUUAUUUUAUUCAUUUCAUAAUAAUUUUAAAAGAUUUAUUUAUUUCAUUAAUUUUAUAAUAACUUUAAAAGGUUUACCUAUGAAAAAAAAAUAAAAGAUUUACAGUGAGUGCCAUUUAAUUAAGAUGGUAAAAUCUCUUGUGUUGAAAAAAUAAGAGAUUUUAGGUUCGAACUCCGCUCACAUAACUUGUAUUGGACUGAAUUUUUUCAUUAAGUUAAAUAAUACAAAAUAAAAAAAUUAUUUAUUAAAAUAAUUUCACAAUUAUUAAUAUAUCUCUCAUAUCAAUCAACUAAAAAAAUGUUGUAAAAAUUCAAUUUGUAAAACCUUAUUUGAAGAGUUUACCAAAUGUAUGAAGGAAGGGGUUCGAGCCUCUGCAGACGCAUUGCAGGGGUUUCAUUUAAAUGUCAUUCCUUAGAGUCCCAGAACUUGAGUGAAGGCAGUCUUUCUCCCAGACUGGGAGUUUGACAUCCCUCGAAUAUUUGAGAGGGUUAAGAAUCUGAGCGGUGCCAUAGCAGCAUAAAUGUCAACAGAUCUCAGUGUAUAUAUAUAUAUAUGAUUGUACAUAUCAGUUAUACUCUCAUGUAAUAUGAGUUGUAAUUUGAGCAAUAGUCUCAUGUCAUCAAAAAAAAAAAAAAACUAGAUUUAUAAAACCCACUUGUAAUUGUUAGACAGUAACUAAACUUAGAAGUCCCACCAAGUGAUGGGAAUUCAUCUCCCCAUACUUGCAGAGACAAGUUGAGCAUUAAUAGAUGACAAGGUCGUUUUAAUUUAAGUUUACAAUUAAAUUUUGACACAAAUUUUGAAUUAUUGAUCUUUUAUAAUCUAAUGGUGUAUAAAGAUAUAUUAUUAAUGUUACUCUUAAUUUCAAAUUAAGAUAGUCUAAUCUAUUAGAAAUUAUAACACCUCAGUUUGAAAAAACUCUUGAUUUUUUUUUUUCCAUGAAAAUAACUUGUACUUUUGCUUCCAGCUCAACUCAAUCAGAACUUCUAGGCGUUCAGAUUCAGAGAUGACUCUAAAGAGGAAAUGUUUGUUUUGUUUUGUGAAAUCAACCGGGCAAAGGACAAAAGCUAAUAAAUUAUAUUGGUUUUCAAAUUUCAAUUAAUGAGUUGGUGGCCGCUGGCCUCAAAGCAGGACAACCAAGGUUAACACAUUCACACCGGCAGUAGGAAUACAGAUCUACGAUGAUGAGAUAAAAUUUUUAGCAAACCGAGACAAAUGGCAGAGAUUUAUUUAGUGAAACAAUAAAUGAGACAAUUAAUGGAACAUUCAAGUCCUCAAAACAGAAUGAACGUUGCAUCUCCAUCGGGUGGUGAUAACAAAUUAUCACAAGGUCUAUAAAUUACUCAGACGAGGAGGUGUUGUUGGCAAGACUCAAUAUUUGAUCUGAAGCAAAUGGAGAAGAAGUUGCAUAAACAAACACAAGGUAUUGUGUCAGUGAUGCUACUGCUGCUGUGGUUGAUGAUUUCCCCGACGCUGGCGUGUGGCCCGUCACCGGAUGCCAGUGGAUGUAAAGACUGCAUUGCGGACCAGAUGAAGUAUGGUUGCCCAUCAUGCGUGCCGCUUUUGCACUGCAUGGCUCGGUGCUUGUGGGGCGGCACGGCAAGGGCUAAGUGUAUUCACAAGUGCGACUGCGACGGUGGGAAGCCAACGCUUUCCGAUUGCAAAAAGUGCAUGGCCAGGUGCAAAUGCAGUUGUAUGCCUAGAUGAUUUAAGUUUCCAUAAACUCACUAUGUUAUUCUAUUCUACCAGUCUGUUUCUUCAGAUGUGUAAAUUAACAACUAUCAUGGUUUCAUUUUGUGUAUCGAGCUUAAUAGCUUUUGGCUUAAGCCGAAGUUUAGGGAGGAGCAACGCAAAGACGCUAUCUAUUUAAGGACUUAAAAAAGUAAUUUUACAGCUCUCGAUAAGGCCAUUGGCAAGCUGCACCGUUUUUAAUCACUAUUUUACAAGAAAUCUAUUUAUUUGAUCUCAUCUGAAUUGAGGCUCGGAUUGCAACUUCUCGAAAUCGAUAAUCUCACUCACUAUAGUACAUUAGGCAGGCUUUUAAAAGCACCUAUUCCAGCAAACACUUACUAAUUAUUUUGCCAAAUUUGGCCCCUAUGUCUGUCAUGGAUGGUAGAAGAAAAACAAACCUGCUUUUCCCCAGCAUUAAUUAAGCCGUAGGUAGGUGCCGGUGGGUGUACGCAUCAGUAAUUCACUAACACAAAAUUUCUGUUUUUACAUUUUUAGUCACGAAGAAACCUCUGCAAGCAACGAAACCCCAGGUGCUGAGCACAAAAUCUCUCCAUCUCAUCACCGCCUCUCUCUCUACACACUUCUUCCUCCAUUUGUUCCACCACCUUAUCCAAAUCUUUCCAAUAACCAUAUCGACCCCACUCCCCAAAAUCAUCAUCAAAGUUUGAUCCACAAAUCCCAUCAAGAAUCUCCUGCAAGCUCACGAUCCUACGGCUCACCAUUCUCCUGGCCUCUCUAAUCGACGGAUCAAUACCCGGCACUGAGUCUAGCCUUAGAAGCAAACCCAUCAAGGCCUCGUUCAUUCUCAGCUUCUCACGCUCAUCACUCCUGAUACAAUCCACUGUUUCCUGCCUUUGGAUUACACGUUGCAAGUGAUUGGCUUCAGAGUUGACGGAUGAGAUUUUUCUGUAGAGAGUGCGGAUCCGGUGGGAUUUGUAGGCGGAUUGGAUUUUGGUGGCGGCUUGUGAUUGGAUUUGGAGCUGCUGAGGGUGAUGGUCGGUGAUGGGGGUUGGUAUUUCAGUGGUGGGUUGAGGGGCAGAGUGGUCAUUAUGAUAAGUGUAGGUGACUGUGGUGGUUGAUGAUGCAGAGAACAUGCCGAAUUUGCUGCGAGAUGAUGUCAUCGCGACGGUUCGGUGUGUGAAUUGCAUCGUUACUUAUGGCUGAUGAAAAUGAAAGUUGGUUUCCUCCUUAACUUUCUUUUCAAGCUGGGGCUGGGCUUUCAACCCUUUCUGUUUAGUGCGUGGGGACUGAGUGAUCCUGUUACGUUUCUUGAAUCAUCUUUGGCGCUUAAUACGCAUAAUGCACUGUAUUAUUUUUACAUACCUCCCCUGAGGUUUCACCUAAUAUCAGUUUAAUAGAAAAUAUCUUCGUAUUUUUACAUCCCUCCCCUGUAGUUAGUAUUUUCGUCAGUUGACCGUUAGUGGACUAACAAGAGGACGAAAAUACCCUUUCAAGGCUGACAGUCUUCUUUCAUCCAACAAAAACUCAAAUCCCCUGUACCACCUCACCAACAAAACCACAUCCUACCUGUCAAAAGUCAUCCAUCCACCCCCGCAAAUCUACGUGCCGCCGCGGAGACGGAGGACGAGGUGGAGAGUCGACUCCUUCUGGAUGUUGUAAUCCACCAAGGUGCGCCCGUCCUCAAGCUGCUUUCCGGCGAAGAUCAGCCGCUGCUGGUCCGGUGGAAUCCCUUCCUUGUCCUGGAUCUUAGCCUCGACAUUGUCGAUCGUGUCGAAGCUCUCCACCUCGAGAGUAAUGGUCUUGCCGGUCAAAGUUUUCACAAAGAUCUGCAUCUGUUAAUCAUAAAUAGGUUUGAUUGAGUUGAUGGGUACCAACAAAUUUCUGUAUGAAAAUAUGUUUCGUUUUGCGGAUUCUUUCAGGGUUUUUGUUUCCCAGUGCUGGGUUCUUGUUCUUGGAAUUAGCUCAUAUAUUUAUCAGGUAUAUAUGAUCAGUUCAAUUUAGUUCCUUCUUUGUUAUUGAAUUUGCUUCUUCUUUUUUGUUUCUUUUGGGUGGUUUUGGACUAAUUUUUUUCUUUUUUGGCAGUUUUAAGGAAGGAAUCCAUAAUUUCAAUGAUCAAUUUGGUACAAAUUGUUACAAAAAGGGCAAACUAUCGAAGAAUUUGGCCAAAAAGGGGAAGAGUUAUGAGGUUGAUGAUGGAGAGCGGGUAAAUCAAAUUGGAGGAGAAACAUAGAACUCUGUUGUGGCUUCAAGCAGUAGCAAGUAUGAGUUAUCGUCUGGGAAAGUUAUGAGCUGGUUCAUUGAAGAACAAAAAAGUAUGAUUUUUUCUGUGCGAGAAUUAUAUGUGGGUUCAAAUGAUUCCACUCAAUCAAACAUAUUUUCAUACUGAUGAUAUACAUAACUUUAUACUAACUGCAGGGGAGGAUUGUAAAAAUACAAAGAUACUUUCUAUUAAACUAAUAUUAGGUAAAACCUCAGGGGAGGUAUGUAAAAAUAACCCAUAAUGCACUUGAUUUGGUGGCGCGUUCGACGAGCACCGUCCCGGAACACCGUGGGACCCAUGUCCGUUGCCUUUUGACGAGUGAACCGAACAACAUCCACUUUAUGCACAUGCCAAAUACUAUCUUAUCUAUAUAAAUUACAAUAAAAGAAGUUUGCUGGUAUUGUUAUUAAAUUACUGGUUGCUACUAAUCUUCAAUUGAUUCAAACAUUCAAAUGCAAUAUAUGGCGUCCAAGAAUUGAGAUCCAAAUAAAAAAUUAUAAACUGAAAAGAAAAGAAGAUUUUCACUUCAUUUAGUUCAAUACUCUCAUCACAUGCACUUUUUUCAAUCGUCCCAUCUUCAGGUCUUCAUUUCGCGGUCUUGUUAGCUACAAAUUCAAUUACAUCUAUUACACAUGGACCUGACCAGAUGCGGAUUCAAUGUAAACACAACCACUCUAAUUGAUUUCAUCAGAUGGGCAGACACUCGCUUUGAUCACCAAGGGUGGUUGCUUCACUAAGGGGUUGAUGGGACUAUUUUUCCUGAACACGUUCCAAAUCCAACAGUGUAACCGUUUCCCUACCCAAAGAGAACAAAAAGAGUUAAAUUAAGUGAUCGUUUUGUGAUGAUUGAGAAGGAAUCAACUGCUAUAAAAUUUGAACAUAUUAAUACCUGAAAUCUAAAUUUAUAAAUUGCAUGGUUGGAUAACAUAUGCAAGCUAUUUCAAAUACAACUUUGUUAUUUUUCCCAUAGAAGAGCACGACAAUGGGAAGUGACAGCGCCCAUACCUCAUUACUGACGAUCAUUAGAUCGCUUAGAAUUGGAUUACGUAACCUAACUAGAUGGAUAGCCGUUUCACAAUAGGCAUGUAAAUUAGAUAUAAUGCCAAAAAACGAUUGACAUGCAAUUGCCACCCUGAGAUUAUGAUCCGAGAUAAUUAAGCCUAGCACUCUGGCUAUCUAGGAUAACACAUGCCCAACCAGAUGAAAUCAAAUACCAAAACCAUAUGCAAGCAGUACAAACUACAAGAUUAUCUUUUAGAUUCUCAUCUUUCUCAAUUAUUUUAUUGGCUAUGGGAUACAUUACUAAAACAAAAUGAAGCUCAACUUUGACAUUAUGCAUAUAAAACACGUUGAAACAAGAUUAUAAAAAACAUGCUUAACAGACAAAACAGGAUUUUGUAGAGUAUGAUGGUAGAAGAUAACUUCAAUUUACUUUUGGAAAUUGGAUGGAUGAGUGCAAUUGUAUGAUUGUAAUACCUUGCAAAAACCAGUAAAUGUCACUUCAUCUCCAUCUUCCAGGAAUUUACGAGUAAACCCAUCUAGUGAAAGCGGCUUUUGUCCAUUCCAUGUUAACUCCAGCAAGCAUCCAAGAGAUUCUGGCUCCUGUUGUGAAAUAUAAGAGUUAGCCAAAGUUCAAGGAAGCGGUAUAGGUACUUUCAAACUCUAAUGAAUGAUCCUAAUUCAUGCAGUAAAUGAAACCAUACAGGUCCACUGAUGGUGCCAGUUCCAAGCAGAUCUCCAGACCUUAGGUUGCAACCAUUGAUUGUAUGGUGUGCAAGCUGCUGAGUCAAUGUCCAAUACCUGUCAUUGGGGUUAGGAAAAAAACUAAUGCAUAUUGCACACAAAAAAAGGACCUACGCAACUUUAGAAGUUUCCUUUAGCUGACCCCAAUCAGUACAUGAUGAAUUCACUAUCAGAGGAACGAAAGAUGCAUCCAAGGAAAGUAAAUUUCUAUAAAAAGGAGAUGUCACAUUACUCUAGGAUAGAUGGAAUAUGAUAUAUCAGCUUUAGGCAAAGGAAGACCGAAUUUAUUGGGCCAACAGGCUUAUUGAUGUCAUAAAGGCAAGAGAAAUCGUGUUUAAAGUUUCUUUGAAAUGUUGCAAGCAUGUCAAAUUAAAGCUUACAAGUACUUAAAAUUGCUCCUUGUGACCACACAUGAAUCUUCUUUUCCAGCAGGUUUGAUUUGAACCUUCCAGCAAGGAGGUAUUUUCAUCAGAAAAAAAGAUUGCCAAGGAAAAAAAAGAAAAGAGAGAGAGAAAACUAUUUAAGGAAGGUGUGAGAUACUACCUCUAAUGAAAUAUCAUAGUUUUUGGAUAUCUUUUCAGCAAGAUAAGGCAAUGGCUGGGGAUCCUGCAAUUUGCAAUGUGCAUCUUAUCACAUGUUAACAUGCCAAAAAUCAUCAUUAAUGUUUUCAAACAAAUGUGUCAGUAAGCUACCUGUUUGGGAGAAUCACAGGCAAAUGGUUCAAGAGCAUCAAGUGUCACAAUCCAAGGGGAUAAUGUAGUGCCUAAAGAUUAGUUAAAAAAAACUCUUUGUAAGCUGCAGGCUAGAAGAUUCUAAUAAAAGCAGAGUGAUAGUGCAAUAUCAGUGAAUGGAUUUAUUAUCAAAUAAUCCUGACUAUUUCCAAUGGAACCAAGAAAUGUGGCAAUAGAAUCUUAUUCUUACCAAAACUCUUUCCAAGAAAAGGCCCAAGAGGGACAUAUUCCCAUGCCUGUAUGUCUCUAGCUGUAAAAUCAACUUCUUAUCAAUAAGAGUACUAAAGUUCAAUUAAGCCAGGAACAUAAAAGUGAAGCAAGAAAGAGUUAUAAUACCACUCCAGUCAUUCAUCAACAUAACUCCAAAUAUAUGAUCUGCUGCUUCAUUAACAUCAAUAGGCUUCCCCAAUUCAUUUCCAGGACCAACAACAGCUGCCUGCCAGAACUCGUAUAAAAUAACAAUUAAUCAUGUGUUUAGUCACGAUCUGAUGAAAUCACUAGCAUAACCAGAAUCAAGAACACAAACGGGAUACAGAUUUUAAUCAUGAGUUCUAGAAGUCCAUAUCAAAAUUGCAUUAGCAGUGAAUAGCAAAAGACAAUCAAUCAUCAACUUGUACGACAGAAAAGACUAACCAUUUCUAGCUCAAAGUCUAGCUUCUGUGAAGGCCCAAAAGGUGGUGGAGAGUUUCCAGAUGGAGCAAAUUGACCUCUAGAAGAGCAAAAGAAAAAAUGUAAGUUUGUGAAGUCCAAAGUUAUUAUAGCUUUGAUACUGGCUCAGCAGCAGAAUCAGUCGUGAAAAGAUGAAAUUAAGAUCCAAAGCAACAAAAUUAGAUGAAUAACAUGCCAUGAAGCACCAGAUCCAGCAGGGAACCUAAGUAGCAUGUCAACUGGCUUGGAGAGACACAAACACCAAUGCAACAGAAAGCUUUGAACUCUACAAAACCAAACACGUACAGUUGUCCAUAUAUAGAUAAAUAUCUAAAUAUUAUUUCAAAGUGAUAUCUCAUUAUUUUUAACUAUUGCGCUGAUCUCUAAGCAGCAAGUGGUUCAGCUAAUGGAAGUGAUAGAAAAGUUCCAUGGGCUUGCGGGCCCAAAGAUAGACACUUGAUACAUUCAUCUAAACGACAAUACCAAGAUAUGUCACUAUGUGCACAGUCAAGGGAGCUGCUGUUACUAUCACAAAUAAUUAGGCAGUUCGUGAGUGCUUAUAGUGCUUCAAAUUGAAGCCAUCCAUGAUAUUAUACCAGCCGUUGUUUGCUUCUUAUUUUAUUUAUGUUUUUAUUUAUUUUUAAUAAGACCAGCUGUUGUUUGCAACAAAGAAAAUAUAUAAACAGAAUAGACAUAAAGAAAUUAAUGAAAAUUAUUUCUCCAACCUUGGCCGGACAAUGUCUGUUCCAGAUAUGACAACAGAUGAUGCUCGUCCAUGAUAUGCAAUGGGAAGAUGAAACCUGAAAUAAGGUACAACUCUGUAAACUUGCAAAUGAAAUAUGCUGUAAUAAACCAAAGUCAGCACUGAAACAAUACCUUGUUUGCUCGUAGAUUUUAAAAUGACAUACCAAUUUGCUGGAACUGGGUUCGCUGGUCCACGAAAUAUGGUCCCACAGUUCUUCGCAUGAUGCAUGGAUGAAAAGAAGUCUGUAUAGUCCCCAAUUUCCAUAGGAAGAAGCAUUUCUACUUUACCCUAAUGAUUCAAACAUAUAUUCAACAUCAAAAAGAAACAACCAUCCUCAUAAAAAUUACAUAUCCAGGAACAACCAGAAGAAUUUAUAACCAUUGGGACAAGUGAUUUCUGCCUUAAAUUUGCAUUGUCACGUAAAGUUGCUUCAUUAGCUGCAUCAUAAGAAAAACAAAAUUGCCAUCACUUUUAUUAUUCAUCUCAAUAUCAAAAUUUUCACUCAUUUCCAAAGGAAUAUGAUUUUCCAGCCAUUAGAAAUGCAUAUCAGUUUAAAUCCUCCAUUUAUUACUUAACGUAUCACUGUAUAUUGAAAAGAGAACAUACAUGACAAUAGCUUUUGAAGCAUAUCACGAGCUUCCUUCCACGCAGGCCUCCCCAAAGACAAGAACUUGUUCAGAUUAGGCUGCCACGAAAUCAUUGCAUCACAUAACAAGCAAUUACUUAACUGAGAAACACAGACACAAACUGCACUUAUCUUCUGCUUUUAUGAGCAAGGAUCGAUUUUAUACAAACUAAUACCCAUAACAAUUAACAAAUAAGUAAUACUUCACAUACAAACUAUCCAUUCAAACUGACUAGUCAUCAUAUAUGAUUGAAAAGAGUGAAAACAAAAAAAGAAAAAAAAAUCCAUGCAAUAAAUGAGAAUAUAAAAUACAUUUUCAUACUUCAACAGCAUAAGUAUCAAUCAUCAACUAAUAAUCCGGAAAAAAAUUGAUAUAAACUAAACAUUUAAACAAUAAUCAAUCCAUAAGUUAAUCAUCCAUUUAGUUUAUUUAACUGGCGGUUUCUCAGUAGCAAAAAAGAGGAUAAGUGGUUGAUUCUCAAAAAAUCCUGGCAGCCGAUCAUCUAUAAAAACACUAAACUUACUUUAAACGGAAAAUUCAAACUCAAGUACUACGAACGACAACGUUCUUUGCCUUAUUUUCACUUUUUGGUAAUCAGCAAAAAUGUGUCAAGAAGAACCUGGAGAAAGCAAUCAGAGUCCUUGAGGAUCGGGCCGUUGAAGAGACCGGCUUUGGAAAUUUCAGAGAGGUCCAAAACGUAUUCCCCGAUUGCGACUCCGGGUCGAGCCACUGAGGCCGGUUCAGGUUUGAACACUCCGUAAGGGAGGUUCUGGAUAGGAAAAUGAGAGUCAGGUUCAACUUCGAUAAAAGACUGCAAAGCCAUGGCUGUCACAAAAUGAUGCCGUUCAGAGCUCCGGUAAAUGUUAGCGAGUGUGGAGCGUGAGCUUCGGAGUUCGGACUCUGCUAAAAAUAUUAAAAGAGAUUUUGAUUAAGUGCAUGUUUGGUACGAUUUAUUUAAGAGUCAUAAGUGUUUAUUUAAUUAUAUAAGUAUUUUUUAAAAAUUUUUAUGUUAUUUAGUUAUUUUUUUAAUGAAGUUUUUUUAGUUUAAAUAAGUUAAUUUAUCUCUAUUAAUAAAAAUUUAAAAUUUAAAUUUUUGGUAGUAAAAGUUAGAGAAUUUUUUUAAAAAUAUAUAAUAAAAAAAUAUUACACUAAUAAUUAAAUACUCAAUAACUUUUUAUUUAAAAACUCUAUUGAGAAACUUUAUUGUUAUAAAUUUUAUUUAAUAAAUUGUAACAAACGGAGCCUAAGUUUGGUUCAACAAGAAGUCGAUGGCCAGCAGUCAGUCAAACGAAAUCUGUUCGCUUUACUUUCUUCGUAAAAUCUGAGGGGGAAAGGUAAGGCAAAUAUUCGUUUAAUUACUCUUUUUUUUUUUAAUUAAGAGUAUGUUUAUUCACUAUAUUUUCUUAUAUAUAUAUAUAUAUGUUAUAUGUUUAUCCUUAUUUUUUUUUCAUACAAUAUAUUUGACAUUAAUUUAUUUAUUUAUAAAAAGUUGAUCAAUAAAUUAAUCAAUAAUUAUUUACUAGUAAAUUAAUUAAUAGAUAUUUGUGUGAAAUAAAUAUUAUUUUUUGUGCUUGUAUAAUAAUCUUAUUAAUAAUUAUUUAUAAAUAAAUUAACAUCAGUCAAAUUACUAGUAAUUUUCUUGUGGUUGUAUAAUAAUCUUACUAAUAAUUAUUUAUAAAUAAUAUUUUUAGAACAAUCUCACAAAAUAAUUAUUUAUAAAACAAUUUAUCGAAUUAAUCUAAGAGUAAAAUAAUAAUGUAAGAGUUUGUGUGAAUUUUUUUAUUAUAUUUUUUAAGAUAAAUUUGAUAAAUUAUUUUUCUAUUAAUAUCCCCAACAAUUUCAUUGUAAGAAUAUUAUUGUAAAUGGAAAUAAAAUAUAAGAUAAGAAUAUAACAUAUUUACCAAUAGAAGUGUCUUGAGAUAUUUUUUAAAAUAUAAGAACUAAACAAACACUUAACUCAAAAUAUAAAAAUUAAACAAAUAUUUUUUUCAUUUUAUUAUAAUUUUGAUAUGUAAUAUACAGUAAAUUUAUGGAUUGUCAUUUAAAUAAUUUAAUUAUUUUACAUGUUAAUUUUUUUAUUUUAAAUGAUAAUUUAAAAUUUAUCGUUUAUUAUAUGUCAUGUAACAUAAUAUGAUUCAGGAUAAUAAGAGCGUGACAGCUUGAUAAGAAAAAAAAAUGCUUGUAAGUUGCAAUUAGUAAUUGAAAAAAAAAAUUGUAAUUAAUUUUGAUGUAACAACGGAAACAGGACAGAAAAAAAAGGGGGGGGNNNNNNNNNNNNNNNNNNNNNNNNNNNNNNNNNNNNNNNNNNNNNNNNNNNNNNNNNNNNNNNNNNNNNNNNNNNNNNNNNNNNNNNNNNNNNNNNNNNNNNNNNNNNNNNNNNNNNNNNNNNNNNNNNNNNNNNNNNNNNNNNNNNNNNNNNNNNNNNNNNNNNNGGGGGGGGGGGGGAGGAGCUUGACAGCACGGACACGGUGACAAAAAUAUAAUGUAACUAAGGGAGAACCUUAGGUGUAACUGUAGUACAGUGUUAUAGUUGCAUCUAAUCAUUGGAUGUCAAUGGAUUUCACCACUCUAACUGUAUCUAACGGUUAGAUGUAACUGUGAUACGGUGCCACAGUUGCACCAUAACCUAAUCCUGUAACUAAUAAUAUUUUUUUCAGCCGUGAAUUUUGUAAAUUUUGUAAUGCAUUGGGUGUGUGACCUUGAAUCAAGGCAGCAGGAGUGCAAAUCACAAUUUUUUCGAAAUCUGAAGUAUAGCGGUAUAUUUUGUAUGCACGUUUGGCGUGUGAACUUAUUUUUAUUUUUCUUUUUUUAAAAAAAAACUGUACUAUCAUUAAGGUUUUAAUUUUUUUUUUUAAUAUUCAAGUAGGUGGAUAAAACCGAAUUUUAUUCUUUAGCACUUAUUUAUAUAGGAUUCAAUCAAACUCAAGGGUCUAAUAAAAAAUGAUUGAAAACUAAUCGAUCAAACCAUUAGAACGAUAUUAGCAUGAACUUGAAUCAAACAACAAUAACAAUUUAGUGAAUUUAUACAUGAUAAGGAUGACGAUGAAUUGAAUGGAAGAAAUCUCUUUUGGAAAAUGAUGAAGAGUCCUGACAAGAUUAAAUAACAGUGAUAAGAAUAAUUAUAAGAUCAUGUGGUGCUAUACUGUUAUAUUGAAAAAUAAUUAAUAAUAGUAUAUCAUUUUACAAUUAUUUUGUAAUUAUUGUGUCAGAUUGUUCAAUUCAAAUAUCAAUACUCACUAAAUUACAUUAUUGAAUUCAUAUGUAUUAUAUUAUACUACAUUACAUUAGCAUUUUAUUAUAAUAAUAUUGUACAAUAUUGUGCUACAUUGUACAACCAUAAACUCUUGUGUAAGCUUAUUUUAUACAAAUUGAUUUGCCAAUUUGGUACUAACUCAUUGGUUGAAUACAAAUAUAAAAUAAAAAAAAUCUUGUGGACCAAGAGAUAUUUAAUCCAACCAAUUCAAUCAUGCCACAUCAAUUUGUACAAAAACAAUUAUACAAUAAAUAUAUAUAUAUAUAUGUUUUUAUUUUAUUUUUUUGGAGUUAAAUUGAUAAUUUAAUUUUUUUGGACAGAUAUGAACUUUUACAAAAAUUAAUACUAUACUUUCUGUUUUAAUUUUUUUUUUGGGAUUAAUUUGGUAAUUUAAUUUUUUUUCUUUUUAUUAAGUUCUAAAAAAAAUAUUAUUGUAAGAGGACAAUAAAAACAAGCUAAAAGAAUGAUAUUUAAAAACGAGAUGUAAAAACAAUACCAAACACACCUAAAUUGCCUGAUAUGGUGUGACACACCUUAUCUUUUAAUAAUCUUCAUUAUUGCAAACGUAUCUUUUAUUAUCAAAAUUGAGUUAAAGCUAAUUUUGUACCUAUAUUUUGAGUAAGGGUGUUCACGGAUCGGAUUUUACGAAUUGGAUCUUAAUACAUAUCUGAUCUAUGAUUUUGUAAUUUAUAAAUUUUCAAUCUAAUUCAAUCCAAAUCUAAUCCAUACAUCUGUGGAUCAGAUGCAGAUUUGACCCAAUCCAUAUACAAUCCACCAUUUUGCGGAUUGGUUUGCGAACUAAAAAUUUUUAAUUCUGUCAAAUCCACGAACUAACUAAAUAAAAAAUUUAAUAUAAAAAAAAAUUUAUUGCCGAUCAAAUUUAAAAUUAAAUAAGAUUUAAAUAAAUUAAUUGUUUAAAUAAAGUUAGAAAAUACAUUUAAAGUUUCAAAACAUAACACACCAAAACGAAAAAAAAAAAUCUCAUUCAUUUAGAUUAGUACAUGAAAAUUAACUAUUUAAAAAGCUAUAUUUGUUUAUUUAAUUAUUUUAUAUUUUAUAUUAUUAUCGGAUAAGAUAUAAUAUAAUAUUAAUAUAAUUAUAUUUUAACUUAUUAUUUACUAGUAAGUAUUAAUGUCGUAUUUACAAGUUUUAUUUUUUAAUUUUUACGGAUUUACAGAAGUAGAUCCAUAUUCAAUCCACCGAUUGUGAAUUAUCAAAUUUUCAAUCCAAUCCAAUCUAAUCCACCAAUUCACGGAUCAAAUUUCUAUGGAUUAGACGGAUUGAGCGGAUCAGAUUGGAUUCUGAACACCUCUAAUUUUGAGAUCAGUACCCAUUGAAUUCUUAUUUUUUAAAAAUAUCUCAAACUAUUUUGUUAUUAAACUAUUGACACAUUUAUCAUUACUUCUGAGGAAUUAAUAUAUUAAUUUUUUUAGACCUACACGAGCUUUCAAAAAAGUAAAUAUAUAUAUUUUGUUUUUAUUUAAAAUAAAUUAUUUUAAUUAAAAAGAAUUUUAUGAGAAAUAUUGACAAGUGUAAAAGGCUUACCAUUUAGAGAGAGAACAUUAAAAAAAAAAAAGGAAAAGGUCGGUGCCCAAUAUUAUUUAAAAAUUAAAACAAUAAUGACAUCCAAAAAACAGAAGAACAUGAUACUUUGGGAACCGAAACGAAGCAAUUCGUAAUCCUUGAAUCGUCGUCAAUUAUCAAGUGGUCAGUCAAGGAAGCUUAAUCAAACGUAAACAAAAAUCCGUUCAAAUUAUUAAUAAAAACUGCAAAUAAACUAAUUAUCUUACCAUGUCUGAUUGAAACCCUAAAAUUGUGUGUCGUUUUGAAGGGAAAGAGAUGUCUUUUGAUCUGCUGUUGAAGCCGCAGUGUAGCGGAUGUGGAUCGCAGGCGGAUUUGUACGGAAGCAACUGCAAGCACAUGACUCUGUGCUUGACAUGUGGCAAAACCAUGGCCGAGAACAAAGCCAAAUGCUUCGAUUGUGGAGCAAUCGUCACUCGCUUGAUUCGAGUUCGUUUUGUUCUAUCGAAUCCUUUUGGUUUAUAUUAUAGUAGGUUCUAAUUAUGAACAUAUUCAUGAUCAUUAAUCUAGAUUUUUUGUUAUUCUGUGGAAAUAAUAGGUUUAUGGAUUUUGUUAUAUUAUGUUUUGAUUUUUAAGCAUAGUUUUUCUUUUUCCAAAUUAUUUGGAAGUUGAUUUAUUUGUACCUUUAUUGUUACUAUAUUUUUAAAUUCUGGGUUGUUUUGAUUGUUAGGAAUACAAUGUACGGCCAAGUAAUAGCAGCGACAAGAACUACUUCAUUGGGAGAUUUGUGAGUGGAUUACCAAGUUUCUCAAAGAAGAAAAAUGCCGAGAACAAAUGGACUCUUCAUAAAGAUGGAUUACAAGGACGGCAAGUUACUGAUACUUUGCGGGUAUUACCACUUUUCUGAUAAUUGUUAUAGAAUUAUGGCUAGAAGGUUGAAAAUGAACUUAUAAUUAAUGUCCACUCAUACAUUAGAAGAAGUUGAAGAUGUUGAUGUAUCUUUUACUGCCGUUAUUUUCUUUCAAAUACAUGUGAUUGUUGCUUAUCCAGUUGUCUGGAGCUCAUAUUAUUCUGAAAUUUAAAUAUGAAAUACUUUUUGUAAACUUUAUAAAUAUAUAUCAUUGGUUGGCAACCCUUUUUUUGUGCACUAAAGAGGUUUCUUAUAUGGUGAAUGAGAACUGAUACUGCUUCUGUCAUGUCUAAAACAAUUUUUUCACCUCCCCUCUGAACUUUUUGCUUCAACUGCAUAAAACAUAAUUUGGCUGUCGGCAAGUGUAGUCUUAUCAGCGUUUUUAUGCAUUAUGCAGGAGAAGUACAAGAAUAAGCCUUGGAUGUUGGAGGAUGAAACGGGCCAGGCUCAGUACCAGGGUCAUCUUGAAGGCUCUCAAUCAGCGACUUAUUACCUGUUAGUGAUGCAUUCUAAGGAAUUUGUUGCUAUUCCAGCUGGUUCUUGGUAUGCAAGUCCUAUCCUACUUCUGGGAGAUACUUGGUGUCUUUUGAUGUAAUCUCAUUUGUGGUUAUAAUGAGUGUGACAUGUUACAGGUAUAACUUUAACAAAGUUGCGCAAUAUAAGCAACUCACGUUGGAGGAAGCAGAAGAGAAGAUGAAGAACCGGAGGAAGACUGCAGAUGGAUAUGAAAGAUGGAUGAUGAAAGCUGCAAACAAUGGAGCUGCUGCAUUUGGUGAAGUGGAAAAGCCAGAUGACAAGGAAAGUGCUGGGACUGGUGGGAGGGGACGUAGUAAAAAAAGUGGUGAUGAGGAUGAAGGUAAUGUGUCUGAUAGGGGAGAGGAAGAUGAGGAUGAGGAAGCAAAAAGGAAGAAUAGACUUGGACUCAACAAAAGAGGUGAGGAUGAUGAUGAAGAAGGCCCCAGGGGUGGUGAUCUUGAUUUGGACGAGGAUGAUGUUGAGAAAGGUGAGUGAGCGUUUGUUCUGUGUUUUUGUAUUAACCUAAUUAAUACAACGAAUAAGACUCCAAACUUGAGGAUUGUGUUUCUUCGUUGUAUUUACUUAGUGAGAUGAGUAAUGUUGCCAUUUUCCUUUUGCAAAACCUACAGCGAAUAAACUGUACCGCCUCCCUAUAGUCCAAAAUUCAUACAUGUGUAUCGUCUGAAACAAGUUAUAUUUUCUGUUCUGGAAGAAUUGCUGGGAUUUUUUCAUUCUUGAUUCAGCACAAGAUGUUUAUUGGUUUAGGUGAUGAUUGGGAGCAUGAGGAGAUUUUCACUGAUGAUGAUGAGGCUGUUGGUAAUGAUCCUGAGGAACGGGAAGAUUUAGCUCCUGAAGUUCCUGCUCCUCCAGAAAUUAAGCAGGUGUGAGCAUGUACUUACUGUUGCAGCAUACAAAUUUUUGGUCAUCAAUGGUCUAUUUGCGAUUGUCAAUUCACAAUGCUCUGUCUGGAUUUAAGUCCACUUGUGGUAACUAGAUUCAAAGCUUAUGGAAUUAGAUGUGGAUAACUGUUAAUCUGCUUUUGUGCUUAAGUUAGUAGAAUUCUCAGGGCCCUAACUUGAGUAAUUUGUCGUAUAUAACUUCACAAUGGGUGUAUAUCACCUAAAGCAUCACUAAUUAUCCUUCUUCCAGGAUGAAGAGGAUGAGGAUGAAGAGGAGGAGGGAGGACUGAGCAAAUCUGGAAAAGAAUUGAAAAAGCUGCUUGGGCGAGCUAAUGGGCUGAAUGAAUCGGAUGCAGAGGACGAUGACGACGAAGACGAUGAUGUAAGCUUUUUUGAUAAGGAUGCCAGGUCUUAGUAGAUGCAUUGAACAUUUUAGAACAGCUAUGAAGGAUGUUGUAUCAACUGCAUAAAUGUUUGUAGUUCAUUUUGCUGUGCACUGUUAAUAUUUUAAUGAGGUUUUUAUGGUAAAGAUAUGCCGAACUUUCCUUUGUAUGAUGGAACUUUUGUUUGGAUUGUUCAGAUGGAGGAUGAAGUAGGUUUUUCUCCCAUAUUGGCUCCAAAGCAUAAGGAUACGCCUAAGAAGGAGGAACCUGCUGACAACAGUCCUGCCAAACCGGCACCUUCUGGAUCUGGCCGCGCAACUCCAUCUACUUCUAAAUCAGCAAAGGGGAAGAGAAAAUCUAAUGGAGAUGAUGCAAGAGCACCUAGUGGUGCGCCUUUGAAGAAGGUCAAAACAGAAAAUGUACGUUGCUACUUUCAGUCUUCUUGCUUCAUUUGUUUCACUUAGGAUGACACUUAAUUAAUUUUUUUUUCAAUUGCAAUUUUGUAAUUGUUUGGGGAUCAGGAAACAAAAUCUUCUGCCAGGGAUGAAAAUGUGUCAGCUUCGAAAAGCAGUGCACCUGCAAAAGGUGCAUCAUCAUCAAGAACAGGGUCAACAUCAGCUUCUGGUCCUGUCACCGCAGAAGAAAUUAGGGCUGUAUUAUUGCAGCAGGCACCUGUCACCACACAGGAUCUUGUUGCUAAGUUUAAACCGAGACUUAGAUCGACCGAGGUAUGUCCUUGUUUAACUGUAUUGAUUUUCAUCAUUGUUUAACUGUAUUGAUAUUUUUCAUAUUUAUUAAGGGCUUUGGUUCACUCUCAUGCUCUACCUUGUCGAUGUUUGGGAAGAGUUAUGAAAUGCCAGCAUGGAUGGGAAUACCAGACGUUGCUUUUUUAUCACUAAAACUUUUAUUGAUGCAGGAUCGGACGGCUUUCGCUGAUAUUCUGAAGAGAAUUUCAAAGAUACAGAAGACCAAUGGACCAAGCAAUUAUGUUGUGUUGAGAGAGAAAUGAUGAUUAGACGAAAUAUUAGGUGCUAAAAUGACUGAUGGUGGGUGAUUCCUGUCUUCUUGUCUAGAAAAGGCAGAGAAGUGAGGUAGUGUAAGUCUGUAAGACACCACUGCUGACGGGAUAAUGAUGAUUGAUGAACAACUUGAAACUGUGCUUUGUGUGAACUGUCAUUUGAUCUAUGCACAAUAAAGUGUGUUUGAAACCUUUGAUCUGUUCUAUAUUUUUCGCCUAGUCGUUUAUAUGGCCCUCUCAAUUGGACAAUGAACACAAUGUAAUUUCUGUAAUUCCUUUCUUGUCACUCGAGUCAGAUAGAAGAGACUUAAGAGAACAUUAGAAAUAUGAUAGAUAUUCCAAUAACAAUCAAAGUCGACGGUUUCAUAGUUUUGCAUUUAAUCCAUGGUUACUUGUUAUAUACUAAUACAAUAACAUUAUUCCCCGCUAUAAAUCCAUAUAGAAAAGCCCAAGCCGAACGAAAAAUAAAAUAAAACUAGACCGAAAGCGGGUUGAAUCAGAGGGAGUUGUGGGCGGAACAGCAAAGGGCAUUGCAGAUCUCUUGGCUGUGGUGACUUUUGCGACCUCGGAACUUUGAUGAGGCUGAGGCAAGACGUUCACGUGCAGCUUCAACCCGUUCUUGCAGUUGUCAUAUUUGCUGCUAACGAAAUAGUGAAUCCCUUCCCCGUCAAGUGGGAUGACAUCUAAGCCAUCCGUAUACAUUCUAAUGGGAUUGCUUACGUUGCACGAUUCAUAUUCUUCUUUGCUUUGGAGCUCAGCAAUGCUUUCCUGCGCCGGGGAGUAGGCGAGCACUGGCCCCAGACACCCACAACACAGCAUCCCACGAAUAUCAUGCGAAAGUGAAAUUAAAAAAAAAUCCCAUUUAUUUUCUGUUGAUGCGAGAUCCCGAUUCUCCUCGUUCUACGACCAGGAUCUCUGCUCGAUCAUCUUCACCACGACCAGGAGGUCUCCUAGUAAUGCUUCUUCUCCAGAUGUCCCUGCAUAAACAGACAAGUCAGAGUACGCCGGUUGUUCCCCCGGCGCAAACCCUCCGACGCUCAAGUCAGAUAUGAAGGUUCAGGGAACGCUUGCCACACGUCUUAUGGCUUUUUCGUGGUUUUUCUCUAAUCUCAAAAAUGCCAACCCUUUUACCUUCGUUGGCUGCCUUUUUAUAGGCUCCCUCUGAAUCUCAGUCUUCCGCUCUUUUCCCCACGGUAUGGGACUCCCACUGCGGCGUUAUGGGCAAACGGGGGAUCUAACGUGUUACGCCACGGUUCAGGGGAAAGCGUGGCUGUCAUGGCUCUGUGAGACUUUGCGUGUUACGCCAAGGUUCUGGGGAAGCGUGGCUGUCAUGGUUCUGUGAGAUCUUGCGUGUUACGCCAAGGUGCUGGGGAAAGCGUGGCUGUCAUGCCUAGAUUCUCGUGCUGGAGAGCACGUCUUGCCAAACGUCUUGCCAGCUGUCGUCGACCGGGUCUCCUCGCCUCUUGGCCUCUAGCCGGAAUGGCCUUUUGCCUUUAAUAGGAAAUUGGCCUCGCGAAUGACAACAUCGUGGACGAGCAGGAUAAUUCUGCUCUUGUUCUUCCGCGCACCAGGCUUUUACGGAACACACCGGUUCGCAGAACUCCGCCAUCAGAUAUCUGCUCGUCAUUCCUGGUCUCAUCGACGUAUUUAUCCCGAACAGUAUCUCUCCCAAACAUUUUCUAUUAAAAAAAAAAUUAAAAACAAAAAUACCAUUGAAAGUUGAAACCAUGACUCCAUGAGUCACGUCACGUUUAUUUAAUUGGAGGGGAACCAAGAAAAUCAGAAUAAAGUCAUAAACAGAAGGGAAUUAGAAUUUUUAUGUUAAAACCCACUAAUCACAAGUCAUUGUCGUAGUUGCUUGAAGAAAAAUUGACAGUCGUAUGCUCACUAAGAAAGCUAGGAAUAGGAUCCUCCAAUAUCAAAGAAAAAUAAAUUAUAAUAAAAAUAUUGUUUUGUAUUUCAAAUUUAUUCUCCAUUCGGUUGCAAAAAAAGGAAAUGAAAGAAAAUAAUAAAUACCGCUUACAAAUUCUACCUGUUAAAUUAGUUUCUGAUAAAAGAAGUAGAAACUUCCAAGCAUAGCAAAGAGAGAACUUAACAGAUUUUGUCACCAGCCCUGAAGACUCUGCCGGCGGACCAAGAAGCCACGUCGGAAGACGAGUCCCAUCCACGGUCUCCUCCGACAACGUGAUGCACUUGGGCUGCAGCCCAUUGCCCACCAAGGCCAAGGCUCAGUGCCACUGCCAUAAUCAUAACCAAAGCCUUCACCAUUCUCACUCCAACCAUUAUAUUCUGUUACAACAAUAAAAAGGGAGGCCUGAAGAUUGAAUGAAAGAAAUAGGCCAGCUUUUUUUUUUUUUUUUUUUUUUUUUUUUUUUUUUUUAAUUUUUUUUUUUUUUUUUUUUUUUUUUUUUUUUUUUUUUUUUUUUUUUUUUUUUUUUUACAGUCAUUUGCUUUAGUGCGAACUAUACUAAAGUGACCAAGUCUUUUAAAUUUCCAAGCAAUUUCCUUUUCCAAACUUACUCAAAGAUAGAAGAAUGUUAGGUGAGUGGGGUUUGGCUACACCCACUCUUUUUUUUUUUUUUUUAAUUCCUUGUUAAAUCAAUGAAAUACUGUCACUGUGUCCGGCAUCGCAUUAUUAUGUAGGAUUUAGAUUUAGUGGGGUAACUUUUUUAUUAAUUCUUGAAAGAUACAAUUAGUAUUUAUUGAAUAAUAAUAUAAAAUUAAUUAAAAUUUUAACCAUAUAUUAUUAUACAUGUAUGUGUAAUAAGAGACUACGAAGAAUUAAGCACAGAUCAACUUAACGUUAGAUUCAAAUCCUAUUAUAUAACCGGAACGAAAAGAAAAAAAAAAUACAUUUGAAGGGACAAAGAUGUUGGUUCUUCGAAAAGAGCAAGGCUUCAAAAUUUCUCAUAACAUCUUUUUUUUUUUUUAAAUUGAAAUUAUGUAAAUAAUAAAAAAUAAAUUAAUUCAUUUCUUAUAAACACUUAUAUAUGUUAUAUUCUUUUGACAAAAUUUUUAGACCAAUUCCAUUUCAUAAUUUAUAUCUACAUUUUAGACUGAAUUGAAAUAUAAUUUAUUUUUAAAAAAAAGUUUAAAAAUUUAGAAUUAUAAGGAUUUAAACUAUGUAAUGAGAAUUAAAUAAUAUAAGAUUUCAGGAUUUGGAAGAAUUUUGGAAUUCAAAAUUAAAAAAAAAUGUUCGUUAAGGAUGAAAUUUGAUGAGAAGUUGGUUAAUUUUAAUCUAUAUUUUUAUACGUUAAACUGCAUGGAUUUCCGAAAAUAAAACUCGAAAAUGGUGUUGUAAAGACUUUAGAAAUUAGAAUGAUGUUCGAAGCUCUAACUCCUUCGAAAUCCGCGUGCCCAAAGAUCAUGUUCCGAUCUUUUCUAUUGGGCAUACCAAAUUGGAGCGUGGCCCACCAUUUUUGUACAUUAUGUGAACGUGCCAUCAUCUAAUCCCUACUUUACACCUAUUAUAAUUUUAAUCGUUUUUCAUCACUCCACUGCAUAAAGAACUUUUAAAAUUUUACACAUUAACCUUGAUAUUAUUCUUUCUCUUCUUUCUUUUUAACGGUUUUUUUAUUUUAAUUUUAUUUCAAUAAUUCACUAUAGACAUUAAAGUUUAUGUUUGUGACCAUCUAAGAGAAUAACUAUAAAAUUUAGCGUAUAAACUUCUAUAAUUGACUGGAUCAAAGAAAAUAAAUAGCAAAUCAAAAUUUCAGCAAGUGUUAUUGCCAUGAGCAAAAUACAAACCAACCACUAGAGAGAAUUAAAUUGUUACCGAAAAGCUUGUUCAUUUAACUAGUCAGUUGAUAAAUAGAUCAUACCCAUUUGCUUUGACUGCUGCUACAAGCCAAAAUAGAGGAGGGAAAAAAAAAAAAGAAGUUACCCUCAAAUAUUAAUGAAAAUUCAUCUAUUUGUUUCACCAUAUCAUCCAUGCAUUUGUUUAAUUGACUUUUUACUAUUUAUAACAUAAGCCAUUUCUGUUUUAAAUCUAAGGGAAUAGAAAUUAUGCAGAAACUUAAAAGUUAUUUAUCCUUUUCAAUAAUUUUCUAAAAGGACAAAAGCAUAUUAAUAUAAAAGUGAUUAUUGGGGAAUUAUCGAGACAAUUUAAGGAGUCAAAUAUUGCCACUUAAUUAUUAUAUGUGACCUUAGGAAAUUAUUAUUAGGGCUAUGGGGUGUAUAAAGAUGUCCGAUCAAUUAAAUUUUGACACAUAUCUCACCACACUAUAACAUGCACAACUGCGCGCAUCUAAUUAUAUUUCUUAUUGUAUGUAUUGUAAUAAUAUUUCAGGUUGUCUAGAAUAUAUCAUUAUAAAUAGUAGUAGUAAAUUUGUGAAGGAAGAAACUCAUAAGUCUCAAAAGUAAUGCUGGGACAAAUUUUAGAAUUAUAGAAAGUAUUUUGACAAGUCAAAAUGAUUUAUAAAGAGUGUGGAUAUUUAAACCCACAAUAUUGCUCACUGUGUCCACUUGGUCAAUAGACUGACUACAAAAAAAUUUGGGAAUGAGAAAGACACGCAAAGUGUAAUAGUUGGGAAUCUAUAUAUAUAUAUAUAUAUAUAUAAAGUUGGGGCUUGAGGAGGUGAUGCGGCAUCACCAUUUUUCAUCUUUGUAUAUUCUCUAUUAUCUAAUAAAUAGAGAAUUUUUUUUUUUGAAACUGAUUAAGCAUCAGGUUACUGUAUUACACAGAGAUAUAUACAACUGCUAUGACAGCAGGUCAUUACACUGAUAUUUACAAUCAGAUAUAUAUACAUGUGACUUAUAUUUUUAUAUUUUUAUUCUAUGAAGUACAUGCCCAUCCAAAUACUCCUCACGGGGGAGGAAUGUCUCUACUCCACUCGCAUUUCGCAAGGGAGAAAUACGUUAUAAGAAAUCUCCACACAAUUAUAUUUAAUUGAAGGAGGUUGAGUCUGUGGGGACUCGAACCAUUGCCCUCAUAGUCAUGCUUAACUUUGAGGGCAAUGAUCCACCACUGGGCUACAAGCCCAAGUGGCGAUAAAUUUUCUUUUAGAUUUAGCUUUUCAUCUUCUCAUAAUUAAUUUGAUUGUUAUUAUACAAUAACAAUUAUGUAAAGAUUUUAAUGAAGCAUAUUCUUUGUAAUGAACAUCUAAGGGGGAGUGUUAUGAAUUUAUUAAAAUAAAUAUAGAUGUUCAUAACAUAUAUUUCUUAGUCUCCCCACUAUAUCUCAUUAGCAACCUUUAGCUUCUCUAUAACUCCUACUAUCUCACAAGGAAUAAUGAUUCAUAAUUUUUCAUUAAUUUGAUAGAGUGAUUAUGUAACUAUAAAAGGAGAGCUCAUCUUUUUGUUUUGUACACACACAAUUGGAAUGAAUAAAAUCAUUCUAUAAUAUAUUCUCUCAUUUUAUUAUUUAUCUUGCGUUGCUUCUUUAUUUGUAUUGCUGGCUAAUAGUUUUUUUUUUUAUAAGGCUGUCUCAUCUUUAAAAAAAAUCUAUUCAUAUUUUUUUAUCAAUUGCAUCAAGUGUAAAGUAAGAAAAAAUUAUAAUACUAAAUUCUUUUUUCAAAGCCGCGUGAAGCGCGGUUCUAUUUUCUAGUUUAAUAUAAAUCUAAAACCAUCUCGAAUUAACUUAUCGAUAAGAAAAUACAAAUUAAUUGCGAUUUGAUUACACAAUAGAACAACGUUUUAGGAACUCUAAUCACGUCACAGUGGUUUAAGAAUAUUUUUAUCCUUCAUUCAUUCAUUGAAUUUAGAAUCGAAUUCGAAGUAUGAAUGACAAUAUUUAGAUAAUUAGACAUGCUUUGACUAUUGUUCUCAGGGUGUAGCAAAAUCCUUGAAAACGAAGAGGAAGAAGAGAAAGGGGGGUUUGGUAUCUUCAAAUUAAGUGUGCUGAAAGUAGCACAAUCUUUUUGAUAACGGUAAAAAAACACAAAACAGCUCUAUUUCUUCUCUGCAACUCCUUUUCAAUUAAAUUAUUCCCAGAGAUAUAUAUAUAUAUGAUCAUUUUGCAAAUUCAUUUAUUUACUUUGCUUUGAGCUUUCAUUUUAUUUCAGCAAAAACUUGUAUAUUGAUUAGUUUGGUCGAUCGCAUGAAUCGAGCGAACCAUGCAUUAUUGCGUUUAAUGCUAGUUAUAUUCAAGCAAUUAAAGAAACCCUCUUGCAAAUCGAGCUAGUUAUACCGAGCCACCUCGGCCUUGGUCGGAGUGGUGGGCUGCUGCCCUCACAAGCAUUUGUGGGGGCUAACGUGCUUAUUUGUUUAAUAUUUCAAAAAUUUCCUCUCUCUCGUGCAAUACGAGUGGAGUAUGGACAUCCCUCUUCUGUAAGGGAUUAUUUGUCUGGGCAUGUACUUCACAGAAUUCAAUGUAAUAAUAUAAGUCCCAAUCAUGUAUUUCUGAUUGUAAAUAUCAGUGUAAUAUAUCUGCUAUAAUAGCAGUUGUAAAUAUCUGUGUAAUGCAGUAAUAUGAUGAUUAAUCAGUAUUCAAAAAAAGAAAAGAAAAAGAAACCGAAAAAUAUCACUCAAUGUUCGUUGAGUGUUGAAUUUAGCUCUAAUAAUUCUUCGAAUGCAUUUUCAAUUAUUCUUGUGACAUCUCAAAUUUGUUAUCUCAAAUAGUUUCAUAUUCAAUUAAUUGAUAAAAUAAUAUAAUUAAUUUACUUAAAUCUAACAUAGUAUUAUCAAUCCUUUAAUGAAUGAAUAAUAUAUGUAAAAUUUGAAAUUAUAAUUUAAAAUUUUUAUUAUUACUUUUAAUUAUUCAUCAUUAUCUUUUAUUUUCACGUAUAUAAUUAUUUAUUAGAAUAACGUCAAAUUCUUUCACUUUUAACUCCCAAAAUACAGCCACUCGGUUCAAACCCUCACAAUGUAUUGUGGAUGUCUUCCUUCCUCAAGUAAAUUUGAGUGAAGACAGUCUGCUUCCUUACCCAAGUGUGAGGAGUAGACAUCCCUUGAAUAUUUGAGAGGGUUAAAAUCUGGGCAGCGCUCCAUUAGUAUUGAUGUAUAUUAGUCCCAGUUAUAGUCUGAUUUAUAAAUAUAAGUUAUAUUCUCAUGUAAUAUGAAUUGUAAUUUAAACAAUAAUCUCAUGUAAUAAAAAAAAAAAAAAACUCCCAAAAUACAGAUAGAUCAGAAUUCACACAUAUUUAUUGAUUGGAAACUUCAGGUCUCCCAUGCAGGUGAUGUGCGCACAAAUUUUUCUGACAUCUUCUUUAGAUCCCGCGAUUACCCACUACCUCCUCAAUCAUAAUUCAUAAUAAUAAAUUAACCAGUCUAUCAAUUACUGGUUUGUAAAAUAAAUUCCUUUUCUGUCUGCUCCUACCACUUUAACAAUGCUAUAUUAAAUAAAAUAUUAAAGCACAAAAUUCAAAAAGAAAUAUUAGCCUUUUUUGGCUUAAUUUAUUAAUAUUAACAUCAAAUCUGCAAUUAGAUUUCAAAAUUUAAGAUAAAUUGCCAAAUUGGUACGAUGUUCAAAUUCAACCAGAUCAAAUAUAAUCAAAAGUUAGAUUCCGAUUGAAAACUAAGGUUCAAAUGUUAUAAACAGCUAAUUUUAAAAGUUUUGCCUAGAAUAAUGUUUGAUAAGUUUUUAAAAAUUACUUAUUUCAUAAGUUUCUUUAUUUUAUCAGUAAUUUUAAAAAGUAAGAAAGAAUUUGUUUUUUAUCAUUAGUUUAUUAAAUAUUCCAUCAUACUUCUUAAAAGUUUUUAUUAUUAUCUUAAUAUUUUAAUAAAAAGACAAUUGUAUCUUAUUUUUCAUAAACCAUAAUAUAUAAAUAAAAUGUAAUUUAGACUUUAUUUAUUUUGAUCAUUAUGUAAUAAACAACACUUUUGUAAUAGAAUUUAUUAAAUCUGCGUUCCCUACUAUUAUUAUUUUUAUCAACAACUUAUUUUAUUUGUAGAAAUAAUUUAAUUCAUUAACCUCCAUAAUUCUAAACUGGCCCUUAAAAGAUGCUAGAUAAUAUUUUAGCCGCCCAAAAAGAAAGUGAAGCAUCUAAUCCCCAAUACCCAGCAAAGAAUAUUUAGUAUUAUAAUACACGACACCUUUCGUGUGCGUCAUUUUCACGCUAAAUCAAUAUUUGGAAUUUGGAUUCUGAUAAGAUUUGAUCAAUAAUUCUUCUCUAAUUGUGUGCCAAUUAUUUAACACGAGUUUGCCAGCAGUAGCACCAAAACUCAAAACAAUAUUUGUGGAAGGAAAAAUAUCAUCUGAAGAGAUUCAAGCACGAAACCUCCCUUCUGGCUUCUUUCAAAGAAUCACCCUUUCGAAAAGUUUUAGAAAUUUCAUUAAUAAUAAUCAAUCGGUAUUUAUGUCAUAAAUUUGACACUUCCAAUUUUUAUAGUAUAUUUCUUAUAUUAAUAACGCGAUUGAGUUUAAUUAAAAAUAGAAAUCGUAAGAGUGGAAAAUACAAAACUCUUAUCUCCAGGUCUGGGGAACGAAACGAGACGAAGGGAAGAGACAAAAUAUGUGAAAAAUGCAAAAACUGGCAAUGGGAUUUCAGUGAUAUUUACAGAAAAGCCAGGGGCCAAAAAGUUAAUACGCACAAUUCUUUAAAACGGGAAAGACUUUAUGUUUACUCCACGUGGUACUACUCCACGGCUUAAAUAAUAAUAAUAAUAAUAAUCUAAAAGAGAAGAAAUGAAGCGUGAAAUUGACGAGUAGUACUUCUCUCGCUAGGCAACAAAACAGAAUAACUUUUCCUCAAACCUAUUGUUUUCUCAACAAAAUUAACAAAUCAGUCCACAUACUUAAAAGUAAAUAAAUAAAUUGUUGUCUAAAUUUUUCAGUCAAUAUAUUAUUCUUUAAAAAUAUAAAUAAAUGUUGUCUAAAAUUUUCGGCCACUUAUAUGAAAUUCGACAUUUUCAUUCUAACUUCGUCCACAAUAAAACAAAUUUUCAUUUGAAAAAUUAAAAUGAGAGGUUGAAAUUAUAUGGAGAUUAUUUUUUUCUCAAAAAAUAAUAAAAUAUUUGGAAUGUAAAAUUUGUUUCUCAAAUGACAUCGCACCAAUCAAUGAUUGGCAUUUGUUUGGUAAUAUUUUAUUUUUUAGAUCAUCAUUAAUUAAUAAGAUAAUUUUAUACUAUCAAUAAAUAAAUUACACGUCAUGUGCCACAUUAUUUUGAGAUACAAACUUUGUAUCUCCACUUUAUAAACAUAUCAUUAUUCUUACAUAAUAAUGAGAUAAAUAUUAAAAUCCAUUUGAGAUUAAGGUUGAAAUACAAAAAAUAUAUUAUUUGAUAGAUUUUAAUAUAUGCUUAUUUUAUAGUUAUGUUGAUAGAAAUUUCUUGAAAGUAGAUAGAGAGUUACUUUUUUUUUUUUUUUUUUUUAAGUGGCGACUGAUAAAAAUAGAAAUUUGGCAAUAAAAAUGUGGACCUGUUUGUCACAUUGACAAAAUAAGGGAUCAAUUUGAUGAUUACCCAAAUCUUUUAACUUCUUGUAGUCCACAAAAUCAGUAACGAAACGAAACACUCGCUUUGCUCGGCUUCCUCAUCAUCCUCUCUUUAUUAUUAUUGUUAUUAUUCCCUCUCGACUCUCAACUAUCGGCGCCUGCUUUAUUUAUUCGGGCCUUGGGUUUCUCUCCACUACCACCGAAACUAAAAGCACACAGGUUUCAAUCUUCCUCUUCGACUACUUUCUUUCUUCCGUUUUCAUUCAUUUUAUGUAUUAACUGUUUAUUUAUCAUUUUCAUUUACAUUAUCGAUCUUUCGAUAAGGUCUGCUCUGAUUGAGAUUCGAGUGUGAGCGUUGUUUGGAUUCUGUUUGGGUUUGAAUUUUGGAGUGUUUUAUGAUUUACUUUUUAAUUAUGAUGUAGAAAGUUCUUUUCUUUUUCUUCUUAUUUUUAUUUUUGUGUUUUUUUUUUCGUUGUAUUUCGAUUUAGUUUUGUUCGUUUUGAUGUCUGUAAAGUGUAUCUAAAGCUGCUAAACUUAAGCUGGCAAUUACUUAUCAAAAAUUUGUCAGGACUUCAGUGUCAUUAGAGCUUUGAAUCUGAUUACAAGCAGAGUAGCUUAUGAGAUUUUGUGUGGUCUAAUCAGUAGCAACCUGUUUAGUCAUUAGUGUUUCUUUUGCUGAAAAUGGGGUUCAGUUUUUGGGUGAAUACUGAAUAGUUGGUAAGCUUGAACUUUGGUGGUUCAAGAGGAUAUGUGGCUGGACGAGGACCUUGCCUUUUAAUUUCCCCUCAAAUUUUCAAAUUUUAAGUAUAUCGAGGAGGGAAAUUCCCACCCUAAUGCUGGAUUUCGUUCUUAGCUUUGACAAGUAAUCAUCAUGGCGACUUGGCUUUCCUCGCCCUCAGAGUUUUUUUUUUUUUUUUUUGGGAAUAAUGUCGAGAAUGAUUAUGAAUAUUUAGUUAUCCAUUUGUUUUGGUUAUAUUUUGUUUAUUGUUCUCAAAUAUUUUAUGAGAUGCCACAUAGAACAUUAAUGCCCUGUGGUAUGAUGUGCUAGGUACUGAUUUUUCUGCUCCACCUAUAUGUGUUCUCUUUUACCAAUUAAGUAAAAGUUAAUUGAAGAGACAUGCAAAGUGAGAAUAAUACUAGUGCCCCAACAACACCUCGACUUCGGCAUCGAAGGCGUUCAAAUGAGGUUUGUUUAUUGUUUUGGUAUAAUUUUUUUUUGAGUAAUUUUAAUCUAUUGUCAAUCACUAUGAAAUUUGCCUCACAAUUUAUUCCAUAUGAAAAGGCCGACCAAUUUUUUGAUUUUUAGUUUGAUUUUGUUAACUACAUAUAUAUAAAUAUUUUCCAACUGGGUUGUCAGGCUAUUCCAGAUGCUACCAAAGCAAAUGGAAGCCAUUUGCUUGUUCACGACCGGAACAAGUAUAAGUCCUUUCUGGUACGUGCUUACUCAACUGUUUGGAUGAUUGCGGGUUUCGUAUUAAUUGUCUACAUGGGUCAUCUCUAUAUUACUGCAAUGGUGGUUGUAAUCCAAAUCUUUAUGGCAAGAGAGUUGUUCAACCUAUUGAGGAAAGCGCAUGAGGAAAGGGAUCUCCCUGGAUUCAGGAUGUUAAAUUGGUAAGAAUUCUGGAUUAAUGCUCAUUUACCAAUUUUAAUUUGUUUUUCCUGGGAAAGAAUAGCUACAAGAUAUUAACAUGUUCCAUUUUGAUAUACUCAUUUUUAAUUUCUGUGCUUAGGCAUUUCUUCUUCACUGCAAUGCUAUUUGUAUAUGGCCGCAUUCUCAGUCAACGGCUUGUCAAUACCGUAACUUCAGACAAAUUUUUAUAUCAGUUUGUGAGCAGCCUUAUCAAGUAUCAUAUGGUUAUUUGUUAUUUCUUAUAUAUUUCAGGUUGGUAACAGCAGUACUUUUAUCCUUUAGCACAUGGUUUGAGUAAUUUAAAUGAUGAGCACCUUUCCCCCUCCAAAUUUCAUUGAAAAAUAGUUUUUAUUCGUAUGGUGCAUGCUUUUAUGUUCACCUCAAAAAUUAUGAUCAAUAAGCAGAAGGGUUGUCUUAUUCCUAUACAUAGUGUAUUUACUUGAAAUUUUUUUUUUUCUUAUGAUGCAUGGUUUCUGAUAUGAAUGCUUUCUCUUAUUUAGGUUUUGUUUGGUUCAUUCUAACAUUAAAGAAGAAGAUGUACAAGUAUCAAUUUAGCCAGUAUGCUUGGACGCACAUGAUUCUGAUUGUGGUGUUUGCACAGUCUUCCUUCACUGUUGCCAGCAUUUUUGAAGGAAUUUUCUGGUAACUCAACUGCAUCAUUGGUUUAAUAAGUGCAGCCUCCCUUAUUUUCUUAUUUUAUGACCCUUUUACUGGAAAGCUUCUCUUUCUCUUCCGGAAAAAUUGAAUCUACAUAUAGGGGGACUUGUGCAUCCUGAUGUUUGAUAUUCAAUUGUGGUUUAAUCAUGAUUUUUGGGAUGAAAUAUACUUGACUGAUGUUAGGGGAUUAAUGUUCAAAUACAUGAAUAGUUCUGCAAGAUGCAUCUAAGGAACAUUAGCUAUGUAUUUGCUGCUUCAUACUAGUGUUUGUUCUCUGAUUGGUGUCAUGCACUGUAGACUUCUCUCUAUAUUAGAUUCUUAGUGUGACUUGAUUUUCUAGCUUCUGAGUUCUAUGCUGUUUCUUUUUGUUGACCAAUGGAGAAAUAUCAUUGCAGGUUUCUUCUUCCAGCUUCGCUGAUUGUUAUCAAUGACAUUGCUGCUUAUAUAUUUGGUUUCUUCUUUGGAAGAACCCCGUUGAUCAAGUUGUCUCCAAAGAAAACAUGGGAGGGUUUCAUCGGCGCAUCUGUUGCUACUAUCACAUCUGCAUUUGUGGUGAGCAUGGUGUUUCCCUACUUGUACUGACGAUAUGAUAUUUCAUUCUUUUAUAUUUAUUUGAACCAGAGUAUAUUAGAGGAAGUCUUUUUUUCUGCGAGAUAUCACCAAGUGAUUAAGUUGGCUGUGAGAAUUUUGAUUGUGGCACCAUCUCUGGUAACAGUCAAUUGUAAUAUUUCUGCGACUUUUUCUGAUAAUCUUAUGUGCCACCGGUUUGCAUUUUCCCACUUUAACUUUUGUCCAAGUCUGCAGCAGCGUACAGGAAUUUAAUUUCUGGAAUGUGUUGUCAUAUUGUCUGUUGCAUGCCACUUCCUAAUGUCAGUUAACUUAAAAUGGAUUGAAACUUAUUAAGUAAUGUCAAGAGGAUCUUUCUACCAUCUUCUACGCUGGGAAAACUUCCUUAUUCUUCAAGUGUAGGGUGCAUCCUAGGUAAUUUUUUAUAUGCCCGAGCAUUUGACUUACUACCUUAAUUCAUCUCAUCACCAUGUAAUGUACUGAUUCACACUUAAAACUUUAUGUUGCAUACUUUGAUGCAUAACUGCUUUCUGUUUUAGAAAAAACCUAUUUUGCCUUUUAAGAAAAUUUAUAAAAGUUUUGUACUGUUCACCUGUUUGACAUAUAGUUCAUAUAUCUCUAUUCUACGUGAACUUCCUUUGCAGCUUGCAAAUAUCAUGGGUCGUUUUCAGUGGCUAACAUGUCCACGAAAGGUAAGACAUUUGGUUGAAUUGUCAACUGAUGUUUGAAGAGGCACAUCAGUUAACUUUUUGAAGAAAUUUAUGGCUACAUUUGAUGAGGCUUUUCACACGCAGGAUUUAGCAACUGGUUGGCUUCACUGUGAUCCAGGUCCGUUGUUUAAGCCGGAGUCUUUUCCUUUACCUGGAUGGGUGAGUAAGCUGAUACUAGUUAGAUCUGAACUUAUAUCCCAUGUGGGUUACAUACCUUAUACUUGAUCAGCUGUUCAGCAAAUAAAGUUCAUGCCUGCAUCAAAUUGAGUUCUCACUCUUGAAUCUACAUUAGAUUAUUAUGUGUUAGAAUAAUAAUGCGUCAUUAAUUGUUUCCUUGUGCAGCUUCCUUGGAAAGAAAUCACUAUUCUUCCUGUUCAGUGGCAUGCCCUUUGCCUUGGUUUAUUUGCAUCAAUAAUAGCACCUUUUGGAGGCUUUUUUGCUAGUGGUUUUAAACGAGCUUUCAAAAUCAAGGUGCAGUCUCAAUAAUAUUCUGAAGUAAUCGAGAUAUUUAUAUUAUAUACCUUCUUUGUAGAUAAUGGUAUAUUUUACUAUCUUUUCUGUUUUAAUGUCUUUUUCUUUCAGGAUUUUGGUGAUAGUAUUCCUGGACAUGGUGGGAUCACUGAUAGAAUGGAUUGCCAGGUAAAAUGUGUGAAUUUGAAGUGUUUGAGAUAAUAGUUCAUUUGCUGUUUGAAGAGUUUUUACAUUUAGGUUUGAGAUAUCAGCCUUCUGACUUUUUGAUAUCUAUUGGGGAAAAAGAAUAUGCAAAAUUAGAAGUGGAAGUAUUUUUUCAGAUUUCUUUUUUUUUUUUUCUGAUUAUUGGAUUGCAUGCUGUCACAUGGUCCCAAUUGUAUAUCAUAGUAUUAUGUGAAACACAUAUUUUGGUUUUUAUGUCAACAAUGUAGGUGUUAACUGAUACUGUCAUUGUUUGGUGAUUCAGCAUGGUUAUGUCCUAUUCUCUUGUGGAAUCAGUUGUGCAUAGUGUGGAAAUCAGCAGAUUUAGUUCUUAUUUUCCUGUGUAAAAAGUGUAACUGAGCACUCAUGGAACCAUUGAAAGGCAAAACUGUCAUUUUGCACUCAUGUAGUCUUUUUGAUGUUGAUAUCAUUGUGGUUUUGGAAUUGUGUCUUCCAGCUGCUGCUUUCAUGAACACUUGAUCAACUGUUAUUGACGUAUACUGCUUUACCAUGUUUAAUUUAUUACAUAAAGCAUCUUUUUAAAAACAUUUAUUAUACAAAACUGGAAUGCAUGUUCAUGUACAGUUUAGUGAACCACCUCAAGAUUUUCAUGUUCUUUGGUCCUGGUAUCUAAUUCUGUGGAGAAUUGCAGCUUUAUAUGUCUACUGCUCCUUUUAACACGCUCUUUUAAUGUAGAUGGUGAUGGCCGUAUUUGCAUACAUCUAUCAUCAGUCCUUUAUUGUUCCUCAAAGCUUCAGGGUUGAAAUGAUAUUGGAGCAGGUAAAUUUUCAUAUUUCGCAUUUGUGAUUGUGCCUAUUGUUGUGUAUUUGAAUUUCAGUUCAGAAGUAAAGAAUAUAUUCGAUUGUUUCUCGAUGUAGAUACUGACGGCUCUUACAUACGAGGAGCAGAAAGCUCUAUACAUGAAGCUUGGUGAAAUCUUGCAGGAAAGGCUAUUUGGACAAUCAUAGAUCAAUGCUAAAAGAAGAUCCUGUAUAUGUUGUGUUUUCCCAUUUUUUUUAUUAGAAAAUAUUUAGGUGGAGGAAGUUUUAGUUUGCACACUGUAUAGUGUAUUUUAGUCAAUUAAUACGCAUAAACUGCCAGAAAAUUGUUGUACCGCUUGUCACCUUUCGUGCGUCUAUUAUUUGCCCGUUUUGUUGGGCAGAAUUACAUGAUUUAUAACAAGAGCACUAAGCUUUCGUUGCUUUUAAUUUGAUUCCCGAAAUUUCUGGGUAUAUUUAGGAAUCGUAUGGGUUAAUUAAUGAUCAAAUAAUAUGAAAGGGAGUGACAUCAUGAUGUCAAGCUGUCUUGAGGCAAGCCUCGUGUUACCAUUGUAAUCUAACGUUUCUAGGUCUUUUGGGGUAAAUGAUUCCAAGGGUUGAAAAAAGGAGUGGAAAGUUUAGUUAAUCAGUUGCUUCAUUAGACAUUGAAAUUACCAAACCAGUGUAUAAAUUUCACGGACAUGUUAACGAAGCGGCUACCACAAAUUUCACAGAUUUCAAAUCGACAUUGGAAUACGCACACGUGCGAUGAAGGUUUCAGGUCAUCCAAACAAUAAUAACAUAAAUCUAGCGAAAUCAACACUUACAAUUCCCGUGAGUUUAAUAAGCAAAUCCAUCGAGCAUUGUACUCUUCUAUAACCGAAAAAACAACCUACUGUCCAGAUAUAUUGAAUCUAAUCUGGUAGUCCAACUAAAAAAUUAACCAAUAUGGUACAAGUCCUACUUUCAGAAUGAAAUAAAUUCAUAUCCUCAAUUUUCUUGCCGGCCAAAAAGUUUCGGGUACCUUCAAUAACAACAAAAAGUAUACUCUCAACGAUUCAUUCUCACUUCUAUCACUGGGAUUUCGGUUUCUCAAUCUUCACAUACGGCAAAAUCCCCAUUAGAUAGACCACUCUUGGAGCCCAUCCUCGUUGCUGGGCACGGCAAAACAUCAAGAAUGUGUUUGCAAAAUAAGAAUUGAAUCCCAUGAAAACAUGCCAUAAGGCGUGACCCUGAGGGUUUACAGGCCAACCAGAUACCUCUUCACAGAAGAGGCGAUCCCCCAACCAGCACAAACUACCAAGGAAAAUGGAGGCUACAUACAUUUUUGCGAGCAGUUUAGCAGCAGCAUCU